rnacentral:lncRNA from 1 species
CCGGCGUCCUCCUGGCAGCAGCUAGGGGACGACUGGCGUCGGCCUGGUGGGCUGGGCCGUCCAGCUACAGUGCUGGGCCGGCAGGUAAGUCCAGGUGAGCCUCUGUUCUUUCUCUCUAAUUUAUUCUGUUUUCUAUUUUUGCUAUUCUGUUUUGAUUUAGUUUAAAUACUAAAUCAUUUUAUAAAAUCCUGAAAAUAUUUAUGGACACUUUCUGAAAUAUUUCAGUGGCCCAAAAAUAAUUCCAACAUUAUUUGAGCAUUUGAAUUAUUUAAUAGUAUUUAAAUGCCCAAAUUCAAAUAUUUAUGAAUUAAGUCAAUGCCCCUUUUGUUGACCUAAAAUUAUAUGCACCAUUUUUCCCAAGGGUUCUAACCCAAGGCAAAGAGGGUGAACAUAUCUGAAGGGCAUUUCAGGUUCAUUGAAUUUAUUUUUAGUAAACCCUAGUUGAUUUCAGGGGGGGGGGUGCUGGGGGUUCUGCUUCCCCAUUUCAAUUUCUGAUGAAUGUAAACAUGAUGCACACUCUAAUGCAUAACCUAGCUAGGGUGUGACAACUCACCCCCACUCAAUAGAAUCUCGUCCCGAGAUUUAGGAUCAUCUGGGAAGAAGGCGGGGUACUCGAGUCGAAGACGAUCCUCCCUUUCCCAAGUGGCUUUUUCCUCGGAAUGGUGUGACCAUUGAACCUUGAGAAACUUGAUAUUAUGACGUCGAGUGGUACGCUCGGCUUGAUCAAGGAUACGAACGGGGUAUUCCCGAUAAGAGAGGUUAUCUUGUAAAUCAAGCGUUUCGUGGUCCACUCCACGGAUAGGAUCCGCGAAGCAAUGCCUAAGUUGCGAAACGUGGAAGACAUCGUGAACUCUGGAAAGAUGCGGAGGUAGUUCCAAUUGGUAGGCAACUUCUCCUCGUUUGGCAAGAAUGCGAAAGGGUCCAAUGUAACGAGGAGCCAAUUUGCCUUUGAUACCGAAGCGAUGGGUUCCCUUUAACGGGGUAACCCGAAGGUAAGCUUUCUCGUCAAUUUCAAAUGUCAUAGGCUUAUGCUUACGAUCAUAUUGACUCUUUUGGCGAGAUUGGGCUGUUUUCAAUUUCUCACGAAUAACGCGAACCUGCUCUUCUGCUUCCUGAAUCAUAUCCGGGCCAAAGAGUUGUCUUUCCCCGGUUUCUGACCAGUUAAGAGGCGUUCGACAUUUUCGUCCAUAGAGAACUUCGAAGGGAGCCUUGCCCAAACUAGCUUGAUAGCUAUUGUUAUAAGCAAACUCCGCGAAUGGAAAGCAUUUCUCCCAACUCAUUCCGAACGAGAUAACAGAAGCUCGGAGCAUAUCUUCCAGAAUUUGAUUGACUCGCUCUACUUGACCACUUGAUUGAGGAUGGAAGGCGGUGCUAAAGGAGAAAUGAGUUCCCAUAGCAUUUUGGAAACUUUCCCAAAAUCGAGAGGUAAAGAUACUUCCACGGUCUGAGUUAAUUUCCAAUGGGACACCAUGAAGAGACACUAUUCGGGAGAUGUAUAGGUCAGCUAGCUGGCUAGCGGUGAUACUCUCACGAACAGGUAGAAAAUGGGCUACUUUGGAAAGACGGUCGAUCACGACGAAGAUGGCAUUAUUUCCCCUCUUGGUCCUGGGAAACCCAGUGAUGAAGUCCAUACUGAUUUUGUCCCAUUUCCAUUCAGGAAUAGCCAAAGGUUGAAGGGUGCCAGCAGGCCGUUGAUGCUCUGCUUUAACACGACGACAAACGUCGCAAUUGGCAAUGUAUUGAGCGAUUUCUCUCUUCAUCCUAGUCCACCAAAACCUCUGGCGUAGGUCUUGAUACAUUUUGGUACUACCGGGAUGAAUGGUGAGAGGGGAUUCAUGAGCUUCCUUAAGGAUCAGUCGCCUCAGGUUUCGCGCCUUCGGAACCACUAGGCGAUUCCCAAAGUAUACAACACCUUCAUCAUCAAUGGAGAAACAAUUCACGACUCCUUUCUUAACGUUUCUCUUGAUACGGGAAAUUCCCGGAUCUAUCUUCUGUGCCUUGAUGACCUGAUCCGUAAGGGUAGGUUCCGCUACCAGGGUGGAUAGGAAUCCUUGAGGAACAAUGUGAAGAUUAAGCUUGCGAAAUUCCUCAUGGAGAAGUGGUUGACUUUGUUGUAACAUCAGGUUGUUACAGUAGGACUUACGACUUAAUGCAUCGGCCAUGACAUUGGCUUUGCCAGGGGUGUAAGUUAUUCCUAAGUCAUAAUCCGAGAUCAACUCGACCCAACGUCUUUGCUUGAGAUUCAAAUCUAGUUGGGUGAAGAUAUAUUUCAAGCUUUGGUGAUCGGUGAAUAUCUCGCAACGAUUAUCGAGGAGGUAAUGUCGCCUGGUUUUGAGUGCAUGGACUACAGCUGCAAGCUCUAGAUCAUGUGUGGGAUAAUUUUCCUCAUGUGGGUGUAAUUGCCGUGAAGCAUAGGCAAUUACCUGACGAUCUUGCAUGAGUAUGCAACCUAGUCCUUGUCGCGAGGCGUCGCAAUAGAUAAUAAAGUCCUUGGAGAAAUCUGGUGGUACCAGUACAGGAGCAGAUGUCAGGCGUCUUUUCAGUUCCUGAAAACUGAACUCGCACUGUGGAGUCCACUCGAACUUUUUAUCUUUCUUGAGGAGUUCAGUUAGAGGUUUAGCAACCUUGGAGAAAUUCUCGACGAAGCGGCGGCAAUAGCUCGCUAGGCCAAGGUAACUCCGAACUUGCUUGACCGAAACAGGUGGAGUCCAAUCAAGGACGGCUUGAACUCGCUCGGGAUUGACAGCAAUACCCUUACCAGAGAUUACAUGGCCUAGAUAGGUCACUUCUGACAACCAAAAUUCACACUUGGAGAAUUUGGCAUAAAGGCGAUGCUCUCGAAGUUUCAUCAAUACCAGCCUUAGAUGUUCGGCAUGUUCCUCUUCAUUCUUGGAGUAGAUGAGUAUGUCAUCGAGGUAUACUACGACGAAUUCGUCCAAGUACUCCAUGAAAACCGAGUUCAUUAACCGGGAGAAAGUGGCCGGGGCAUUGGUUAAACCGAAGGACAUGACGGUGUACUCGUAUUGGCCAUAACGAGUAACAAAGGCCAUUUUGGGAAUGUCCCCGUUUCUGAUUUUGAUUUGAUGGUAGCCCAACCUCAAAUCCAUCUUGGAGAAGACUGAGGAUCCAGCGAGCUGAUCAUACAGGUCGUUGAUCCUGGGAAGCGGGUAUUUGUUCUUGAUGGUGACCAGAUUGACAGGUCGGUAAUCCACAACCAUUCGAUCCGUUCCAUCCUUCUUCUUGACGAAGAGGACGGGGCAAGCCCAAGGAGAGGAGCUAGGACGGAUGAACCCUUUGUUCAAGGACUCAUCGAGUUGGCUCUUAAGCUCGGCUAGUUCUAAGGGUGCCAUCUUGUAGGGUCUUCUAGGAAUUGGAACGGUUCCUGGAACAAGGUCUAUCACAAACUCGACAUCCCGGUCAGGUGGAACACCUGGCAGUUCUUCCGGAAAGACAUCCGGGAAGUCUCGGACUACCGAAACGUCCUCAAGGUCUGGAAGAGGGUUGGCAUUGAGAGAGUAAAGUUGGCGCUUGGCCAUUCGAGUUACGACAUUAACUGUCUUGCCCGAGGGAUGAGUAAGUUGAACGGUUCUAGUGGCACAAUCAAUCUUGGCAUAAUGAGCCGACAUCCAGUCCAUACCCAAGAUGAUGUUUAUGUCGGAGGACUUGAGAGCUAUUAAGGAUGCAAGGAAAACAAGCCUAUCGACAAGAAUUUCGUUCCCAUGGCUUACCCUAGAGGUUUGCCAUUUGGAACCCGGAGUUUGAAUUACCAUGGAAGUGGGCAUGUCACAGAAUGUCGUGUUAUGCAACCGAGCAUAAUUCUCGGAUAUGAAUGAAUGAGAUGCUCCAGUAUCGAAAAGAACAGAUGCCGGAUGGCAGUUAACAAGGAGCGUACCAAGGACGACGUUGGGAUCCUCAUGAGCCUCUUCGGCUGAGACGUAGUUGACAUGGCCACGUGCAGUAGUGGCCGGCUUGGCGUAGAAAGUCUUUCCCGCGGGCUUACCACGGCCAACGGACUUUCCAGCUUGAUUGGGGUUGUUCUGGGACACUCUCGACUAUAGUGACCCGGUUCUCCACACUUGAAGCAUGUUACCACAAUGGGGCGUGGAGCAACAUUAGCAGCGGGGCCACCAUAGGGCUUGGGCGGUGCAAAUUGCUGGUUGGGACGAGGCGCCUCAAAGGAUGGCCUCGGGGUGAAUCUGGGUGGCAGUGCGGUGCUUGGAAUCCACACCCGGCGCUUCUGAGCUCCAGAGCCGGAUGAAGACCCAAAAUCACGAGAGUGCUUGCGUGAAGCGUCAUAAUCAGUCUGGCCUAUCUCAGCACCGAUAGCUUUAUUGACCAGCUUCUGGAAGGAUGUGCACUCGUGCAGACGGAGAUCGCGGCGAAGCUCAGGGCUAAGUCCCUUACGGAACCUUGCCUGCUUCUUGGCGUCAGUAGAAACCUCUUCAGGAGCAUAGCGUGCCAAGUUCCCAAAUUCUCGGCUAUAUGCAUCCACGGUCAGCCUUCCUUGGGUGAAGUUGCAGAACUCCUCCCUCUUGCGAUCCAUGAGACCUUCCGGAAUGUGAUGCUCACGGAAAGCCUCGCUAAACUCAGCCCAGGUAGUGAUUUGGCCGACCGGGCGCAUAGCUUCGUAGUUUUCCCACCAAUGGCUAGCGGGGCCCUCAAGAUGAUAAGCAGCAUAGGUAACCUUGUCGGCUUCAGCUACGUUGGCAGAACGUAGCUUGUGGGUGAUGCUGCGAAGCCAAUCAUCCGCGUCGAGGGGCUCGACGGAAUGGUUAAACUUUGGUGGGUACAGCUUGAUAAAGUCGUUGAUUGACACCAAGUCAUUUCGUGGGUGGCGUGCAGUGUUCUGCUCAAUCCGCUCCAGCAGGCGGUUGGUCUCACGCUUGUUCCUUUCCGCCUCCAGCAUUACUUCGGCCAGGGAAGGUGGGUGAGGCAAAUUUUCACCUCUAGCUGCAUUGGCUUCCCCCUGCUCCGGGGCAGCAGGGUUUCCGCGGGUGUUGACCAUCCUAGAAGGAAAACAAGACAACGGUUUAGACAAGGAUGGCUCAAACUUAACAGGGAAGUGCAGAAUGUAAAGGAUAACGCGGAAUGCAGAGAUGCUCAUUCGUAUGCCAUGGUAAUAUAAAACUGCCAUAUAUACACCAACGGUCAUACUCGUCAUACAUAGUUUAGUACAAGCCCAUGCUACAGUACAACUAUGAAGGUAGACGUUACAUCUCAUCGGAGGCAUUCCGAGUUCCUAUACAUUAUUUGUCUACACCUCCGGAAUUGAUUACACACCAAGUCGUAUUCCACAAGUCACACAGGACAGUGGAGAUACAACUACUACAAUACUAGUGGUACUACUACUAACUCAGAUAGCUCCGUAGUAGUCCUCAUAGAAGUCACCUCCAUAGCCUGGAAGUUCAACGUGAUCAUCCGGAAACAGAUGGUCCUGAGGAGCCUGUGGACCAUAGGGGCUAGGAUAAGGUCUUGGACCAACAAACGGUGGCCUGCGGGGACCAAGGGGUGGGGUGAUGCCUCCCACAUCACGCCAAUCCACCAUGUCUGGCAGAGCUACUCUCACAGGAUACAGAUCCCUGGUAUCCAUACAUCCCGCUUGCACCGCGGGUGCAAACCGAGUCAAUGUGGCCCAAUGAUCAGCACGGGUAUUAAAGAGCUCCAGCCUCAAGGCCCGAUUCUCUCGGUCCUUAUCUUCAAGCAUCUUAGCGGUGGUACGAGUUAAUGAGUCCUCCUGAGUGGAAUCAGCAUAGAUAGCCUGAAGAUACCCCUGCGCUCCCGGAAGGGAAGCUGGCAUGUAACGGAAGUCAGUGUUCCGAAGGAGGCCAGUCCGGACUCGCAAGAUGGUCAUCAUGGAAUAGGCAGCAUCCUGCACAGCCAUCUCAAUGGUAACUCCGAGUCCAUAGGAACAGUGAAGGGGCUCGGUAGAUCCAGGAUAGGAAGGAAAUAUCCUGACGGUGCAUAAAUACUGGCUUUGAUUAAAGUCGCGGAACUGCUCUUCAACAGUGUAUUCGGGAUACCAACGGUAUCCUGUCUCGAUCAUGACCCGGACCAACAUAGUAGUAUGACCGGGCACGUCGAGGCACCUGGUCAGGCGAACCACUUGAUUUUGAGAACGGUUGGCCAUCUGAAAGCACAACCACAAGACAAAGACAUCAGAAUUCCUAGGGAAAAUUGGACAGCAUAACGGUUGUAAAUGCUCAGAAAAAGAUUUGAGACAUCCACAACAGUUCACAAUACCGCUCAACAGCAUCAUAUCAAGGUUCUGAUUCAAAUAGCAACGUACUAAAAUAGUAGAACUGGACUGGAACUCGUAACAAUAAUCCUAUGAGCUACUACGGACUAGUAACACGUGAACCUGAUAGAAGAAGAGAGCCUAGUCCUUAACCCACGUUGAAUGAGAAGAGAAUGACUCAGAUCAGAAGCAUAGGGUAAAGGAGUAAAAAGAACCUUACGUUCCCUCCCACAAUCAAUUCCCUUACAUAUUACUAAAGCAUUUCUAGACUCGACAUCGACCAGUUUGGCUGAACGAACCUACAGGCAGUCCGGCUCUGAUACCAACGCUGUCAGGACCCCGAUUCUAAGCCACAUCGAUCUAGCCGGUAACACCUCAUAUCACUUUGCGGCCUCACACACGGUAUCCCACGGGUGUCGCCUUACCAUGGCCCGGGACCGUUUGCGCCUUUUGGCUCGCGUAUAUGACAAUGUCGCUAGCAUCCAUAUGACCGAGAACCCGGGCCGACAUGGCUAGUCGUGAACCCAAAGCGGCACAGACCUAUGGAGACAGGCAUACAUGAUUCACAACGAACAUGUCGGUCAUCAACGAGUGAUUCCGGGCUGUAGCACUGGGCUAACAGGACUCCGGGGAUCCCGGGCUGUAGCAGGCUAGAGAGGACUCCGGAGAUCACCGCGUGACAUUUCCCCGAAGGGACAGACAUAGGGACGAAGUGAAACACAUGCCGGCCAGUCAAGUGUCCUGAACACUAGUGCUGGGCUAGCAGGACUCCGGUGAACCGGGCUGUAGCGGACUACUAUGGCUCGAGGAGCACUAGACUACAUUUCCCCAUAAGAAAGGCUGCGAAGGACAAACAACUAGAUUGUCGGAUCCCACUCAUACCAAGCAUUUCAAUCAUACAUACAAUAUGCUCGAUAUGAGUACAUACAACAUGGCAUCACAACAAAACUCUACAACUCAAGUACUUAUUUAAAGGCUCCAGGGAGCCAUACAUAACAUAUCCAUAUAGGUAGGGGUCAUAUGACCCGAUACUCAAGUCAUACAGUCAUACAAGCACAUGCGGAAGCAACUAGUCUGAGUACAGACUCUAGAAAGAAAGAAGGCUUCUCGAAGCCUGUCUAUCUACAUAGGGCCCUCCAUGGCCUGGAUCACCACCUGGGUGGCUAGUCACUCGUCGACGUCAAGGUCUACGUAAAACCCAUCGGAGGGGGUAGUGUUGUCGUCUGAAAACAAUAAAUAAGCAAACAUGAGUACAAAGGUACUCAGCAAGUCUUACAUCAGAACCUACUAUACAUGCUCAUUCUCAAGAAGGUGGUGGGGUUUAUGCAGCAAGCCAGCUUUGACUCUUGGCUAAGCUAUCCUACGGAAUCUUUUAGCAAAAUAGUUUUCGCACACGAGUCCACUACUCACCAUCACAAUACUCCACCGUGGAUCCUCCCUCGUAUCCUACGAGGGGGCCAUCCUCGGUACUCACACUUAUCUUGAGUCUUUUAGUAGUAUCCAUUAACUUGUCUAUGAACUGUAUAGGCAACCAAGUAGUCCUUUAUACCCUGCAGGGGUGUACUUCGUCAUACACGCUUUCACCGCUUACCGCCGUCUACACGACAUGUACUCGGCAACCUUCAAGCGGAAGCCCAGCGAGGGUGUCGGCCACGGCCUACCUAAACACCUAAGCCCCUAGUCCAGGUUAUUGCCUAUCCAGGUUCCAUCCACAGGGAGUCCGGCCGAGGUUUCCACAUACGGCCCCGAACGAUGUGAACAGGGUUCCCGAGACACCAAACGGGUGACUCGGUACACCGUGCCACGGUGUAUCUACCGCAACAUAGCCCACCCCUAGGGUCAGCGCUACGCACGGCCACCAACACAUAUCCUACAAACACCAGAAACUAUUUGCAACUCCUGGACAGAGUACUAGGGUGGCUAAGAAGCCGAGAGGGUCCAUUGGUUUCGGGCCCAAUGUACGGUAGUAACUGCAUCUUAAAUCACACAUACAGAUCUCAGUUCUUAUGGACGGCUUCAAUGAAACAACCCACCAUGUACUCCUACAUGGCCUCUCAUCGAUACCUUUACCAAAACAUGUUCAACACAUCCCACAUAUUACUGGCACAAGCAUUUCACUCUAGCCCAUCCCCCAGAUGAACCAGACCUGACACAACUCUAAGCAUAGCAGGCAUAGCAAGGUAGGAAUCACAAAACAUGGCUCAAUCAACUCCUACACAUGCUAGAGGGUUUCAUCUAGUUACUGUGGCAAUGACAGGUCAUGCAGAGGAUAAGGGUUCAACUACCGUAACACACAGCAGUUUGAAUUGUGUUGUCUUAAUGCAGUAAACAAGAGCAGGAGCGAGAACAUGGGUUGUAUCGGAAUGAUCAAUGGUUGCUUGCCUGAUGGAGUGGUAACGGGAUACUGCCCUUCAGUUGGAUACUCGUGAAUAUCCUCGGAGGCAGAACCUACCACGAAGAACACAACCGAGCACAAUCAACACAUGACGAUAUGCAACAAUAUGAUGCAUGCUAUGACAUGGCAAUAUGGAUGUGUCUUGAGCUAAUGCAACUAGCUAUGAUUUAAAUGAAGUUGGUUUGAGUACAAGAUUCAAAUUCCAACCCCAUAUAUGAUUAUUUAAAUGCCCUUUAUUUGUUUUGUCCAAAACGGAGGACAAACAUUGUUCAAACAUGCAUGAAAAUGGUACAGAUGGAUUCCUUGAAUUUUUCUGAUAAUUUUACAUAUAUAAUUUAUCUCAUUUGGAGUUAUGGUUGAAUUUCUAUGAAUUUUUGAAGUUUUGUGUAUUUUCUGGAAUUUCCUGAAUUAUUUUUAAACUAGAAAAUGAUUUACUGCGUCAGCCUUGCGUCAGCAUGACAUCAGCAAGUCAACAGGGUUGCCUCCAGGUCAAACCUGACUAGUGGGACCCACUGGUCAGUGACUGAUUAACUAACUAAAGUUAAUUAGAGCCUGGGCCCACAUGUCAGUGUCUAUUUAACGUAAUUAAGUUAAUUAGGACUAACUAAAUCUAACACUAAUUAAAAAGGGGCCUGGCCCACACGUCAGUCAGUCAGGGGGUCAAACCCCUGGCCAGCAGGGUCAAACCUGCCGGCGACUUGACGCCGGCGAGGCCAGACACGGCGGAACGGCUCGGGUUUCGCCAACAGGCCACCAUUUGAUGCAUGGUUUCCUCCUACGGGUUCCUGGGAGUGAGGCGCAUCCAGAGAGACAAGCGGCAGCAGUUGGGGUGGCCGGAGCUGACGGCGGCGAGCUCUUUGGCGGCCGCCGGAGUUCGGUUGCGCGCGGGAUCGUGUUUCUGUGCGUAGAAGAGCGGGGCAAGGGGGCUAGGAGGGUGCUACGCAUCGCGGGGAGUAGGUUCGACACUCCAGGGUGACCAUUUGGUCACCGGAGCAUCGUCGACAGCGAGCUCGGGCGGCGGCGCACUUCGGUCAUCAUGGGGGUGACAACUACGGCAAUCAAUUGAAGCGGGGAAGAGGGGGAUUCGGAGCAGGAGCUCACUGGGGUCACGUAGAGCAGCUCGGUGGGCUCGGGGACGGUCCGGAGCCGACGAAUUUGACAAAGAUGGCCGGCGGUCCCGAGGUUGAAGAAGACGACGCCGAGGAUGAAGCAGGGCUUCUCGGCUCGCUUGGCUCGGUGCAGAAGGCGUAGGCGACAGUGGCGGAGCUUCCACGCAACACGGGAAGGCGAGAGGGGGUCGGCGAGCGCGGUGGCAGCGAACGGCGGCGACGGCGCGUUCGGGUGGUCGCGCGGGAGAGAAACAGGGGAGCAGGGAGAGCGAGGGAGAGGGAUAUGAGGGGGCCAGGGGGUGCGUGGCGUCCACAGCGACGUCCAGGCAUCGAGGGGGGGGGCGCGACAAGCAGGAGGUGGCCGUCGGUGGCCGCGCGCGUGCCGGCGCACCGCGGGCACACGCCCGGCGUCCUCCUGGCAGCAGCUAGGGGACGACUGGCGUCGGCCUGGUGGGCUGGGCCGUCCAGCUACAGUGCUGGGCCGGCAGGUAAGUCCAGGUGAGCCUCUGUUCUUUCUCUCUAAUUUAUUCUGUUUUCUAUUUUUGCUAUUCUGUUUUGAUUUAGUUUAAAUACUAAAUCAUUUUAUAAAAUCCUGAAAAUAUUUAUGGACACUUUCUGAAAUAUUUCAGUGGCCCAAAAAUAAUUCCAACAUUAUUUGAGCAUUUGAAUUAUUUAAUAGUAUUUAAAUGCCCAAAUUCAAAUAUUUAUGAAUUAAGUCAAUGCCCCUUUUGUUGACAUAAAAUUAUAUGCACCAUUUUUCCCAAGGGUUCUAACCCAAGGCAAAGAGGGUGAACAUAUCUGAAGGGCAUUUCAGGUUCAUUGAAUUUCUUUUUAGUAAACCCUAGUUGAUUUCACGGGGGGGGGGGUGCUGGGGGUUCUGCUUUCCCCAUUUCAAUUUCUGAUGAAUGUAAACAUGAUGCACACUCUAAUGCAUAACCUAGCUAGGGUGUGACACAUAUCUAGUAAAGUACGAUUACGACGUUCGGACACACCAUUACGCUGUGGUGUUCCGGGUGGCGUGAGUUGCGAAACUAUUCCACAAUUUUUCAAAUGUACACAAAACUCGUAACUCAAAUAUUAUCCUCCACGAUCAGAUCAUAGAAAACUUUAUUUUCUUGUUACGAUGAUUUUCAACUUCACUCUGAAAAUCCUUGAACUUUUCAAAUGUUUCAGACUUAUGUUUCAUUAAGUAGAUAUACCCAUAUCUGCUUAAAUCAUCUGUGAAGGUGAGAAAAUAACGAUAUCCGCCACGAGCUUCAAUAUUCAUCGGACCACAUACAUCGGUAUGUAUGAUCUCCAAUAAAUCUGUUGCUCUCUCCAUAGUACCGGAGAACGGUGUUUUAGUCAUCUUGCCUAUGAGGCACGGUUCGCAAGUACCAAGUGAUUCAUAAUCAAGUGGUUCCAAAAGCCCAUCAGUAUGGAGUUUCUUCAUGCGUUUUACACCGAUAUGACCUAAACGGCAGUGCUACAAAUAAGUUGCACUAUCAUUAUUAACUUUGCAUCUUUUGGUUUCAACAUUAUGAUUAUGUGUAUCACUACGACUGAGAUCCAACGAACUAUUUUCAUUGGGUGUGUAACCAUAUAAGGUUUUAUUCAUGUAAACAGAACAACAAUUUAUUCUCUUACUUAAAUGAAUAACCGUAUUACAAUAAAUAUGAUCAAAUCAUAUUUAUGUUCAACGCAAACACCAAAUAACACUUAUUUAGGUUCAACACUAAUCCCGAAAUUAUAGGGAGUGUGUGAUGAUGAUCAUAUCAAUCUUGGAACCACUUCCAACACACAUCGUCACUUCACCCUUAACUAGUCUCUGUUUAUUCUGCAACUCCCGUUUCGAGUUACUAAUCUUAGCAACUGAACUAGUAUCAAAUACUGAGGGUUUGCUAUAAACACUAGUAAAGUACACACUAAUAACAUGUAUAUCAAAUAUACUUAUGUUCACUUUGCCAUCCUUCUUAUCCGCCAAUCACUUGGAGUAGUUCCGCUUCCAGUGACCAGUCCCUUUGCAGUAGAAGCACUUAUUCUCAGGCUUAGGAUCAGACUUGGGCUUCUUCACUUGAGCAGCAACUUGCUUGUCGUUCUUCUUGAAGUUCCCCUUCUUCCCUCUGCCCUUUUCUUGAAACUAGUGGUCUUGUCAACCAUCAACACUUGAUGUUUUUCUUGAUUUCUACCUUCGUUGAUUUCAGCAUCACGAAGAGCUUGGGAGUUGUUUCCGUUAUCCCUUGCAUAUUAUAGUUCAUCACGAAGUUCUGCUAACUUGGUGAUGGUGACUAGAGAAUUCUGUCAAUCACUAUCUUAUCUGGAAGCUUAACUCCCACUUGAUUCAAGCGAUUGUAGUACCCAGACAAUCUGAGCACAUGCUCACUAGUUGAGCGAUUCUCCUCCAUCUUUUAGCUAUAGAACUUGUUGGAGACUUCAUAUCUCUCAACUCGGGUAUUUGCUUGAAAUAUUAACUUCAACUCCUGGAACAUCUCAUAUGGUCUAUGACGUUCAAAACGUCUUUGAAGUCCCGAUUCUAAGCCAUUAAGCAUGGUGCACUAAACUAUCAAGUAGUCAUCAUAUUGAGCCAGCCAAACGUUCAUAACGUCUGCAUCUGCUCCUACAAUAGGUCUGUCACCUAGCGGUGCAUCAAGGACAUAAUUCUUCUGUGCAGCAAUGAGGAUAAAACCUCAAAUCACGGAUCCAAUCCGCAUCAUUGCUACUAACAUCUUUCAACAUAAUUUUCUCUAGGAACAUAUCAAAAUAAACACAGGGAGGCAACAACGCGAGCUAUUGAUCUACAACAUGAUUUGCAAAAUACUACCAGGACUAAGUUCAUGAUAAAUUUAAGUUCAAUUUAAUCAUAUUACUUAAGAACUCCCACUUAGAUAGACAUCCCUCUAAUCCUCUAAGUGAUCACGUGAUCCAAAUCAACUAAACCAUAACCGAUCAUCACGUGAGAUGGAGUAGUUUUCAAUGGUGAACAUCAUUAUGUUGAUCAUAUCUACUAUAUGAUUCACGCUCGACCUUUCGGUCUCCGUGUUCCGAGGCCAUAUCUGUAUAUGCUUGGCUCGUCAAGUAUAACCUGAGUAUUCUGCGUGUGCAACUCUUUUGCACCCGUUGUAUUUGGACGUAGAGCUUAUCACACCCGAUCAUCACGUGGUGUCUGGGCACGACGAACUUUGGCAACGGUGCAUACUCAGGGAGAACACUUCUUGAUAAUUUAGUGAGAGAUCAUCUUAUAAUGCUACCGUCAAUCAAAGCAAGAUAAGAUGCAUAAAAGAUAAACAUCACAUGCAAUCAAUAUAAGUGAUAUGAUAUGGCCAUCAUCAUCUUGUGCCUGUGAUCUCCAUCUCCGAAGCACCGUCAUGAUCACCAUCGUCACCGGCGCGACACCUUGAUCUCCAUCGUAGCAUCGUUGUUGUCUCGCCAAUCUUAUGCUUCCACGACUAUCACUACCGCUUAGUAAUAAAGUUAAGCAUUACAUCGCGAUUGCAUUGCAUACAAUAAAGCGACAACCAUAUGGCUCCUGCCAGUUGCCGAUAACUUGGUUACAAAACAUGAUCAUCUCAUACAAUAAAAUCAGCAUCAUGCCUUGACCAUAUCACAUCACAACAUGCCCUGCAAAAACAAGUUAGACGUCCUCUACUUUGUUGUUGCAAGUUUUACGUGGCUGCUACGGGCUUAAGUAAGAACUCAUCUCACCUACGCAUCAAAACCACAACGAUAGUUCGUCAAAUAGACUCCGUUUUAACCUUCUCAAGGACCGGGCGUAGCCACACUUGGUUCAACUAAAGUUGGAGAGACAGUCUUCCGCAAGCCAUCUAUGUGCAAAGCACGUCGAGGGAACCGGUCUCGCGUAAGAGUACGCGUAAGGUUGGUCCGGAUCGUCUCGUCCAACAAUACCGCCGAACCAAAGUAUGACAUGCUGGUAGGCAGUAUGACUUGUAUCGCCCACAACUCACUUGUGUUCUACUCAUACAAAUAACAUCAAACCAUAAAACCUAGGCUCUGAUGCCACUGUUGGGGAACGUAGUAAUUUCAAAAUUUUCCUACGCACACGCAAGAUCAUGGUGAUGCAUAGCAACGAGAGGGGAGAGUGUUGUCUACGUACCAACGCAGACCGACUACGGAAGCGAUCACACAACGUAGAGGAAGUAGUCGUACGUCUUCUUUCCGAUCCGACCGAUCCAAGCACCGUUACUCCGGCACCUCCGAGUUCUUAGCACACGUACAGCUCGAUGGCGAUCCCCGGGCUCCGAUCCAGCAAAGCUUUAGGGAGGAUUUCCGUCAGCACGACGGCGUGGUGACGAUCUUGAUGUACUACCGACGCAGGGCUUCGCCUAAGCACUACAACGGUAUGAUCGAGGUGGAAUUUGGUGACAGGGGGCACCGCACACGGCUAAGGAACGAUCUCAAGGAUCAACUUGUGUGUCUUGGGGUGUCCCCUGCCCCCGUAUAUAAAGGAUGAAAGGGGGGAGGCUGGCCGGCCAAAGGAGGGAGGCGCAGGAGGAGUCCUACUCCUACCGGGAGUAGGACUCCUCCCCCCAAUCCUAUUCCUAAUAGGAUUCCCCAAAGGGGAAGAGAAGAGAGAGGUGGCCGGCCCCUCUCCUAGUCCUAAUAGGACUAGGGAGAGGGGGGAGGCGCAGCCUUAUGUGGGCUGCCCUCUCACCUUUCCACUAAGGCCCAUGUUGGCCCAUUUGGCUCCCGGGGGGUUCCGGUAACCCUCCCGGUAUUCCGGUAAAAUCCCGAUUUCACCUGGAACACUUCCGAUGUCCAAACAUAGGCUUCCAAUAUAUCAAUCUUUAUGUCUCGACCAUUUCGAGACUCCUCGUCAUGUUCGUGAUCACAUCCGGGACUCCGAACUACCUUCGGUACAUCAAAAUGCAUAAACUCAUAAUAACUGUCAUCGUAACGUUAAGCGUGCGGACCCUAUGGUUCGAGAACAAUGUAGACAUGACCGAGACACGUCUCCGGUCAAUAACCAAUAGCGGGACCUGGAUGCCCAUAUUGGCUCCUACAUAUUCUACGAAGAUCUUUAUCGGCCAGACCGCAUAACAACAUACGUUGUUCCCUUUGUCAUCGGUAUGUUACUUGCCCGAGAUUCGAUCGUCGGUAUCCAAUACCUAGUUCAAUCUCGUUACUGGCAAGUCUCUUUACUCGUUCCGUAAUACAUCAUCUCAUAACUAACAUCUUAGUUAUUAUGCUUGCAAGGCUUAUGUGAUGUGUAUUACCGAGAGGGCCCAGAGAUACCUCUCCGACAAUCGGAGUGACAAACCCUAAUCUCGAAAUACGCCAACCCAACAUCCACCAUUGGAGACACCUGUAGUACUCCUUUAUAAUCACCCAGUUACGUUGUGACGUUUGGUAGUACCCAAAGUGUUCCUCCGGUAAACGGGAGUUGCAUAAUCUCAUAGUUAUAGGAACAUGUAUAAGUCAUGAAGAAAGCAAUAGCAACAUACUAAACGAUCGGGUGCUAAGGUAAUGGAAUGGGUCAUGUCAAUCAGAUCAUUCAACUAAUGAUGUGACCUCGUUAAUCAAAUAACAACUCUUUGUUCAUGGUUAGGAAACAUAACCAUCUUUGAUUAAUGAGCUAGUCUAGUAGAGGCAUACUAGUGACACUCUGUUUUGUCUAUGUAUUCACACAUGUAUUAUGUUUCCGGUUAAUACAAUUCUAGCAUGAAUAAUAAACAUUUAUCAUGAUAUAAGGAAAUAAAUAAUAACUUUAUUAUUGCCUCUAGGGCAUAUUUCCUUCAGUCUCCCACUUGCACUAGAGUCAAUAAUCUAGUUCACAUUGCCAUGUGAUUUAACAGCAAUAGUUCACAUCACCAUGUGAUUAACACCCAUAGUUCACAUCGUCAUGUGACCAACACUCAAAGGGUUUACUAGAGUCAGUAAUCUAGUUCACAUAUCUAUGUGAUUAACACCCAAAGAGUACUAAGGUGUGAUCAUGUUUUGCUUGUGAGAUAAUUUUAGUCAACGGGUCUGUCACAUUCAGAUCCGUAAGUAUUUUGCAAGUUCCAUGUCUACAAUGCUCUACACGGAGCUACUCUAGCUAAUUGCUCCCACUUUCAAUAUGUAUCCAGAUUGUGACUUUAGAUUCAUCUGGAUCAGUGUCAAAAACUUGCAUCGAUGUAACCCUUUACGACGAACCUUUUUGUCACGUCCAUAAUCGAGAAACACAUCCUUAUUUCACUAAGGAUAAUUCUGACCGCUGUCCAGUGAUCUACUCCUAGAUCACUAUUGUACUCCAUUGCCAAAUCAGUGCAGGGUAUACAAUAGAUCUGGUACACAGCAUGGCAUACUUUAUAGAACCUAUGAAUGAGGCAUGGGGAAUGACUUUCAUUCUCUUUCUAUCUUCUGCCGUGGUCGGGCUUUGAGUCUUUACUCAACUUCACACCUUGUAACACAGGCAAGAAACUUUUUCUUUGACUGUUACGUUUUGAACUACUUCAAAAUCUUGUCAAGGUAUGUACUUAUUGAAAAACUUAUCAAGCGUCUUGAUCUAUCUCUAUAGAUCUUGAAGCUCAAUAUGUAAGCAGCUUUACCAAAGUCUUUCUUUGAAAAACUCCUUUCAAACACUCCUUUUAUGCUUUACAGAAUGAUUCUACAUUAUUUCCGAUCAACAAUAUGUCAUUCACAUAUACUUAUCAGAAAUGCUGUAGUGCUCCCACUCACUUUCUCGUAAAUACAGGCUUCACCGCAAGUCUGUAUAAAACUAUAUGCUUUGAUCAACUUAUCAAAGCGUAUAUUCCAACUCCGAGAUGCUUGCACCAGUCCACAGAUGGAUCGCUGGAGCUUGCACAUUUUGUUAGCACCUUUCGGAUUGACAAAACCUUCUAGUUGCAUCACAUACAACUCUUUUUUAGUAAAUCCAUUAAGGAAUGCAGUUUUGUUUAUCCAUUUGCCAGAUUUCAUAAAAUGCGGCAAUUGCCAACAUGAUUCGGACAGACUUAAGCAUAGAUACGAGUGAGAAAAACUCAUCGUCGUCAACACUUUGAACUUGUCGAAAACCUUUUUCGACAAUUCUAGCUUUGUAGAUAGUAACACUACUAUCAGCGUCCGUCUUCCUCUUGAAGAUCCAUUUAUUUUCUAUGGUUUGCCGAUCAUCGGGCAAGUCAACCAAAGUCCAUACUUUGUUCUCAUACAUGGAUCAUAUCUCAGAUUUCAUGGCUUCAAGCCACUUUGCGGAAUCUGGGCUCACCAUCGCUUCUUCAUAGUUCGUAGGAUCAUCAUGAUCUUGUAGCAUGACUUCCAGAACAGGAUUACCGUACCACUCUGGCGCGGAUCUUUUACUCUGGUUGAUCUACGAGGUUCAGUAGUGUCUUGUUCUGAAGUUUCAUGAUCAUCAUCAUUAGCUUCCUCACUAACUGGUGUAGGUGUCACAGAAACAUUUUUCUGUGAUGUACUACUUUCCAAUAAGGGAGCAGGUACAGUUACCUCGUCAAGUUCUACUUUCCUCCCACUCACUUCUUUCGAGAGAAACUCCUUCUCCAGAAAGUUUCCGAAUUUAGCAACAAAAGUCUUGCCUUCGGAUCUGUGAUAGAAGGUGUAUCCAACAGUUUCCUUUGGAUAUCCUAUGAAGAUGCACUUCUCCGAUUUGAGUUUUGAGCUUAUCAGGAUGAAACUUUUUCAUAUAAGCAUCGCAACCCCAAACUUUAAGAAACGACAACUUUGGUUUCUUGCCAAACCAUAGUUCAUAAGGCGUCGUCUCGACGGAUUUAGAUGGUGCCCUAUUUAACGUGAAUGCAGCUGUCUCUAAUGCAUAACCCCAAAACGAUAGUGGUAGAUCGGUAAGAUACAUCAUAGAUUGCACCAUAUCUAGUAAAGUACGAUUACGACGUUCGGACACACCAUUACGCUGUGGUGUUCCGGGUGGCGUGAGUUGCGAAACUAUUCCACAAUUUUUCAAAUGUACACAAAACUCGUAACUCAAAUAUUAUCCUCCACGAUCAGAUCGUAGAAACUUUAUUUUCUUGUUACGAUGAUUUUCAACUUCACUCUGAAAAUCCUUGAACUUUUCAAAUGUUUCAGACUUAUGUUUCAUUAAGUAGAUAUACCCAUAUCUGCUUAAAUCAUCUGUGAAGGUGAGAAAAUAAUGAUAUCCGCCACGAGCUUCAAUAUUCAUCGGACCACAUACAUCGGUAUGUAUGAUCUCCAAUAAAUCUGUUGCUCUCUCCAUAGUACCGGAGAACGGUGUUUUAGUCAUCUUGCCUAUGAGGCACGGUUCGCAAGUACCAAGUGAUUAAUAAUCAAGUGGUUCCAAAAGCCCAUCCGUAUGGAGUUUCUUCAUGCGUUUUACACCGAUAUGACCUAAACGGCAGUGCUACAAAUAAGUUGCACUAUCAUUAUUAACUUUGCAUCUUUUGGUUUCAACAUUAUGAUUAUGUGUAUCACUACGACUGAGAUCCAACGAACUAUUUUCAUUGGGUGUGUAACCAUAUAAGGUUUUAUUCAUGUAAACAGAACAACAAUUUAUAAUCUUACUUGAAUGAAUAACCGUAUUACAAUAAAUAUGAUCAAAUCAUAUUUAUGUUCAACGCAAACACCAAAUAACACUUAUUUAGGUUCAACACUAAUCCCGAAAUUAUAGGGAGUGUGUGAUGAUGAUCAUAUCAAUCUUGGAACCACUUCCAACACACAUCGUCACUUCACCCUUAACUAGUCUCUGUUUAUUCUGCAACUCCCGUUUCGAGUUACUAAUCUUAGCAACUGAACUAGUAUCAAAUACUGAGGGUUUGCUAUAAACACUAGUAAAGUACACAUUAAUAACAUGUAUAUCAAAUAUACUUAUGUUCACUUUGCCAUCCUUCUUAUCCGCCAAUCACUUGGGGUAGUUCCGCUUCCAGUGACCAGUCCCUUUGCAGUAGAAGCACUUAUUCUCAGGCUUAGGAUCAGACUUGGGCUUCUUCACUUGAGCAGCAACUUGCUUGUCGUUCUUCUUGAAGUUCCCCUUCUUCCCUCUGCCCUUUUCUUGAAACUAGUGGUCUUGUCAACCAUCAACACUUGAUGUUUUUCUUGAUUUCUACCUUCGUUGAUUUCAGCAUCACGAAGAGCUUGGGAGUUGUUUCCGUUAUCCCUUGCAUAUUAUAGUUCAUCACGAAGUUCUGCUAACUUGGUGAUGGUGACUAGAGAAUUCUGUCAAUCACUAUCUUAUCUGGAAGAUUAACUCCCACUUGAUUCAAGCGAUUGUAGUACCCAGACAAUCUGAGCACAUGCUCACUAGUUGAGCGAUUCUCCUCCAUCUUUUAGCUAUAGAACUUGUUGGAGACUUCAUAUCUCUCAACUCGGGUAUUUACUUGAAAUAUUAACUUCAACUCCGGGAACAUCUCAUAUGGUCCAUGACGUUCAAAACGUCUUUGAAGUCCCGAUUCUAAGCCAUUAAGCAUGGUGCACUAAACUAUCAAGUAGUCAUCAUAUUGAGCCAGCCAAACGUUCAUAACGUCUGCAUCUGCUCCUGCAAUAGGUCUGUCACCUAGCGGUGCAUCAAGGACAUAAUUCGUCUGUGCAGCAAUGAGGAUAAAACCUCAAAUCACUGAUCCAAUCCGCAUCAUUGCUACUAACAUCUUUCAAUAUAAUUUUCUCUAGGAACAUAUCAAAAUAAACACAGGGAGGCAACAACGCGAGCUAUUGAUCUACAACAUGAUUUGCAAAAUACUACCAGGACUAAGUUCAUGAUAAAUUUAAGUUCAAUUUAAUCAUAUUACUUAAGAACUCCCACUUAGAUAGACAUCCCUCUAAUCCUCUAAGUGAUCACGUGAUCAAAAUCAACUAAACCAUAACCGAUCAUCACGUGAGAUGGAGUAGUUUUCAAUGGUGAACAUCAUUAUGUUGAUCAUAUCUACUAUAUGAUUCACGCUCGACCUUUCGGUCUCCGUGUUCCGAGGCCAUAUCUGUAUAUGCUUGGCUCGUCAAGUAUAACCUGAGUAUUCUGCGUGUGCAACUGUUUUGCACCCGUUGUAUUUGGACGUAGAGCUUAUCACACCCGAUCAUCACGUGGUGUCUGGGCACGACGAACUUUAGCAAUGGUGCAUACUCAGGGAGAACACUUCUUGAUAAUUUAGUGAGAGAUCAUCUUAUAAUGCUACCGUCAAUCAAAGCAAGAUAAGAUGCAUAAAAGAUAAACAUCACAUGCAAUCAAUAUAAGUGAUAUGAUAUGGCCAUCAUCAUCUUGUGCCUGUGAUCUCCAUCUCCGAAGCACCGUCAUGAUCACCAUCUUCACCGGCGCGACACCUUGAUCUCCAUCGUAGCAUCGUUGUCGUCUCGCCAAUCUUAUGCUUCCACGACUAUCACUACCGCUUAGUAAUAGAGUUAAGCAUUACAUCGCGAUUGCAUUGCAUACAAUAAAGCGACAACCAUAUGGCUCCUGCCAGUUGCCAAUAACUUGGUUACAAAACAUGAUCAUCUCAUACAAUAAAAUCAGCAUCAUGCCUUGACCAUAUCACAUCACAACAUGCCCUGCAAAAACAAGUUAGACGUCCUCUACUUUGUUGUUGCAAGUUUUACGUGGCUGCUACGGGCUUAAGUAAGAACUCAUCUCACCUACGCAUCAAAACCACAACGAUAGUUCGUCAAAUAGACUCCGUUUUAACCUUCUCAAGGACCGGGCGUAGCCACACUUGGUUCAACUAAAGUUGGAGAGACAGUCUUCCGCAAGCCAUCUAUGUGCAAAGCACGUCGAGGGAACCGGUCUCGCGUAAGAGUACGCGUAAGGUUGGUCCGGAUCGUCUUGUCCAACAAUACCGCCGAACCAAAGUAUGACAUGCUGGUAGGCAGUAUGACUUGUAUCGCCCACAACUCACUUGUGUUCUACUCAUGCAAAUAACAUCAAACCAUAAAACCUAGGCUCUGAUGCCACUGUUGGGGAACGUAGUAAUUUCAAAAUUUUCCUACGCACACGCAAGAUCAUGGUGAUGUAUAGCAACGAGAGGGGAGAGUGUUGUCUACGUACCAACGCAGACCGACUGCGGAAGCGAUCACACAACGUAGAGGAAGUAGUCGUACGUCUUCUUCCCGAUCCGACCGAUCCAAGCACCGUUAUUCCGGCACCUCCGAGUUCUUAGCACACGUACAGCUCGAUGGCGAUCCCCGGGCUCCGAUCCAGCAAAGCUUCGGGGAGGAGUUCCGUCAGCACGACGGCGUGGUGACGAUCUUGAUGUACUACCGACGCAGGGCUUCGCCUAAGCACUACAACGGUAUGAUCGAGGUGGAAUUUGGUGGCAGGGGGCACCGCACACAGCUAAGGAACGAUCUCAAGGAUCAACUUGUGUGUCUUGGGGUGUCCCCUGCCCCCGUAUAUAAAGGAUGAAAGGGGGGAGGCUGGCCGGCCAAAGGAGGGAGGCGCAGGAGGAGUCCUACUCCUACCGGGAGUAGGACUCCUCCCCCCAAUCCUAUUCCUAAUAGGAUUCCCCAAAGGGGAAGAGAAGAGAGAGGUGGCCGGCCCCUCUCCUAGUCCUAAUAGGACCAGGGAGAGGGGGGGAGGCGCAGCCCUAUGUGGGCUGCCCUCUAACCUUUCCACUAAGGCCCAUGUUGGCCCAUUUGGCUCCCGGGGGGUUCCGGUAACCCUCCCGGUAUUCCGGUAAAAUCCCGAUUUCACCCGGAACACUUCCGAUGUCCAAACAUAGGCUUCCAAUAUAUCAAUCUUUAUGUCUCGACCAUUUCGAGACUCCUCGUCAUGUCCGUGAUCACAUCCGGGACUCCGAACUACCUUCGGUACAUCAAAAUGCAUAAACUCAUAAUAACUGUCAUCGUAACGUUAAGCGUGCGGACCCUACGGUUCGAGAACAAUGUAGACAUGACCGAGACAUGUCUCCGGUCAAUAACCAAUAGCGGGACCUAGAUGCCCAUAUUGGCUCCUACAUAUUCUACGAAGAUCUUUAUCGGCCAGACCGCAUAACAACAUACGUUGUUCCCUUUGUCAUCGGUAUGUUACUUGCCCGAGAUUCGAUCGUCGGUAUCCAAUACCUAGUUCAAUCUCGUUACUGGCAAGUCUCUUUACUCGUUCCGUAAUACAUCAUCUCAUAACUAACAUCUUAGUUAUUAUGCUUGCAAGGCUUAUGUGAUGUGUAUUACCGAGAGGGCCCAGAGAUACCUCUCCGACAAUCGGAGUGACAAACCCUAAUCUCAAAAUACGCCAACCCAACAUCCACCAUUGGAGACACCUGUAGUACUCCUUUAUAAUCACCCAGUUACGUUGUGACGUUUGGUAGUACCCAAAGUGUUCCUCCGAUAAACGGGAGUUGCAUAAUCUCAUAGUUAUAUGAACAUGUAUAAGUCAUGAAGAAAGCAAUAGCAACAUACUAAACGAUCGGGUGCUAAGCUAAUGGAAUGGGUCAUGUCAAUCAGAUCAUUCAACUAAUGAUGUGACCUCGUUAAUCAAAUAACAACUCUUUGUUCAUGGUUAGGAAACAUAACCAUCUUUGAUUAACGAGCUAGUCUAGUAGAGGCAUACUAGUGACACUCUGUUUUGUCUAUGUAUUCACACAUGUAUUAUGUUUCCGGUUAAUACAAUUCUAGCAUGAAUAAUAAACAUUUAUCAUGAUAUAAGGAAAUAAAUAAUAACUUUAUUAUUGCCUCUAGGGCAUAUUUCCUUCAGGUAUAACCAUGCUCGGUCUUCAAGUCAACUCUCUUUACCUCCAUAGUUUUGUUAGGACUGAAACCUAUCUUAUCCAAGACUAAAAUUCUUGCAUGGCAGGGGAUACACUAGUAGAAUAGUGAAAAUUUAAAAUUAUAAGUUGACGCAAAUGAAGCAUAAGUCAUGCUUAAUUACGAAAAAAGACUUGUCGUUGUGACUUGCUGUAUCCAUUUCAAAGGUCUCAUCCAGCUUGAUACUAAAGCGCAUAUCGUCAACUACGAAUUUUUUGAUACACAAGUCGCGCUCGUCUUCGCAGCAUUCGCACAUAACGAAAUUGUUUUCGUCGUCAGACGACAUUUCCUAUGUUCAUAGUUGAAACAUUAAUUGAUAAACACUUACUAGCUAGCCAGUUCUAUAUUAACUCAACUAAUUCAACUAAGCACUUACUAAAAAUAAACUAAUUCAAUUAAUUUUCUUACUAAAAAUAAAGAAGGUAGUUCUAUAUAUAGUAAAUUUAAUAUAUCUAACAUUUGACAUUACUAUAUAUAAUUCAUCUAUAACUAUAAAAGUAUUCAAACUAACUCAUCUAACAUUAAUAUUUAACAUUUGACAUUAAUACCUAACAUAUAUUUCUAUCUAAUUCAUCUAACAUUUGACAUUAAUCUAACAUUUAUAUAAACUAAUAAAAGUGUAUAUAUAUAAUUAAAAACAAAAAACAAAAAAAGCAUUAACAAAAAAAGAGAAAAUCGUGUGUUUGUGAGGCCGCCGACGCGCGGUCGAUCUCUUACAGCGGGGCGACGACCGGGACGGGCUGGGGCGCGGCGACUGUGGUAGGGGCGGCGACGUCGACGACAGGGACGGCCGGGCUGGGGCGCGGCGCACAAAGGGGGCGGCCGGCAACGACGGCGGAGGGCGGCGAUGACGGCGCGGUGGGGCGAGACUGUGACGCCCCCGAUUCAAUCAUACACUAAUCAUACACGCAAACGUGUACGAUCAAGAUCAGGGACUCACGGGAAGAUAUCACAACACAACUCUACAAAUGAAAUAAGUCAUACAAGCAUCAUAUUACAAGCCAGGGGCCUCGAGGGCUCGAAUACAAGAGCUCGAUCAUAGACGAGUCAGCGGAAGCAACAAUAUCUGAGUACAGACAUAACUUAAACAAGUUUGCCUUAAGAAGGCUAGCAUAAACUGAGAUACGAAUCGAAAGAGGCGCAUGCCUCCUGCCUGGGAUCCUCCUAAACUACUCCUGGUCGUCGCCAGCGGGCUGCACGUAGUAGUAGGCACCUCCCGAGUAGUAGUAGUCGUCGUCGAUGGUGGCAUCUGGCUCCUAGGCUCCAACGUCUGGUCGCAGCAAUCGGGUAUAGAAAAGGGGGGAAAGAGGGAGCAAAGCAACCGUGAGUACUCAUCCAAAGCACUCGCAAGCAAGGAGCUACACUACAUAUCUAUGCAUUGAUAUCAAAUGGAAUGAGGGUAUCAUACGUGGACUGAACUGCAGAAUGCCGGAAUAAGAGGGGGAUAGCUAGACCUAUCGAAGACUACGCUUCUGGCCACCUCCAUCUUGCAGCAUGUAGAAGAGAGUAGAUGGUAAGUUCACCAAGUAGCAUCGUGUAGCAUAACCCUAACAGAUGAUCCUCCCCUCGUCGCCCUGUGAGAGAGUGACCACCGGUUGUAUCUGACACUUGGAAGGGUGUCUUUUAUUAAGUAUCCGGUUCUAGUUGUCAUAAGGUCAAGGUACAACUCCAAGUCGUCAUGUUACCGAACAUCACGGCUAUUCGAAUAGAUUAACUUCCCUGUAGGGGUGCACCACAUAACCCAACACGCUCGAUCCCCCUUGUCCGGACACACUUUUUUGGGUCAUGCCCGUCCUCGGAAGAUCAACACGUCGCAACCCAACCUAGGCACAACAGAGAGGUCAUCACGCCGGUCUAAAUCCUAUGGCGCAGGGGUCUGGGCCCAUCGCCCAUUGCACACCUGCAUGUUGCGCACGCGGCCGGUGAGCAGACCUAGCCUUCCUUAUACAAGGGUAGAUGUUCCAGUCCAACCCGGCGCGCGCCGCUCAGUCGCUGACGUCACGAAAGCUUCGGCUUAUACCACGACGUCGAGUGCCCAUAACUGUCCCCGCGUAGAUGGUUAGUGCGUAUAAGCCUGUGGCCAGACUCAGAUCAAAUACCAAGAUCUCAUUAAGCAUGUUAAGUAUCCGCAAAUGCCGACCAGGGCCAGGCCCACCUCUCUCCUAGGUGGUCUCAACCUGACCUGUCGCCCCGCCUCAAAGUAACAGUCGGGGGCCAUCGGGAACCCAGGCCCACCUCUAUCGGGAUGGAGCCACCUGCCCCUUUGGCCCCCAUCUCCGAACAGUAUCAUAAGUAAUGCAACAGUAUAAGUAUAUAUCAUAUGCCCGUGAUCACCUCCCGAAGUGAUCACGGCCCAGUAGUAUAGCAUGGCAGACGAACAAGAGUGUAGGGCCACUGAUGGAACACUAGCAUCCUAUACUAAGCAUUAGGUUUGCAGGUAAAGGUAACAAUAGUAGUAGCAAGGACAUGCUAUGCAUCAGGAUAGGAUUAACGGAAAGCAGUAACAUGUUACACUACUCUAAUGCAAGCAGUAGAGUGAGAUUAGGCGAUAUCUGGUGAUCAAGGGGGGGGGCUUGCCUGGUUGGUCAGACAAGAAGGAGGGGUCGUCGGUGACGUAGUCGACCACAGGGGCAUCAGCAUCAUCACGGGGUCUACCGAAGAGAAGAGGGGGAAGAAACAGUAAAUAUAUAGCAAGGAAGUGCAUAACGAGGUAUGAGGUGAUACCGGUGAAGGGGGGAAACAUCCGGGAAAGUAUUCCCGAUGUUUCGCGUUUUCGGACAGAUGAACCGGAGAGGGAAAGUUGCGUGUUUGCUAUGCCAGGGAUGCGUGGCGGACGAACGGGCUACGUAUCCGGAUUCGUCUCCUCGUUCUGAGCAACUUUCAUGUACAAAGUUUUUUCAUCCGAGCUACAGUUUAUUUUAUAUUAAUUUUAAAAGAUUUAUUUCAUUUUUAGGAUUUAUAUAAUUACUUAAAUUAAACAUUAUCCAGAAUAGUGUUUGAUGAUGUCAGCAUGACGUCAGCAGUCAUCGUUGACCGUUGACCUGGUCAACCUGACAUGUGGGUCCAGUGGGACCCACCUGUCAUUCUCUGCUAAGCCAAAUUAGGGUUUAGGUUAAUUAACUAGGAUUAAUUAGUUGUUUUAGUUUAAUUAAUCAAAAUUAAUUAAGUUAAUUAAUUCUUUAACUAAUCCUCUAAUUAAUUAAUUUAAUUAAUAUUUUUUUAAUUUCCUUCUUUUUCGUUCUAGGCUGGGCCCAGUGGUCAUAGGCACAUCGGCCUUACUGGGCAUUCGGGUAGGCGGGUGCGGGCGAAGUCGCAGCCCUACCCGGUAACGCGGCGAGGCCCGAACGGGGCCGGAGCGGGCGCGUGGGCGCCGGCGCUCGACGCGGCCAGCGGGUGCGAGGGCCACAGCCACGGCGAGGCCAGGAGGCCGGAGCGGCGCAUGGAAGAGGCGGCCAUCGCGGCGAGGGGCUGCAGCAGAGGGANNNNNNNNNNNNNNNNNNNNNNNNNNNNNNNNNNNNNNNNNNNNNNNNNNNNNNNNNNNNNNNNNNNNNNNNNNNNNNNNNNNNNNNNNNNNNNNNNNNNNNNNNNNNNNNNNNNNNNNNNNNNNNNNNNNNNNNNNNNNNNNNNNNNNNNNNNNNNNNNNNNNNNNNNNNNNNNNNNNNNNNNNNNNNNNNNNNNNNNNNNNNNNNNNNNNNNNNNNNNNNNNNNNNNNNNNNNNNNNNNNNNNNNNNNNNNNNNNNNNNNNNNNNNNNNNNNNNNNNNNNNNNNNNNNNNNNNNNNNNNNNNNNNNNNNNNNNNNNNNNNNNNNNNNNNNNNNNNNNNNNNNNNNNNNNNNNNNNNNNNNNNNNNNNNNNNNNNNNNNNNNNNNNNNNNNNNNNNNNNNNNNNNNNNNNNNNNNNNNNNNNNNNNNNNNNNNNNNNNNNNNNNNNNNNNNNNNNNNNNNNNNNNNNNNNNNNNNNNNNNNNNNNNNNNNNNNNNNNNNNNNNNNNNNNNNNNNNNNNNNNNNNNNNNNNNNNNNNNNNNNNNNNNNNNNNNNNNNNNNNNNNNNNNNNNNNNNNNNNNNNNNNNNNNNNNNNNNNNNNNNNNNNNNNNNNNNNNNNNNNNNNNNNNNNNNNNNNNNNNNNNNNNNNNNNNNNNNNNNNNNNNNNNNNNNNNNNNNNNNNNNNNNNNNNNNNNNNNNNNNNNNNNNNNNNNNNNNNNNNNNNNNNNNNNNNNNNNNNNNNNNNNNNNNNNNNNNNNNNNNNNNNNNNNNNNNNNNNNNNNNNNNNNNNNNNNNNNNNNNNNNNNNNNNNNNNNNNNNNNNNNNNNNNNNNNNNNNNNNNNNNNNNNNNNNNNNNNNNNNNNNNNNNNNNNNNNNNNNNNNNNNNNNNNNNNNNNNNNNNNNNNNNNNNNNNNNNNNNNNNNNNNNNNNNNNNNNNNNNNNNNNNNNNNNNNNNNNNNNNNNNNNNNNNNNNNNNNNNNNNNNNNNNNNNNNNNNNNNNGGCCAGCUGGGCCACUUGUGGCAUCAUUAGUAGAGGGUUACCGUAGCUUAAUUAUCCGGGCGUCACAGAGACGACGGGGGCGGGCUGGGGUGCCGACGACGGCGACGAGGACGGGGGGGGGGGCGACGGGGACGGGCCACGGGCGACGAGGCAGGGACGGGCGACGCGCUCGAUCGACGAUGUAUGACGGGGACGGGCGGGCACGACGACGAGGGCAGGGACGGGCGCACGCGACGGGGGCGGCGACGGUGACGACUAAUAUAAUUUUUGAUUGUUCCUUGCCAAUAUUAUACAACUUUCAUAUACUUUUGGCAACUUUUUAUACUAUUUUUGGGACUAACAUAUUGAUCCAGUGCCCAGUGCCAGUUCCUGUUUGUUGCAUGUUUGUGUUACGCAGAAUAUCCAUAUCAAACGGAAUCCAAACGGGAUAAAAACGAAUGGAGUUUAUUUUUGGAACGGGAUAAAAAUGCAGGCGAGACGGUGUCCGAGGUGGCCACGAGGCAAGGGGGCACGGCUGCCCCCCUAGGCGCACCCCUGACCCUCGUGGGCCACCCGUAAGGCGGUUGAUGCCCUUCUUCGGCCGCAAGAAAGCUAAUUUUUGGUAAAAAAAUCAUGGCGAAGCUUUCGGUCCAAUCGGCGUUACGGAUCUCCAUAUAUAUACGAAAUGGUGAAAGGGCGGCAGAAGAGAACGCAGAAACAAAGAGAGACAGAGAGACAGAUCCAAUCUCGGAGGGGCUCUCACCCCUCCCAUGCUAUGGAGGCCAAGGACCAGAGGGGAAACCUUUCUCCCAUCUAGGGAGGAGGUCAAGGAAGAAGAAGACGAAGGGGCCCCCUCUCCCAUUCUCUUCCGGUGGCGCCGGAGCGCUGCCGUGGCCAUCAUCAUCAUCACCGCGAUCUACAUCAACACCUCUGUCAUCUUCACCAACAUCUUCAUCACCUUCCCCCCUCUAUCUACAGCGGUCCACUCUCCCGCAACCCGUUGUACCCUCUACUUGAACAUGGUGCUUUAUGCUUUAUAUUAUUAUCCAAUGAUGUCUUGCCACCCUAUGAUGUCUGAGUAGACUUUCGUUGUCCUAUUGGUGAUUGAUGAAUUGCUAUGAUUGAUUUAAUUUGCUUGUGGUUAUGUUGCUAUCCAUCAUAUGAGUGCGCGCGUGGAUCGCACCAUAGGGUUAGUUGUAUAUUGAUAGGACUAUGUAUUGGAGGGCAAGAGUGACAGAAACUUCAACCUAGCAUAGAAAUUGAUGCAUACGGGAUUGAAGGGGGAGCAAUAUAUCUUAAUGCUAUGGUUGGGUUUUACCUUAAUGAACGUUAGUAGUUGCGGAUGCUUGCUAAUAGUUCCAAUCAUAAGUGCAUAGAAUUUCAAGUCAGGGAUGACAUGCUAGCAGUGGCCUCUCCCACAUAAUACGUGCUAUCGGUCUAGUAAAGUAGUCAAUUGCUUAGGGGCAAUUUCGCAACUCCUACCACCACUUUUCCACACUCGCUAUAUUUACUUUAUUGCUUCUUUACUUGCAACAUCCCCUACUUUUUAUUUACUUGAUCUUAAUUAUCUUGCACACCUAUCCAACAACACCUACAAAGUGCUUCUAGUUCCAUACUUUUUCUAGUUAAAGCGAACAUCAAGCAUGCGUAGAAUUGUAUCGGUGGUCGAUAGAACUUGAGGGAAUAUUUGUUCUGCCUUCAGCUUCUCGUUGGGUUCGACACUCUUACUUAUCGAAAAUUGUUGCGAUCCCCUAUACUUGUGGGUUAUCAAGAGCGCGCGAUGGUGGCGGCAAUGGGCGUGCGACGAAGAAGAAGAAACUAACUUCGUAAGUGUUGUAUAUAUAGGAGCGACCAUUAGUACCGGUUAGAGCCACCAACCGAUUCUAAAGGUCAAAUUUGGCCAGGCCAAGCUGCGGGAAGAGACCCCCUUUAGUACCGUGUGGUGGCUCCAACCGGUACUAAAGACCCCCCUUUAGUGCCGGUUGGAGCCACUAACCGGUACUAAAGGGGGUGUGCUCCCUGUAGAAAGUUUAGUCCGACCUCGCCGGGCAAAGGGCAGCCGCACUGGUUAUAAACCUAGCCGCGAUUGCUCUAUCGAACUCCUCUGUAAAGCAGGCUUCUGGGCCUACCUAUGGCGCGCUGUCCUCUGAGCCUGCUGGCCCUUGUGGGGCUGAAUUUCCACGCCCAAGGCCUAGCAGGCCCACUGGACAGCGCCCCAACAAUUUUGUAUAUAGUUUUUUCUUUUCUUCUUUAUUUAUUAUCUUCUAUUUAUUUCUAAGUAGUUUUUUAUAUAGUUUUUUUCUUUUUUGCUUUAUUUAUUUCUNNNNNNNNNNNNNNNNNNNNNNNNNNNNNNNNNNNNNNNNNNNNNNNNNNNNNNNNNNNNNNNNNNNNNNNNNNNNNNNNNNNNNNNNNNNNNNNNNNNNNNNNNNNNNNNNNNNNNNNNNNNNNNNNNNNNNNNNNNNNNNNNNNNNNNNNNNNNNNNNNNNNNNNNNNNNNNNNNNNNNNNNNNNNNNNNNNNNNNNNNNNNNNNNNNNNNNNNNNNNNNNNNNNNNNNNNNNNNNNNNNNNNNNNNNNNNNNNNNNNNNNNNNNNNNNNNNNNNNNNNNNNNNNNNNNNNNNNNNNNNNNNNNNNNNNNNNNNNNNNNNNNNNNNNNNNNNNNNNNNNNNNNNNNNNNNNNNNNNNNNNNNNNNNNNNNNNNNNNNNNNNNAUUUCUGAGUAGUUUUUUAUAUAGUUUUUUUUUCUGCUUUAUUUAUUUUCUUCUACUUAUUUUUUAGUAGUUUUUAUAUAGUUUUUUUUUCUUUUCUGCUUUACUUAUGCCAAGUUUCAACCUUUUCAAAGUUCGUUUGUAGUGCUUUUCAAUUUCAUGGUCAUUUAGCUCAAAACAAAUCAGUGAAUGCAUCAAAAAUAUCAAAUUAUGUCAGAAAGGGUUGAAAGUUGACGACGUGGCUUUGAAUGGUGCAUAAUGAACGCAAAAAAGUCUGGAGUUGUAAUAAAUUAUUAAAAUUUUGAAUAGCCGGUGUAACAGAUGAGUUUUCGUCCGAAACCCUAAUACUUCGAAAGAGAGUGUCCAGUUUGUACACGAAGUGCAUCUAGCUUUUGCCGUAACCAUCUCUACUUUUUUGCACAUGCCAUGUGGGUGAAAUGAUGAUACCAUGCCAAGUUUCAACCUUUUUUAGAGUUCAUUUGUAGUGCUUUCCAAUUUCGGGGUCAUUUAGCUCAAAACAAAUCAGUAAAUGCAUAAAAAAUGUCAAAUUAUGUCAGAAAAGGUUGAAAGUAGAAGACAUGGCUUUGAAUGGUGCAUAAUGAACGCACAAAAACUCUAGAGUUGUAAUAAGUUAUUAAAAUUUUGAAUAGCCCGAGUAACAGAUGAGUUAUAGUUUGAAACCCUGAUACUUCAAAACAGAGUGUUCAUUUUGUACAUGAUGUGCAUCCAGUUUUUGCCGUAACCACCUCUAUUUUUUUGCACAUGCCAUGUGGGUGAAAUGAUGAUACCAUGCCAAGUUUCAACCUUUUCAGAGUUCAUUUGUAGUGCUUUUUCAAUUUCAGGGUCAUUUAGCUCAAAAGAAAUCAGUAAAUGCAUCAAAAAUAUCAAAUUAUGUUAGAAAGCGUUGAAAGUUGACGAUGUGGCUUUGAAUGGUGCAUAAUGAACGCAAAAACGUCCGGAGUUGUAAUAAGUUAUUAAAAAUUUUGAAUAGCCGGUGUAAUAUAUGAGUUUUCGUCCGAAACCCUGAUACUUCGAAAAAGAGUGUCCAGUUUGUACACGAAGUGCAUCCAGUUUUUGCCGUAACCAUCUCUACUUUUUUGCACCGGUUCGUAAAGAAAUAUAAGAGAAUUAAUCAUAUUUCUUUAUAGAGAAAUAUAUCAAAAAUACAUUGAUCAUCAAUGAUCUUUUUGUGUAUAAUCUGAAUUCACAAUAUGAGUCCUCACCGGUUUAGAAACCGGAGAAAAAUCAUAUUGUGGCCACAAAUUCUACACAUAGAGUUUAAUGAAGACCAAGUGGUUGUGGUAGUUUGAGAAGUAACAUAUUUAGGCCUCCUUUGGUUUAAAGGAAUUUCAUAGGAAUUCUAGAGGAUAGGAUUUUUAUAGGAUUUUUUUCCUUUAGAGCCCUUUGGUUCAUAGGAAUGGAUUCCUAUUCCUACAUAGGAUUGGUUCCUAUCCUCCACAUUUCAUAGGAAAAUAAAAAAGAGCCUAGACUCAAUGAAAAAAUUCCUUUGGUGUCAACCAAAUGACAUCUUGUUUCCUAUUCCUAUUCAUAGGAUUUGAGAUACAUGUCAUCUCAUUUCCUACAAGAUUCCUAUUCCUAUGAUAAUCCUAUCCUAUGAACCAAAAGAGGCAUUAAGGUGGUAAAAACUCUGUUAGCGGAGCGAGGUGGGACUAAAAACCGCUGCAACUAAAAACCUCUAGUACUGGUUUGUGGUAAGAACCGGUACCAAAGGUGCUGGUGCGGCCCAUCCGGGCAACGUCAUGCCACAACCUCUUUAGUACCGGUUCGUGGCACGAACCGGUAGUAUAGGUUCGCCACGAACUGAUACUAAUUUGCUCCGACCGCCUAGCCAUUCGAACCGGCGCUAAUGACAAUAUUAGUGCCGAUUUUGUUACAAACCGGUACUAUUGUGUUCCACAUUAGACCGUAUUUCUACUAGUGUCGCUACAGGUAACCAAGCUGGCGACUGCCUAAUAUUGGGGUCCUAAUUUUCUUUUGAGGAAAAGGGCCAGAAGCCCCGGCUCCAUUGCAGCAAAGAAACCAAAUUCAUACACAAUUUUUAUUACAGAACGCGGAGGCCAGCAGACCUGCUACCUCAGCACAAGCAAAAUGGGAAAAGGAUAACACCACACUAAGACACCCAGGCAUAGUAGCUAAAUACAUGGCUAAUAUAAGAGGGAAAUGAAAGCAGAGUUCCUUCCACAUCACGGAUUUUAAACAGGAAGAGAGAUACGCCAAAGUAUGGGAGGGGCCAGAUUUUUUCUUCACUGCACCAAGUUGAUGGCCAUAGGGUAGUUGGAGAUUUUCAGCCUGGGUCUAUAUAUGGAGCUUGGGAUGCCUUGGUAGGGGCCUUAUACGUACCGAUCUAAGUACGCGCUUCAAUAUUGCAUCAAUAAAUAAUCUGAGGACCGCCGGAAACAUCAUAUCAUCAUGUUAAAAAUUUCCAAACCCAUUUAUUGUUCAGCCACAUCCAGGGAUUGGUGCAGAAAAUAAAGUACACAAGUAGUUGCAGGAGAAUAUUAAAGAUACCAAACACCAGUAUAUCAUAAACAAAGUACUCCCUCCGUCUCAUAAUAUAAGAACGUUUUUGAUUAUAGGACAGAGGGAGUAGUAUAUAGGUAUUAUCUAAGUCGUAUCAAUUCUUUCCCAAGUCAAACAUUGUAACAUUUAACCAACUUUAUUGGGAAAAUAUUAUUUAAUAGGAUGAUUUUUUUUAUAAAAUUUUCUUUAAAAAGCCAGCAAGUCUUUGAUAUACAAAAUUUCAUUGAUGUCACUCAAUAGGCCACCCUCAUGUCAUCUCGCAUUGAGUAGUAACUUUCGUUCAUCAUGUACUAGACUGAUUUGCCUGAUGAUUCGUGAACCGCCCCACGCAUGCCCGUUAUCUGUUGGCAAGAAAUCAAAGACUUGCUCUUCACAAAGUAAUAAGUGGGUUUACUAUACUCUCCACUUGAACACCAGUGUGACACGACAUUUGCAUGCUUGUCAUCAUUGCUUUCCUCCACCAACUCUCUUCAACUACGAAACAAACAAGGUGCCCUCGCACGAGUGUGUGCUUCUUUUGGAUUUUCAGACUCAAUGACUCUAGGCAAGAAAAGCUUUAUCAGAUUCUCUUUUCCGAAGUUGCACCUACAACUACUCAUUGAAAAUAAUCCUAUUCUUAUGGGUAAAUGCUCAAUAUCCAAGUGGGCUUACAAAUUUGAUCAUGAUCAAUUGCUUUGUGGAUUGUCUCAUGUCUCUUGACAAGUUUGUAUUUAUCCCCUCGAUAUCGCCAUUUUGCUGCAUGACAAAGCCAGGACAUAUGGCCAUGUUAAGCUUAUCCAAGACAGAUUUAAUGCAAUUCUCUCACGAUGGAGAUAAGUAGCAGACGACACGUUGCCCAUAGUGUGGGUAAGUCAUUUCCACAUGAUCCCGCUGUCAUGUUCAUGAUCUAAUGUCUCACUAUGAUUUCACCAUCAAUUUGCUAGUAGCACAUAAAAAUCAAAGUCACCAAAAACAUAGCCUAGAGCAGGAGGUAGAGGAAGACUAAAAUAAAGGGGACCAGGAGGUGGCUGCCGCAGGCAACGAGAAAAUGGUUGUUCCUCUAGGAGAAAUUUGGGCCUUUCACCCAUAGGUGGCUUAGCAGCCACUACCGUAGCGUUAGCUUCUACCAGAAGCAAAGCUUUGCAGCGGCCUCUAGCAGCAUUGAUGGUAGGGAGUCUGUGGAAUAGGCAUACAUUAAAUUUUAGGCCGUACCUACUUGUAAAUUUGUAACUCAUCACCAUGUCCUAUUCUUAUGGACGGACAAAAAGAUUGGAUUAGAGAAGUGCCUUUGAUUAGACGCAACCAUGGUCCUGCUACGAUAACAUGUUUAUACGUCACUUUGAUUUAACUCUCAAUCUGCCAUUAGAGGAUAAAAAUUGAAGUCACACAAUUGAGAACGGCUGAAUGGUGAUCAGGAUAAGUAAGUCGUUGAGCAGGGCGCAGCACCUAGGCCCAUUCUGCUUCAGUCAGGCAUGGUCUUUGCUGGUAGCUGGUUGGCCUUUGGGUCGUCGGGUCCAGGUUGCUGACAUAAUUUCUCCAGAACGUUCAUUCUGCAAGGAUCCCAUAGAGAUAUAUCUCCAAACAUAAGAUGCACUGGACAUUAUUGCCUAAAUUUCUUGUAUCAAUCUCUUGCCCCAUUUCCCAGUGAAUCCCAAUCCAAGUUACUAGAACCCUCCACAUCGUGAAAAAACAAAAAACAGAACGAUCCAUCCAACAUUAGCGAAAAAGAACACUGCUCUAGUUGGUGGUCAUGUUUUCCGGGCAACAAAGAAGAUGGCCAUGUUUAUAUAUUGUACUCCUAUGUAUUAUAAGCAUCCAUUCUACUAGACUUUUAUGGAUAGAAAGUAGGUACGUGUGGUGAUGGCCAAACAUUAUUGGUACAUUUGCAUAUGAGCUCGAAGGCUUGAUAUAGUCUCAAUGAAAAUGGGGCCCUAGAAAGUAAAUGGACAAACUCCGGUCUGUCAUGACUAGUUAGGUAAUAUUUUUGUCGGAUGUCCCUUUUUAUGGGCAUAUAAUAGUGCUGCAAGGAAAUUCAUUUAUGAAUAUUUAAAAAAAUAAGCAUAAUGUUGUGAAACUAAGAACAUGGUGGCAUUCACAAUACGUGAUACUACGAAGUGAGCAUGCACCACUAGCCAACUUACGUCCUCUUGCACAUGGGAUAGAUAUCUCCCUCCUUUGGUGCCUCUCUUUAGUCGUUGAGCCACUUUUUUCGACAAAGGGCAUAUGUUAAUAUCGCGAAGAUACCAAUUAACUCAGCCUCUACAACAACGAAAUGUCCUAAAGACAUUGCGCAUGCACACAACCAAAAAACAAAAAGAAAAAGAAGAAAAAAUAAAAGAUCCCGCUACAGUGAUCAAUUCUUUGCAUCUGUCGCAUGAACCACCACCAAGACAACACCCGAAGUCCAGAUUCUCCAAAAGCGAUGCCUCAAAAAAGGAAACAGUGCACAAACACCAUAAUCGCCAGAUCAUAGAAGUUAGGUUUUCACCCUGAAGAAUAUCCGUGCUCUCAAAACAAGGCCACUGCCAGGCACAACUAUUUAAGGCCAGACCUUGGGUUUACAACACCCUGAAAGCUAAGACUUUGUAAUCCUCAUGUGUUGCCAUCCCCACUUGCCGAUGCCACUGCUAGGAGUCACGAAUCGCCAAGAAAACUCAUCAUCGCCUCGAACACUCAAUCCGCCAUUACUAGGCCUCAGACCCCAGCCACCAUGAUGUUCUCCGCCACUGCAUUCACCAUGGAAAUCGAGAUACUAACAUGUCUUAUAAUUGUCAGCGGACAGUGAAGCUUCGAGGAACAAUCAAAUGGAGAUCUUGUGUGGAGCCUUCCGGAACACGUCAACGGCCAGAUCAAUGAGGGCCGGUAUCAAUCAGAACACCGCCAUUACACUAGAGGAACCCUAGGACCACCGCCGGAGGGGAACAGAUCUGGGCAGGGAGCCCAGCAGCAGGCCGCCAAGCAAUGCGCCAUCUCCCACUGCUUUUUACAGACCCAUGGUACACCAAAUGCACUUGCAGCGGGUGGCGAUACAUAUGGGUGUGCAUGUGGCGACGUGCUACAUGUAUUCAAAUUCAAAUUACCCAUAAUUUAGCCAGAAUUUACCCAUAGGAAAGAGUGUGUGAAAUUUUUACAAAGUAAGUUUUUAUUUUUAUUUUGUAACACCAGACUACAGAAAAACAAAUGAAGCAUACUCAGUGAAGAGAAUUUUAACCUCGGCAAUGUGUAAGCGGAGUGUUACACCCGGCUUUAUUUGUAUCGGCUUACAGGCUGUAAACCGAGUAUCGCUUUUCGGCGACUCGGCUUAUACAUAAGCCGACUAUAAAGUAGUAGCACCCGACGAAAAAAAGUGAGAUCACGACGGGGGGCAGCUAUCACUGUGGUGCCACAUGGCCCACUUGUAAGCCGAGUGCCUGUCUAAGCCGUAUGCCUGGAAGGCCACACUGUUUACAGGUAAACAGUGUCGGUUUACAGGUAAACCGUGUGAUGGGUUUAAGCCGUGUGCUGCUCCGCUGCCCACGUUCUGCAAUGUGGCCCAUUAAACCAUGUAUGGAUGUUCAUAUAAUCGACUUGUAUGGUAAACAGGCGAGGACUUUUUGCUGGGCUAUCCGACUUAUAGCAUGUGAGUCGAGUGCUAUUAGCUGGGCAGCCCGACUUACAUGUAAGCUGAGUGCUGCUCUCUGGGCGAGCCGGUUUACAUGUGUCAAACUGCUUUUUUUGUUUGCCUUGUUGAACCAACCCUGCAUUUGAAACAACAUAUAUAUACAUGGCUGCACCAAGUUCACCAUGCAUAGAUAUCCAACAAAUUGCCAAGUGCACCAUGCAUACAUAGCAUCAACCUUAUGGAAGUUAGUUAGAUGCAAAUUUUAAAAAUACCACCACAAGAAUGCCUAGCAGUGACGGACGAGCCUCUCAGGGGCGCCAACCACUGACCUUCUGCCAUUGCUAACAUGACAUCAGUGGCAUGCAGGAGCCCACCACUGACAAAGACGUAGCAGUGGUGGGCUUUACCAAGCGUUCGUCAGUCGUCACUAGAGGAGAACAUUACAAAUGGCGGGCAUCAAUAUUCACCCACCACUGGCAGGGAAACAUACUUGUGGCGGUCCUUAUUUCCCACCUGUCACUGCUAUGAUUUUAAAAACGUGCACCUCUCGACGGUGCAGCGGCAGCUGUUACACACGCAAGCGUGCAAGCAACAUCUAGUAUCGCACCGCCUCCACACACGCUGGAUCCAGCACCCUGCGCGGCCUCCAUUCGUCCUUCCGCCCUCCAUCCUCCGUGUGCUGCACCACCUCCAUGAUGUCGACGCUACCGUGGUCGAGCAGCUUGCACGUGACCUUGCCGUCUCCAUCGGAUCAUCAUCGCCUGCACGGACUAAUGCCCAGCGUUGCGCUCGCAUGGACCGAAGCACCGCCACAUCUGCAUGGACAGAGGCAAGUAGCUAGGGUUAGAAGAUGCAACAUGGGAAGGAGGCAACCAUUGAUUCGGUCCGGUGGGGAAGAGAGAAGAGAGUGAGGCGGCGUUGGAGUAUGCUUGGCGCCUGCGGAGAUGGCCAGAGCUGGUCGGAAUCGACCGGUGAUGGGGAAAGAAUCUUGUACGACCUGGGUCAUAUGACUCCCGUUGUGAGACCCGCUUCCCCUGGGUCAUACGAAUCCAGUUUUUCGGAAGACAAUGGAUUCACAAGGAAGGACAAAUGAAAAUCAAGACAAUGGAUUCACAAGCAAGGACUCACAAAUAUACUGAAACUUCACCACUCUGUGUUGUUGAGAUCGCCCGGCUACAUUGAACACUUGCGCUGCCCAUAAGAAGAUCUUACGACAGGCGGGAUCAAUACUAUAUCACUAGUUCAGGCGCAUAUGCAUGCAAGUGUGUAAUGCAGCUUGCUGGAAGUUGCUACGUGGGUUUGUUAGACUGUAUAUGUACGUAGAUUUGUGUAUACGUAGACUUAUAUAUAUACCUUGUAUAUUGUACCCCUUGGUACUUAUAUAUAAUGAGAUAGCCGCACCCCCUUGAGGUGUCGAGCAGUCCACCAAAAUAUUUGUCUAACAUGGUAUCAGAUUAGGUUACGAUGUCUUCCGCUGCCGCCGCCGCCGCCGCGCCGACCACCGUCGUCGCUCCCGCCGCCGCCCCGGCGCCGGCCAUUGCCUCUGCCUCACCGUUCCUCGCCUCGCGGCCCCUCGCGAUGGCCUACGGUGCUUCUGCGUCAACUUCGUCUCCAGGCGAUCCGAUUUCCCAAGUGAUCGGUGUGGAUCCUGCUACGGGCAGCGCUGCUGGCCCUGUCCAGGGCGGGCCGCCGCCGCCGUCGUCCCAUCCGGCUCCGCCCUACGGGGCACCAUCGCCGCUGGAACCCUACGUCGCCCCGCCACAAGGCCACGAUGCCCCGCCGCCCUACUACGGUCUCCCGCCGCCCGAAUACGGCGCCCCGCCGCCACCCUACGCGGCGCCCCCGACGCACCACUACCCGGCGUCGCCCCUGCCCUACUCGGCGCUGCACCAACCCGCCGCGGUGUCGCACGGGGCUGCGGCUGCCUCACCGUACGGGGCUCCGGGUGCAGCUUUCCUGGUGGCCGGCCCCCCAGGACACUAUCCGCCCUACUCGGUGCCUUCGGCGCAUCCCGGGGCGGCCUCCUCGCUGGGUCCUUAUGCACUGCCGCACGCUCAUACCGAUCUGACUGCGAUGCCGGCGCCGUUCUACUUCUCGCACCUAUUACCGGUGAAGCUCACACCGGACAACUACUUGUCCUGGCGUGCUCAGGUGAUGCCUCUUCUGUGGAGCCGCUAUCUGGAAGGCUACGUUGACGGAUCCAUCCCGUGUCCGCCCCCUCAUCACCCGGCAUAUCACACCUGGGUGGCCCAGGAUCAGGCCAUCCUCUCCGCCAUACAGUCGUCGCUCACCCAGAGCGUCUCGUCGAUGGUCAUCUUCGCCGCUACGUCCCGAGAGGCGUGGGCGGCCCUUCACACCAGCUUCGCCUCUCAGUCUCAGGCGCGUGCUCACUCUAUACGCACUGAGCUGGGUGAGACUAAGCUUGGUGACCUCAGCAUCACGGACUACUUCAACAAGAUGCAGGGUCUUGCUGACACGUUGGCCUCCGUUGGCCAGUCACUGCAGGAUGAGGAGUUCACCACCUUCGUGCUUAACGGGCUUGAUGAUGACUACGACAACCUCGUUGAGAUUGUCCAUGGCCGUGAUGAUCCGCUCCCACCUCGGGAGCUCUAUGCACGGCUUCUUGGUCGUGAACAGCGCAUCAAGGCGCGCCGCGCCUCCCCCGAUUUCGCCUCCGCCAAUGCCGCGACUCGUGGUAAACCCCCACGGGCGCCAUCUUCGGGGGGUAAACCGGCACCAUCUUCACAGCCGGCCUCGCGGGGCAAUGCUCCGAACAUCACGGGUGGUAACCGGCCGGUGGCAUGUUGCUCUUCUUGCGGGCCUCCGCGGGCCUGUCAGCUCUGUGGCAUUGAGCGCCACGUUGCGUCUCGCUGUCAUCGUCGUUACAAGCAAGACUUCCUGGGCCUCGGCAACAAUGGCAAAGGGAAUGAAAAGCAGGCCGCUGCUGCAGUGACGAGUCAUGACCAUGGUCGCACUCCGUCUUACUCUAUUGGUCCUACAUGAUACAUGGACACGGGAGCUACGAACCACCUCACCAACGACAUGGGCAAGCUCUCCAUUCAGGAGCCAUAUCGUAGCCAUGAUCAGGUGCACACCGCUAAUGGAGCAGGUAUGCGCAUCUCUCAUGUUGGUCAGGCAUCCCUUCUUGCACACAACUCACGAACACUACAUCUUUCUAAUGUUCUUCGUAUUCCCACUGCUUCACGUAGUUUGUUAUCUGUUCCACAACUUACUCGUGAUAAUAAUGUCCUUGCUGAGUUUCACCCUUUUCGUUUCUUUAUCAAGGAUCGGGACACGAGGGCCGUUCUGCUUAGCGGUCGUCUUCGCGGUGGCCUGUACGGACUUGACGCGCCAACUGCACCUCCUAUGCAGCCUUCUCCCCAAGUGCUCAGUGGUGUUCGUGUGUCUCCUACACAUUGGCAUGCGCGCCUUGGUCAUCCUACUGCCCCUAUAGCUCGUCAUGUGUUGCAUCGCCAUGAGUUACCAGUUGUGUCAAAUAAAACUGCUGAAACUAUUUGUGAUGCCAGUCAGCAGGGCAAGAGUCACCAACUUCCGUUUUCAGAGUCUAGUCGUGUUGUGAAACAUCCUCUUGAGCUUGUGUUUUCUGAUGUGUGGGGUCAUGCCCAAACAUCUGUUAGUGGGCACAAUUAUUAUGUCAGUUUCAUUGAUGCUUACAGUCGGUUUACUUGGCUUUAUCUUAUUAAGAAAAAGUCUGAUGUGUUUGAUGUUUUUCUCCAGUUUCAAGCACACGUUGAGCGUCUCCUUAGUCACAAAAUUAUUCAUGUUCAAACCGACUGGGGGGGUGAAUAUCAUAAUCUCAACUUGUUUUUUAACAAACUUGGGAUUACACACCGUGUAUCUUGUCCUCAUACACAUUAGCAUAAUGGGACUGCUGAACGUAAGCAUCGUCAUCUUGUAGAAACUGGCAUUGCUUUAUUAGCUCAUGCUUCCGUUCCUUUUAGGUUCUGGAGUGAUGCUUUCUCCACUGCCUGUUUUUUGAUCAAUAGGCUGCCGUCACGACAACUGAAUAUGAAAACUCCACUUGAACUCUUGCUCAAUGAACUUUCAGACUACACUUUUCUCAAAGUUUUUGGGUGUGCUUGUUGGCCUCAUUUGCGUCCAUAUAACAAACAUAAGCUAGAGUUUCGAUCGAAAAAGUGUGUUUUUCUUGGCUAUAGUUCCCUUCACAAAGGGUACAAAUGCCUACAUGUUCCCACCAAUCACGUUUACAUCUCUCAUGACGUCGUGUUUGAUGAGAAUGUGUUCCCUUUUCGUGCACUUCCGAACAACUCUAUCACUCCUCUACCGAACGUUUCUUCUAGCACACCUUCGCCUGAUCAAUUUGUAGAUGUUGCGCAUGCUCCUGUGUUGCUUCCUAACCAUGCUGCAGGUGUUGGACGCGGUGCUCGUCUUGAACUCCUUGAGGAACAGGCACCGACGGAAGCCAUGGACCGGGACGUCGGUUGUCCGCAUGGGCCAUGCAUAUCGGGCAGCGCACAUCUACCCGCCGGGGCUGCACCCGCAGUCGCCACACAGGCAUCACCACCGCCCCCCUCGCGGGUUUCCCCCGCUCCUGCCUCGGUGCGGGCCUCUCCUGAGUCGGCCGCUGCCUCGGUGCGGGCCUCUCCUGAGCCGGCUGCCUCUUCGCCUGGACCAGGCGCCACUCCACGGGGGCCAGGUCUGGCUUCGGAUGGGCCGGUCUCACCGGCCCCAACGCCGCCUGGCUCCGGCGUGAGCUCGGGUGCGGCCCCAACGCCGCCUAGCUCUCCAUCAUCAACAGGCUCUGGUGUGGGUGGCUCGGCCUCGCCUUUGUCGCCACCCGAGUCCAGUCCGGUGUUGCCGCCACCUGCUGCUGCUUCUCGAGCUCGCACCCGCAGUCAGACAGGAGUGUUCCAGCCAAAGAUUCGUACUGAUGGGACUGUUGCGUGGCUCGCUGCUUGUAUGGCUCAUGCUGUGGAGGAUCCUACUGCUGAGCCUCGCCAUUUUCAGGCUGCCCUGAGCAUUCCUCAUUGGCGUGCUGCGAUGGAACAGGAAUUUCAGGCGUUGCUGCUGAAUGACACAUGGCAGCUUGUUCCUCCUGUAUCCGGGAUCAACAUUAUUGAUUCUAAAUGGGUGUUUAAAGUCAAGCGGCAUGCUGAUGGCUCCAUUUAACGCUACAAAGCGAGGCUAAUUGCUAAGGGUUUCAAACAGAUGUAUGGUCUUGAUUAUGCAGACACAUUCAGUCCAGUUAUCAAGCCCACUGCUAUUCGUUUGCUUCUGUCCCUUGCUGUUACUCGAGGAUGGUUCCUUCGCCAACUUGAUGUGCAGAAUGCUUUUUUACACGGAGUUUUGGAGGAGGAGGUUUACAUGCGACAGCCGCCAGGGUUUGUGGAUCCUGAACGUCCUCACCACCUCUGUCGUCUUGUCAAGGCAUUAUAUGGGCUCAAACAGGCUCCCCGUGCGUGGCAUGCACGUCUUGGCUCUGUUCUGAGGGCGCUUGGUUUCAUUCCCUCCACUGCUGACACAUUACUGUUUCUUCUUCAGCGACUUGAGGUUACGAUGUAUUUGCUGGUCCAUGUUGAUGAUAUCAUACUCAUCAGUUCCUCAGAUGCUGCUGCCGAUCGUCUUGUGGCUGCCUUGAGUGGUGACUUUGCUGUCAAGGAUCUUGGUGCUCUACACUUCUUCCUUGGCCUGGAGGUUUCACGGUCUUUUGCUGGGUUAACUCUUUCUCAGAAGAAGUAUGCUCUCGAUCUGUUGCGUCGUGCUGGUAUGUUGAAGUGUAAACCUUCCGGUACUCCGAUGUCUGCCACUGAUCGGUUGUCUGCUCUUGAUGGAGAUCCUCUUUCACCUGAUGAUGCCACUGAGUACCGCAGUCUUGUUGGAGGUCUGCAGUAUCUUACUAUCACCAGACCAGAUGUCUCUUAUGCAGUCAACCGUGUCUGUCAGUUUCUCCAUGCACCCAGGACUUCUCAUUGGUCAGCUGUGAAACGUAUCCUGCGUUAUGUCUGUCUCACUGCUUCUUAUGGUUUGCUCCUCCAACCUGCGCCAUCUUCUGCAAUCUCAGCCUUUUCGGAUGCAGACUGGGCUGGUAGUCCUGAUGACCGGCGAUCCACGGGGGGGUAUGCAGUGUUUUUUGGUUCUAACUUGGUUGCUUGGAAUGCUCGCAAGCAGGCUACGGUGUCUCGCAACAGUACAGAAGCUGAGUACAAAGCAGUGGCUGAUGCGAUAGCUGAGAUCAUUUGGAUUCAGUCCUUGUUGCGUGAGUUGAGAAUCUCUUCAGCUCAUCCUGCAGUACUUUGGUGUGAUAACAUUGGUGCUACAUAUUUGUCGUCUAACCCUGUGUUCCAUGCUCGGACGAAACAUAUUAAGGUUGACUAUCACUUCGUUCGAGAACGAGUUGCACAGAAGCUACUUAGCAUCAAGUUCAUCUCAUCAAAGGAUCAACUUGCUGACAUCUUCACGAAGCCUCUUCCUCAACCACAGUUUGUAGGCUGUAGGCGCAUUCUUAACUUAGUUUGUACUUCAGGCCACAGUUAAGAUUGAGGGAGGGUGUUAGACUGUAUAUGUACGUAGACUUGUGUAUACGUAGACUUGUAUAUACACCUUGUAUAUUGUACCCCUUGGUACUUAUAUAUAAUGAGAUAUAGCCGCACCCCCUUGAGGUGUCGAGCAGUCCACCAAAAUAUUUGUCUAACAGGGUUUUCAUGUAAUAGUAAUGUUUGGCCAUAAAAGGUUAGGUUCACGGUCUAAUAGAAUCGUUGCGUAAAGCAAAGUAUAUAUGACUUGUCACCAUCUUCUUUGCUGCCAGGGAAGCAUGACCACCAACUAGAGCAGUUUUGUUCUCCACUUUUGCAUUGGAUGGAUCGAUCUAUUUUUCUAUUUCACCAUCCAUGGAGGGGUCAACUAGCUAAGAUUGGGAUGCAUUGGGAAUUUGGGCUAGAGAUCGAGAUCAGAUACCUGGUGACGCAGAAGGAGUUCAGCCUGACAAUGACAGAGAGGUGGUGCAAUCGCGUACAAUGCAUUUCAAACCUGGAGUGGAGAUAUUUCUAUGCAAAUGCUCCGGAGAUAUUAUCUUAGUGCCGCCAUGAUUGUGUUGUACUUUCAGCUUGUGGGUCCACGCGCGUAACAUCAUGGCGUGAGUCUGUUUGAGCGCCCCAAUACACCUGACGAAGGAGGGCCUCAGUGAGCAUUGAGUCGAGGAUCAAGACACAACUGAUGAAUCCUUACAGUCGAGGAAGAAAACAUAAUAUAGCAUUCAGAAGGAGUCAAGGCCCGGCUGCCGGGCGUGGCUCAAUGAGGAUGAUGCCCAUGGUAUCGUUUCACCAAGAGAUUGCCUUAGGGCAGCCACCUCUUACCACUUCUGUUCUUCCCCUCGGUAGAUUCUCUCGAUUGUAGUGUCUUGUAGCAAAUCCUUAGCAAGUUGAGUGUAGUUGUAGACUGACGAUUAACAGUGUGAUGGCAGCAUGAUCACGUGGAAACGAAAAGACCUUUCCAGUGCCACGCGCUAGGUAGGGUCAGGGUGUCAUGCCGUAGUGCCGUUCAUUUGUAAAUACAGCGAGUUGAAUUACAUCCGGUUUGAUAGAGCUUAGGGCUAUAGCGCGAGUUGAAUUACGUCCGGUUGGAUAGAGCUUAGGGCAUCUUCAAAGUGGACCCUCAAACCACCCGCAGCCUAUUGGAUAGCACGGUCCGGACGCUCUUAGCUAUCUAACGCGGAGCUGUAUCAGACGCCGACCGGUCCGGACGCGUUUUUUCCCGCAAACUUAAAACAAACUUGCGGCGCUUUCAAAGAGUCUGGACAGCAGCCAGAUAGUACUCCCAAACCACAGGUCCAUCCAACACCCCUCCCGGACACCGCAUCUUCAUCCUCCCAUCAUUCUUUGCAUCUGUUUUCCCUCUUCUCUUCGUCACGACUGCACCACCCCGCCUGCCUUGAUAAACCCUUGCCAAAACUCGGCAACCCUGUCACCUCCAUCGCUACACCAGGGCUGCACGCUGCUUAUCCCCCACCGUCGUUACACGGCUCUCCUCCUUCUGCCAUACAAGUACCAUCCACCCCUACGGUAUUCACCAUCCCGGCAAGUGUUCAGUGAAAUGUCCGUGCUAAUUUUUUUUGCACCUUCAUCUAUGAAGCAAUGAAUUCAGGUAUGGAGUAUAUAGACGAGCACUAUAUCCGGAUAUGGAGAUGCCUUGGUAUGAUUUGCUACUGCCAUGGUCUCUGUGUUUGGACCUCAAUACCCGAGAGAACCAACCGUUGCAGACACCAAGAGGAUCUGGGCAAUGUCUGAAGCAAGAGGGUGGCCCAGUUUGCUCGGUUCUCUCGACUGCAUGCAUUGGAGAUGGAAGAACUUCCCAAAAGAUCUACAAGGGCGAUAUUAGGGUCAUCUUAAGGGGCUCACCAUCAUUCCUAAAGUAGUUGCAUCACAUGAUCUUUGGACUUGGCACACUUUCUUUGGCAUGCUUGGGUAUCACAAUGUGACAUGAAUGUGUUGCAGCAAUCACCAUUGUUUGCCAGGCUGACCGAAGGAAAAGACCCUCAUUGCAACUAUACUGUCAAUAGGCAUGAAUACAACAUGGACUAUUAUUUGGUUGGCGGUAUCUAUCCUUCGUGGUUCAUCUUUGUCAAGGCCGUCUCUGACCCUAUUGGGCAGAAAAAGUCUCACUUUGCCCAAAAACACAAGAAGGAGCUAGAAAGGAUGUUGAGAGAGAAUUUGAUGUUCCACGGGCUCAUUUUGCAGUUGUUCGUGGAACUGAUAAACAAUAAGAUCCGAAGACCUCGUGGGAGGUGAUGACGAGUUGUGUGAUCAUGCACAACAUGAUUGUGCUGGAUGAGGGUGAGGACGUUAUCGUAGAGUCUUGAAUUUGAGAACAUGGGUGAUCCUAUCAAACUUACAGACCAAAAUCUGGCCACAUUUGCUGAGUUUGUUUAAGUGCAUCAACAAAUUUGCAUCGAGCAAGUCAUCAGCAAUUAAAGAAAGAUCCGAUUGAGCAUAUAUGGGCGGUUAAACAGGACAACAUUGUUAGAGUGUAAUAUUUAAAUUAGAACUAUUGCUAAAAGAUAGCAGUGGCGGGUGCACUGGCCGUCGGCUACUGGUAAUACAGUCACCAUUGGCGGGCUCAAUCUAGGGUCCGCUACAUGUACUUCCAUGAUCCGGCAUGGACGAAAUGCUUCCUUAUGAUUGGUCAAAACAACCCUGCCACAGAUUGAUGAUCUGGCUCCCAUCUGCGCGUACACACCCAUUUGUGCUUCUUCUUAAUGGUGGAGAGGAGAGGAGCCACACAUCAACUUCUCUCCCUCAAUAUCUAUCUCCCACUCGAAGCUCGGAUCCCCCUUUUACCUCCGUCUUCACCGGUCAAUUCCAGCCAGCUUCGGCCAUCUCCGGAGGCGCCAAGCAUACUCCAACGCCGCCUCACUCUCUUCUCUCUUUCCCACCGGACCGAAUCAAUGAUUGCCUCCUUCCCAUAUUUGCAUCUUCUAACCCUAGCUACUUGCCUAUGUCCAUGAAGAUGCGAUGGUGCUUCGGUCCAUGCGAGCGCAAUGCUGGGUAUUAGUCCGUGCGGGCGAUGAUGCUCCCAUGGAGGCGGCAAGGUCACAUGCAACCUGCUUGUUGGGGAUAUAACUACUGAGUAUAAACCGCCCAGGAGGGGCCAGGUUAUACGCAUAAGGAGUUAUCCAUAUUGAAGCCCAUGAAGACAAGGAGCAUGGCGCUUUAUUAUAGAGAUAUAAAGGCCCAGGACCCAAAGGCGGAUUAGGGCCCGUAGACAUAAACCGCCAUAUGGUAUUGUAACUUGUGUUGAAAGAUAGGAAAGGGUAGAAACCGAGCCGGACACAUUCAUGAGCCGGCCGGGAUUCUGUAAACCGCCGGGCGUCAACCUGUGUAUAUAAAGGGACGACCCGGCGGCGGUUCAAGGACAUAAAACAACAACUUGAGAGCCAGGCAAAGCGGAUUCGAUCCCUGGUCAUCAAAACCCUAGCAAUCCCAUCACAACUGGAUUAGGCUUUUACCUUCACCGCAAGGGGCCAAACCAGUAUAAACUCAUUGUGUUCUUUGUCCUGUUUUAACCCCUUUAAACUAACUACGUUGUGAUGGCUCCACGACUAAGUCCUCACACUAGGACAUCUGCCGUGACAAUCCCACGACAGUUGGUGCCCACCGUGGGGCUAUCGCACAAUGGUUUCAAGUUCUUAGAGGGCAGCUUCGAAGGGCUCAAGGGAUACGUUGUGGGUUGGAUGACCAAGAGUCAUCGCGGCAAGCUCUACAUCGACGAUGCAUGCUGGGGCCCCGAGGCUGGUUCAAUUGAGUAUGGAUAUCGGGUCUCCUUCUGCGGUAUUCACGUUUUCAUUCGCAAGAUCGGUGAACCGGGCCCUGAGCCGGACAUCUGCACCGACAUCGUCGAAACGGCUCAGCGUGCGAGAUCCGCCCGGAUUCAGCCUGCCAUGAAGCGUGCCUUUGUGCGAGUCAUGCACGGAGUGGAAUCUGAGGAUAGAACUGUAUCUUGUGGUGAAACUGUCGCUUACUCUGAUGACGAGUCAUCUACCGGAGAGACCGAGUCAUUAUACCAACUACAAGAUGGCCAGUUUGGGGGCUGUUCCGACGGCGACAGUAUUCCGGACCCCUCUGAUCCGCCGAGCUGAGUUGUGGUCUUCAUGGACGGUACACAGUCAGCGCAACAUUCUUCAACCGCAGCAACAAUGAUAUCCGGUUCAGCAGUAGCGACUGCACCUGGGGCAGGAGGCCCUGCGCAACCGCCGGCUUAGGUUUUGUCCGAUUUUUUCGACACUUUGGCAACACUGCUGGUGGCUGAAGUUAACCCGGCGAAUCAGGAUCAGCAUAACGCGGAAGUCGCGAAGGUAAAGGAUCAGAUAGCUCAAGCCAAGGCAGACCUGGCAGCCGAGAACACCAGAAUGGUCGCGGAGCGGGCCGAGUUGGAUGCACAGGCUUAUCGACUUAUGUUGGAUCAAAACGCAUCAAAUGAUGUAAUGAGGAAAAGGUACCGGUCCCACCUGCCUCCGGUUUAUGAGCCAAGGAAUCUCUUUAACAAGCCAGGAGCAGGUGUAACGCCCCGAGACCGAUGUGCCAGGUGUCCUUCAGUUAUUCGAUGUUGUUGCCUUGUCUUUGCUUGCGUGUCAUGCAUCUCAUAUCAUGUCAUCAUGUGCAUUGCAUCACCAUGUUUUUCAAAACCUGCAUCCGUCCGGGUCCCCCCAGUGCCAUCCGUUGUCCGUUCUGAGCCCAGACACACUUGCACGCGCCCCUGGCACGUCCGAAAUAUUAUUUUAUAAGUGGCCGGAAAAUAUUCUCGGAAUGGGGUGAAAGUUGGCAUGUGGUGUUGUUAUAGUGUAGGUAGACCGCCUGCCAAGUUUCAUCACAUUCGGAGUCCGUUUGACGCCCCAACGGUUAACUAUAGCGGCCAUAUCGCCGGUCUAACUUCGGACGUUUUCGGUCUCCGAAAACAGUCGCCGGGCCUCCCUCUCUUCUCUUCUCUCCGCUCGAGACUGUCUACACAGCCCACUACCUACCGCCAGGCCCAACCAAACCUCUCUCGUCAGCCCGCGGCCCUCGUCGCGUGCGCGCCCGAAAGUUGUCCUGGACCCAAACCAGACAGUCGUUAUCGUUGUGUCCAGAUCAUCCCCAAACAUUUACAAAACGUCACCGUUUUCUUAUUUGGAACCCCUAGCUAUUUUAUUUGCGAUUGUCCGAUUACGAUUGGAGGGAUGAUAUAGCCCCUAACCAAACCCACUUGCUAUAUAUAUUAGCCUAACCUAGACCAAAUCCCUAAUUCCUAGGGAUCCAUCCCACCGCCGCCACUCACUUCCUCGGAUUCCAUGCCAAACCAAUCCCUGCAUCUCUCUCGAUCCAAACCUCCACCAACCAGAUCCACCCCGCAGACGAAUGCCUCCGCAUCACCCAUCGCCCGAGCCAACCGAGGGCCUCGUUCCCGAACCGAGCUCCAUGGGAGCAUGCCAGGCGCCAUGGCCGCCGAAGGUACUCCGCCGCCUCACCGAAUCCACGCCUCCUCCUCACACCAGGGGCUCGUCCUCGCGACCGAGCGCGCGCAGUCAGCUCCGACUCGGUGCCGCACCCAGACUCCAUCCGCAGCCGUGCUUCCUUGCCUCCACGCUCGCAACCACCCGAGGAGAGAGCCUCGCGGUCGUGCACGGGCAUGCACAUGAGCUUCUGCGCCCGCGCCUUAACCACCCCGACGCCAUGAAAGACCUCCGAGCUCUUCCCCAACGUCGGCCUCCUCAACCACCCCGCGCCACUACCGGCAGCUCGUCGCCGGAGACCCAUCAGCAGACCACUAGCGUCGUGCCCCGCCAUGCUCCGUGCCUUGCCGUUUGUCGCCGAGAGCGUGUUGCACCCCUCACUGAACCUCGUCGUCUCCUUGCCUGCUCUGCAUCCAGACUGCAGCACCGAGGAGAGGCCUCUGUGUGGACCCCGCCAACCCGUCCUGCUGCUGCCGUCAAGCUGCAUCCACGACAUCCCCGUCGCCAAGACCCGGAGGUCGCGUCCUCGCCGGCCUCGCUGCUUUUCCCUUCAGAUCCAGCCUGCUCGAUCCCCUGCUUCAGGACCGAGACGUCGAACGCUGCCGCCGCGCGUUGACCGUCCAGCAUGCCAAGGCCCAGCAGCACCCAAGGCCCAGCUCCUCCCGAGCCGGCCCCUCUCCACGUCACCCACGCCUUGGCCUCAAGCCUGAUCCGGCCUGCCCUGCCUCCUCCACAAACUGGACUAGGCCCACUAGGUUGAGGCCACACCCGAGCGCCCUUUUGUUGUUGUUGUUGUUGUUUUCCUUCUGUUGGGCCCAAUCUCAGAUGCAACCCGAUUCCUUUUUUUCUCCGUGGAUCAAAUUUAGAUAUUAUUCCAGAGGCUGCAGUUUUUCAGAAAACCCCUUGCACAACAUGCAUAUAAUAACUCACAAUUUGUUCAUCGGAUUAAAAUGAAUUAUAUAUGAAACUUGCUUAGAAUUUCAUCUAGUUUCAUAAUAUGCAAUUUUCAUCCAUGUUUAAAAUGUUUAAAAUGUUGUUUGCAUAUAAUUUGCUCCUAUGCCAUGCUAAAAUGAUUUAAUUCAUAACUAAAUAACCGUAGCUCCAAAUUUAAUAAACUUUAUAUGUAAUUGGGGUGGAAAAAUGCCUAGUUUAACAUGGUGACCUUACUUUGCAUGUUUAAUAACUCUAAAAUUAUGUUUAGGGCAGAACAGUACCAUAACCAAAAUAUGCACAUGAGGAGUUUCCGGAAUUGUUGUUCGUUGUUUCCGGCCUCAUUUAAACUUGCCUAAAUGUUUAGUUUACUUAUGCUUCACCCCUUGCCAUGUUAAUCAACAUUUAAUAUUGUUGGGUACAUAAACAAGAUCGAUCUAAAUAAGUCAUGUGGUGCUUUCUUCAAUAUGCAACUCCGUUGCAUGUUGAGCUCCACUUAAUUUGUAGGAUUGUUUGUGCAUUUUGCCAUGCCAUGCUUCAUUAAACCGGACAUGCAUCAUACUUGGUUGUGCAUCAUGCCAUAUUUAUGUGGUGGUUGUUUACCACGAUUGUUUGCGUCUUUCCGGUGUUCUCUCUUCGGGUUGGUUCCGAUAACGUCGCGUUGUGAGGAACCGUUCGACUACGACUGUUUGACUUCUUCAUGGACUCAUUCUUCUUCCUUGCGGGAUCUCAGGCAAGAUGACCAUACCCUCGAAAUCACUUCUAUCUUUGCUUGCUAGUUGCUCGCUCUUUUGCUAUGCCUAUGCUGCGAUACCUACCACUUGCUUAUCAUGCCUCCCAUAUUGUGAACCAAGCCUCUAACCCACCUUGUCCUAGCAAACCGUUGUUUGGCUAUGUUACCGCUUUGCUCAGCCACUCUUAUAGCGUUGUUAGUUACAGGUGAAGAUUGAAGUUUGUUCCUUGUUGGAACAUGGAGAUGUUGUUCCUUGUUCUGAACAUGUUUACUUGUUGGGAUAUCACAAUAUAUCUUAUUUAAUUAAUGCAUCUAUAUACUUGGUAAAGGGUGGAAGGCUCGGCCUUAUGCCUGGUGUUUUGUUCCACUCUUGCCGCCCUAGUUUCCGUCAUAUCGGUGUUAUGUUCCCGGAUUUUGCGUUCCUUACGCGGUUGGGCUAUUAUGGGAACCCCUUGAUAGUUCGCCUUGAAUAAAACUCCUCCAACAAUGCCCAACAUUGGUUUUACCAUUCGCCACGUAGCCUCUUUUCCCUUGGGUUUCGCGGACUCAAGGGUCAUCUUUAUUUUAACCCCCCCGGGCCAGUGCUCCUCUGAGUGUUGGUCCGAAACGGGCAGCCUGCGGGGCCACCUCGGGGAAACUCAAGGGCUGGUUUUACUCGUAGCUUGACCUAUCUGAGUGUGCCCUGAGAAUGAGAUAUGUGCGGCUCCUAUCGGGAUUUGUCGGCACAUUCGGGCGGUGUUGCUGGACUUGUUUUACCAUUGUCAAGGAUGUCUUGUAGAACCGGGAUACCGAGUCUGAUCGGAAUGUCUCGGGAGGAGGUCUAUUCCUUUGUUGACCAUGAGAGCUUGUAAGUUGGGACACCCCUGCAGGGAUUUGAACUUUCGAAAGCCGUGCCCGCGGUUAUGGGCAGAUGGGAAUUUGUUAAUGUCCGGUUGUAGAAAAUCUGAAGUUGACCUUAAUUAAAAUACAUCAACCGCGUGUGUAACCGUGAUGGUCUCUUUCCGGCGGAGUCCGGGAAGUGAACACGGUGUUGGAGUUAUGCUUGACGUAGGUUCUUCUAGGAUCACUUCUUGAUCAUAGUUUCUCGAUCGUGCUUUGCCUUCUCUUCUCGCUCUCAUUUGCAUAUGUUAGCCACCAUAUAUGCUAGUCGCUUGCUGCAGCUCCACCUCAUACCUUUACCUUACCCAUAAGCUUAAAUAGUCUUGAUCGCGAGGGUGCGAGAUUGCUGAGUCCCCGUGGCUCACAGAUACUUCCAAAACCAUAUUCCAGGUGCCGAUGUUACCGAGCAGGUGACGCAACCAAGCUCAGGAGGAGCUCGAUGAAGAUCUUGUCCUUUGUGUUGUUUCGUUCUAGUUGGUCAGUAGUGGAGCCCAGUUGGGGUCGAUCGGGGACCUUUGUCGCAUUUGGGAUUCUUCUUUUAUUUUGGUUCCAUAGUCGGACCUUGAUUGUAUCUGAAUGAUGUAAUGCUUUAUUCAUGUAAUUGUGUGAAGUGGCGAUUGUAAGCCAACUAUGUAUCUCUUUCCCUUAUGUAUUACAUGGGUUGUGUGAAGAUUACCUCACUUGCGACAUUGCUUUCAAUGGGGUUAUGCCUCUAAGUCGUGCUUCGACACGUGGGAGAUAUAGCCGCAUCGAGGGCAUUACAAGUUGGCAAUCAGAGCCUUCCCCGACCUUAGGAGCCCCCACUGAUUGAUCGUUUUAGCGGCCGAGUGGUGUCUAGAAAAAUGUUUUGAGUCAUUUAGGAAUUAUAUAUCGGAGACUUUAGGAAUUCUUUUUACUUCCCAGUCUCCUCAUCGCUCUGGUAAGGCAUCCUGACGUAGAGUUUUGACUCUUCUCCCCUCAAAUUUCACUGAAAAAAUUUUAGGAUCACGCGGGUAUCUUGGAAUCGUUCCGAUGGUUUUAUGACGAGAACAUUGUCUUGGUGCCUCCUGUCAGGGGUUUUGUGGAAGUGUCCCGGGGAGUUGAGCUCUGAGGUGUUGUCGUCAUAAUUUUAUCGUUGCAGUUCUGGAAUACCUGAAAAUCUCUUUUAUGCAGUUCGUUGGUGAGAUAACCUCGACGCCACCCAGUAUUGGGGCGGGAGUUCGGUAGUAUUGCCAUAACUCGUAUAACGGAUGCUUUUCGAAGGUUGAGGUAGAUGAUUUCCGAAGGUUUCUGGGUUAUGUGUUGAAGGAUGGAUACAGCUGGAUGUAGGAUUUGCUAGAUUUGGGUGAGAUAUUAUGCUUCCCCUGUAUCCCCAACACCUGAUUGCAUAACCGGAAAGGUUCGGGAGUUUCAUAGGUGGGAAUUCAAGUAGCUCUUAGGAUAUCUUUCCGACAGAUGUAUGAUAUGAAAUUGGGGUUCGACGUCUAGUGGUCUGCCUAUUCACGGUCGGUUUUACAGUGGUCUCGUUGUGUCUUAAAGAGUCCUUGGCUAUGCCGACUCGGGGACGCUUCGUAUGUCAUGUGCACUACCUUGUACAUGAUGGUGUUGUACGAUCGAGCCCGUGUAGGCCCCACCACGAAAACUUCGGACGAAAUCUCUAUCAUAUGUUUGUUCUGGCUUAUUCUGCAAGCCAAUCCUUUGUUUUGUUUGGAGUUGUGGUAUUCGAGUUACUUCAAUGUCAAGUGUUGAUUCCAUACCUUCCCCAAUUGGUGUUCUCAUGUUCCCAUGUGCAUACUAAUCCUUCUUGAUCAUCGAGAUUGUCUUGCCAAUCCUUCUCAACCGGUGUGUUUCUCUUCAAGUGAAUCCGAUCAUUUCAACUUCCGCAAGAUCAAUUAUCACUUCUUCUCAACGGUGUUCGUUUCAUCCAUUCCAAAUUGUCUUUGUUUCUCCCACCCUCCCUCCCUUGUUUUUUUCUUCAAGGACUCAGAUUUCUUAUUCUAGUAUCCUUUAUUGAUGGGAAGCCUCUCCAUUCCUUUUCCGUCAAGGUUCUUAUCCGUUGAUUCCCAGGAAGAUGCUAACGAAGCUUAAAGUUCGUCAUUCUUCAUUCUUUUUCUUCUCCGGUGGAUUCAAUUCAAACUUCGGUAUUGAGCAUUGUCUUUUCUUUUGUCCAAUGCUUUUCUUAUGCCGGAGUACCUCAUUAUCAUUCCACUUCUCACUAUUUAAUUGUUCCUGAGUGCUGGAGAUAUCUCAAAGAUUCGUGUGUCCACUCUACAUUCGUUCAAGCUCUGUCGAGGAUGUUAUAUCAUUCAAGUCAUUUAAUUAAACCGGUGCAUUCUCCUUUUCAAGUAAUCUUUUCAACGGUGUUUUCUUUUCAGUGGGCCCUAACCCACAGGUCUAUUCCCAGGAUCUUACCUGACUCUUCUUAUUUCCCGGAGAUAUCCUCAAAUUUCUUUUCGAAGUUUGACGCAAGAAUGAUUUAUCAUCAGUCAAAUGUCUUUCUCCAAGAUCUUUCAAAUUUUUUUCAUAGUUGGCUCAACCUCUUCGCUCUUGUUUCUUCCGGAGUGCUUCAACAAUUUAUUGUGGUGUUUCUCGUUGUCAUUCUCAGGUUCUGAAGAACGAAGAAGACUUUUCCUCCAUAUCUAUCCGUUUUCUCUGAGAUUCGUGAUUCUAGCUUGUUGCCAUACUCUCAUAAUUAUUUUCGAUUGUUGAAAUUCUUUUCACCUAUCCGGAGCAAUUCAAGAGUCUUCUCAGUGUGUUAUCCGGAGUCCAUCAAUUCAGGUUUAUUCAUUCUCAGCUGUCAGUUAUCAUUCUCCUAUCUUACCGGUGCAUCGUUCAAGUGAUCUCUAAUCAGUUUGUGAUCACUUCGUUCUCUUGUAUCUAAAUUCUCUCAAGUAUCUCCAUCCAUUUCAUAAUUAUUCCUGGUUUUCCUUUAUUUUCCUUCGUUCGUUUCCAAUUCUUACCGGUGGCUCGCUCAAGAUUUCUAUUCCUUUGUUAUUGUAUUGAUUCAGUCGUUAUUUCUAUCCUACUGGUGGUUCGUUCAAUAUUUUCCCAAGUUGGCGCUAUAUCUAUCUUAAUCCUUUCUACGAGAAUAAGUAGUGUGCCAAAUCGAUUGAGUGUCAUCAAUUUAAUUGGUGAAGGAUACGCAUAACGUAAUUCUUAUUCUUGCUUCAUCCAAGUGAUUAAUUCUUUAUUCCGGAGGCUCAUCAAAUUCUCGGUUUCACUUGAUUCAUUUUUCUUUCCCGGAGUCCCAAGCUCUCGCAAUUAUAUCACCACGAAGAUUUAUCUAAAUCUUUACAAGGUUCAAACUUGUGUUCUCAACUACCCUUUCUUUCUUUUUGAUAAUUCUUUUGUUUAACGGAGUUCUUCAUGAAGGUUCUACAUGUUGUUUCAUAAAGGAUUUAAUUCCUUCUCGAAGUGUUCUUCAAGCUUCUUUUCUGAGGAGUUUAAGCAUUCUUCAUCUUGCAUCCGAAGUGCAAUUCUUUCUUCUGUAUCAUUGGAGGUGGUAUUAUGUCAUUUUUGAUAAUUUGAGUUCAUGCUUCAUGAUUCACAUGUUGUUAAGAAUGAGAUAUAUUAAAUCCAUCAACCUCUUCGUUGGUGUUAUAUUGGGUUAUAUUUCACCUAAAGUUUUCCCUAAGGUCUGUUGCUAUUUAUGGUGCUUAUAAGUGACCCAAGUUCUUCAUUUAUCCUCUCAGUGAAAUAGUUUCUCGUCUCCCUGUUGAGAUCAAUCCAAUCUAUUGUUUUCGUUAGUGGCAGAAUUUCACCUCAUAGUUUUGAGAUGUUUUCCAUAAGCCCACUACAAACUUAUUCUUUUCGUAGUUGGUUUUCCAACAACUCCGUUCUAGCAUUUGUUGCAACCGUCCUCUCUCAAGAUCUUGUUUCCCUUCGUUCCGGAGACAUUGUGAUGUUGCUCUCCUCAACCCAUCUUCUCGGAUUGUCAGGACCAUGUUUUGAUCGUGCUUAUCCUUUUAACCGGAGUAUUGUGUCCCUUUUCUCAAGCUCUUUUAUGUUAUCUAGUUUUUCAUCUCUUUUAAACCGGAGUGCUGUCCGAGAUCUUUCUUACCCCCUUGUUCCAUUCAUUCAAUAGUUACGGAGGUAGUGUAUUGUGAUUUCAUCAAGUAUCUUCUCAUCUUAUCGAGUUAUUAUUCAAUUCUUUUUCUUUUCAACCGGAGUGUUGUUGGAAUUUGUUCUUCCUUGUUUCUCUUUUCUAACGGAGUGUUUCCAACUUCGUUCAUCUCCGUUGUAUUCUUUUCUCUAAAUGGCUUAACCUUUUUCAAGGUUCUUUGGUUUCACUCGUUUGUCAAAGGAGCAACUUAGUUUUACCUCUUCUUUUUCUCUUCUGUUUUCCCUCCGGUGCCAUUCUAGAUCUCGGGACGAGAUCCUCUCGUAGUGGUGGAGUGUUGUAAUGCCCCGAGACCGAUGUGCCAGGUGUCCUCCAGUUAUUCGCUGUGGUUGCCUUGUCUUUGCUUGCGUGUCAUGCAUUUCAUAUCAUGUCAUCAUGUGCAUUGCAUCACCAUGUUUUCAAAACCUGCAUCCGUCCGGGUUCCCCCAGUGCCAUCCUUUGUCCGUUCUGAGCCCAGACACACUUGCACGCGCCCCUGGCACGUCCGAAAUAUUAUUUUAUAAGUGAUCGGAAAAUGUUCUUGGAAUGGGGUGAAAGUUGGCAUGUGGUGUUGUUAUAGUCUAGGUAGACCGCCUGCCAAGUUUCAUCGUGUUCGGAGUCCGAUUGACGCCCAACGGUUAACUAUAGCGGCAAUAUAGCCGGUCUAACUUCGGACGUUUUCGGUCUCUGAAAACAGUCGCCGGUCCUCCAUCUCUUCUCUUCUCUCAGCUCGAGACCGUCUACACAGCCCACUACCUACCCCAGGCCCAACCUAACCUCUCUCGUCAGCCCGCGGCCCUCCUCGCGCCCGAAAGUUGUCCCGGACCCGAACCGGACAGUCGUUAUCGUUGUGUCCAGAUCAUCCCCAAACAUUUACAAAACGUCACCGUUUUCUUAUUUGGAACCCCUAGCUAUUUUAUUCGCGAUCGUCCGAUUACGAUCGGAGGGACGAUAUAGCCCCUAACCAAACCCACUUGCUAUAUAUAUUUGCCCAACCUAGACCAAAUCCCUAUUUCCUAGGGAUCCAUCCCACCGCCGCCACCCACUUCCUCGGAUUCCACGCCAAACCAAUCCCUGCAUCUCUCUCGAUCCAAACCUCCACCAACCAGAUCCACCCCGCAGACGAAUGCCUCCGCAUCACCCAUCACCCGAGCCAGCCGAGGGCCUCGUUCCCGAGCCGAGCUCCAUGGGAGCAUGCCAGACGCCAUGGCCGCCGAAGGGACUCCGCCGCCUCACCGAAUCCACGCCUCCUCCUCACGCCAGGGGCUCGUCCUCGCGCCCGAGCGCGCGCAGUCAGCUCCGACUCGGCGCCCCACCCAAACUCCAUCUGCAGCCGUGCUUCCUUGCCUCCACGCCCGCAACCACCCGAGGAGAGAGCCUCGCGCUCGUGCACGAGCACGCACAUGAACUUCUGCGCCCGCGCCUCUACCACCCUGACGCCAUGAAAGAGCUCCGAGCUCUUCCCCAACGUCGGCAUCCUCAACCACCCCGCGCCACUACCGGCAGCUCGUCGCCGGAGACCCAUCAGCAGACCACCAGCGUUGUGCCCCGCCAUGCUUCGUGCCUUGCCGUUUGUCACCGAGAGCGUGCUGCACCCCUUACUGAACCUUGCCGUCUCCUUGCCUGCUCUGCAUCCAGACUGCAGCACCGAGGAGAGGCCUCUGUGUGGACCCCGCCAAUCCGUCCUGCUGCUGCCGUCAAGCUGCAUCCACGACAUCCUUGUUGGGGAACGUUGCAGAAAAUAAAAAUUUUCCUACGAUUUCACCAAGAUCCAUCUAUGAGUUCAUCUAGCAACGAGCGAUUGGAUGCAUCUACAUACCUUUGUAGAUCGCGAGCGGAAGCGUUCAAAGAACGGGGAUGAUGUAGUCGAACACGACGUGAUCCAAAUCACCGAUGACCAAGUGCCGAACGGACGGCACCUCCGCAUUCAACACACGUACGGAGCGGAUGACGUCUCCUCCUUCUUGAUCCAGCAAGGGGGGGGGGAGGAGAGGUUGAUGAAGAUCCAGCAGCACGACGGCGUGGUGGUGGAUGCAGGACGUCACAGUAGCAGGGCUCCGCCUAUACUACGCGAGAGAGAGAUGUAACGGGGAGAGAGGGAGGCGCCAAGGGCUGUACCUCAAGUCCCUCCUCUCCCCCACUAUAUAUAGGGGUGCUAGGGGGGGCGCCGGAUCUCCUAGGGGGGGUCGGCGGCCAAGGGGUGGGGCUUGCCCCCCAAGCAAGGGGGCGCCCCCUUUAGGGUUUCCCCCCCAACCCUAGCCGCAUGGGCCCUAGGGGGGUGGAGCCCCAGCCCACUUUGGGCUGGGUUCCUUCCCACUUUGGCCCAUGGGGCCCUCCCGGGAUAGGUGGCCUCACCCGGUGGACCCCCGGGACCCUUCCGGUGGUCCCGGUACAAUACCGGUGACCCCGAAACUUGUCCCGAUGGCCGAAAUAGCACUUCCUAUAUAUAAUUCUUUACCUCCGGACCAUUCCGGAACUCCUCGUGACGUCCGGGAUCACAUCCGGGACUCCGAACAAUAUUCGGGUUACUGCAUAUACAUAUCUUCACAACCCUAGCGUCACCGAACCUUAAGUGUGUAGACCCUACGGGUUCGGGAGACAUGUAGACAUGACCGAGACGACUCUCCGGUCAAUAACCAACAGCGGGAUCUGGAUACCCAUGUUGGCUCCCACAUGCUCCACGAUGAUCUCAUCGGAUGAACCACGAUGUCGAGGAUUCAAUCAACCCCGUAUGCAAUUCCCUUUGUCAAUCGAUAUGUUACUUGCCCGAGAUUCGAUCGUCGGUAUCCCAAUACCUCGUUCAAUCUCGUUACUGGCAAGUCACUUUACUCGUACCGUAAUGCAUGAUCCCGUGACCAGACACUUGGUCACUUUGAGCUCAUUAUGAUGAUGCAUUACCGAGUGGGCCCAGUGAUACCUCUCCGUCAUACGGAGUGACAAAUCCCAGUCUUGAUCCGUGUCAACCCAACAGACACUUUCGGAGAUACCCGUAGUAUACCUUUAUAGUCACCCAGUUACGUUGUGACGUUUGGUACACCCAAAGCACUCUUACGGUAUCCGGGAGUUACAUGAUCUCAUGGUCUAAGGAAAUGAUACUUGACAUUGGAAAAACUCUAGCAAACGAACUAUACGAUCUUUAUGCUAUGUUUAGGAUUGGGUCUUGUCCAUCACAUCAUUCUCCUAAUGAUGUGAUCUCGUUAUCAAUGACAUCCAAUGUCCAUAGCCAGGAAACCAUGACUAUCUGUUGAUCAACGAGCUAGUCAACUAGAGGCUUACUAGGGACAUGUUGGUGUCUGUUAUUUACACAUGUAUUACGAUUUCCGGAUAACACAAUUAUAGCAUGAAUAAAGACAAUUAUCAUGAACAAGGAAAUAUAAUAAUAAUGCUUUUAUUAUUGCCUCUAGGGCAUAUUUCCAACAGUCUCCCACUUGCACUAAUCUAGUUACAUUGUGAUGAAUCGAACACCCAUGGAAUUCUGGUGUUGAUCAUGUUUUGCCCUCGGGAGAGGUUUAGUCAACGGAUCUGCUACAUUCAGGUCCGUAUGUACUUUACAAAUCUCUAUGUCUCCAUCUUGAACAUUUUCACGAAUGGAGUUGAAGCGACGCUUGAUGUGCCUUGUCUUCUUGAGAAACCUGGGCUCCUUGGCAAGUGCAAUAGCUCCAGUGUUGUCACAGAAGAGCUUGAUCGGCCCCGACGCAUUGGGUAUGACUCCGAGGUCGGUGAUGAACUCCUUCACCCAAAUUGCUUCAUGUGCUGCCUCCGGGGCUGCCAUGAACUCCGCUUCACAUGUAGAUCCCGCCACGACGCUCUGCUUGCAACUGCACCAGCUUACUGCCCCACCAUUCAAAAUAUACACGUAUUCGGUUUGUGACUUUGAGUCAUCCAGAUCUGUGUCGAAGCUAGCGUCGACGUAACCCUUUACGACGAGCUCUUCAUCACCUCCAUAAACGAGAAACAUUUCCUUAGUCCUUUUUAGGUACUUCAGGAUAUUCUUGACCGCUGUCCAGUGUUACUUGCCGGGAUUACUUUGGUACCUUCCUACCAAACUUAUGGGAAGGUUUACAUCAGGUCUGGUACACAGCAUGGCAUACAUAAUAGAACCUAUGGCCGAGGCAUAGGGGAUGACAAUCAUCUCUUCUAUUUCUUCUACCGUGGUCGGACUUUGAGUCGAGCUCAAUUUCAUACCUUGCAACACAGGCAAGAACCCCUUCUUAGACUGAUCCAUAUUGAACUUCUUCAAUAUCUUCUCAAGGUAUGUGCUUUGUGAAAGACCUAUGAGGCGUCUUGAUCUAUCUCUAUAGAUCUUGAUGCCUAAUAUAUAAGCAGCUUCUCCAAGGUCCUUCAUUGAAAAACUCUUAUUCAAGUAGGCCUUGAUGCUGUCCAAGAGUUCUAUAUCAUUUCCCAUCAAAAGUAUGUCAUCUACAUAUAGUAUGAGAAAUGCUACAGAGCUCCCACUCACUUUCUUGUAAACGCAGGCUUCUCCAUAAGUCUGCGUAAACCCAAACGCUUUGAUCAUCUCAUCAAAGCGAAUGUUCCAACUUCGAGAUGCUUGCACCAGCCCAUAAAUCGAGCGUUGGAGCUUGCACACCUUGUCAGCAUUCUUAGGAUCGACAAAACCUUCCGGCUGCAUCAUAUACAAUUCUUCCUUAAGGAAACCAUCAAGGAAUGCCGUUUUGACGUCCAUUUGCCAUAUUUCAUAAUCGUAGAUGCGGCAAUUGCUAACAUGAUUCGGACGGACUUCAGCUUCGCUACCGGUGAGAAAGUCUCAUCGUAGUCAACCCCUUGAACUUGUCGAUAACCCUUAGCGACAAGCCGAGCUUUAUAGAUGGUCACAUUACCAUCCGCGUCUGUCUUCUUCUUAAAGAUCCAUUUAUUUUCUAUGGCUCGCCGUUCAACGGGCAAGUCAGUCAAAGUCCAUACUUUGUUUUCAUACAUGGAUCCUAUCUCGGAUUUCAUGGCUUCUAGCCAUUUGUCGGAAUCCGGGCCCGCCAUUGCUUCUUCAUAGUUCGAAGGUUCACCGUUGUCUAACAACAUGAUUUCCAAGACAGGGUUGCCGUACCAUUCUGGUGCGGAACGUGUCCUUGUGGACCUUCGAAGUUCAAUAGCAACUUGAUCAGAAGUUUCAUGAUCAUCAUCAUUAACUUCCUCUCUAGUCGGUGCAGGCACCUCAGGAACAUUUUCUUGAGUUGCACCAUUUUCCGGUUCAAGAGGAAACACUUCAUCAAGUUCUACUUUCCUCCCACUUACUUCUUUCGAGAGAAACUCCUUCUCUAGAAAGCAUCCAUUCCUGGCAACAAAGAUCUUGCCUUCGGAUCUGAGGUAGAAGGUACACCCAACAGUUUCUUCAGGGUAUCCUAUGAAGACGCAUUUUUCCGACUUGGGUUCGAGCUUUUCAGGUUGAAGUUUCUUGACAUAAGCAUCGCAUCCCCAAACUUUUACAAACGACAACUUAGGUUUCUUCCCAAACCAUAAUUCAAACGGUGUCCUCUCAACGGAUUUCGACGGAGCCCUAUUUAAAGUGAAUGCAGCAGUCUCUAAAGCAUAGCCCCAAAAAGAUAGCGGUAAAUCGGUAAGAGACAUCAUAGACCGCACCAUAUCUAAUAGAGUGCGAUUACGACGUUCGGACACACCAUUACGCUGAGGUGUUCCAGGCGGCGUCAGUUGUGAAACUAUUCCACAUUUUCUUAAGUGUGUGCCAAAUUCAUGACUCAAGUAUUCUCCUCCACGAUCUGAUUGUAGAAACUUGAUUUUCCUGUCACGUUGAUUCUCAACCUCAUUCUGAAAUUCCUUGAACUUUUUCAAAGGUUUCAGACUUGUGUUUCAUUAAGUAGACAUACCCAUAUCUACUCAAGUAAUCAGUGAGGGUGAGAACAUAACGAUAGCCACCACGAGCCUCAACACUCAUUGGACCGCACACAUCAGUAUGUAUGAUUUCCAAUAAGUUGGUUGCUCGCUCCAUUGUUCCUGAGAACGGAGUCUUGGUCAUUUUACCCAUAAGGCACGGUUCGCACGUGUCAAAUGAUUUAUAAUCAAGAGACUCUAAAAGUCCAUCUGUAUGGAGCCUCUUCAUGCGUUUGACGCCUAUGUGACCAAGGCGGCAGUGCCACAAGUAUGUGGGACUAUCAUUAUCAACCUUACAUCUUUUGGUACUCACACUAUGAACAUGUGUAGCAUUACGUUCGAGAUUCAUAAAGAAUAAACCAUUCACCAUAGGAGCAUGACCAUAAAACAUAUCUCUCAUAUAAAUAGAACAACCAUUAUUCUCGGAUUUAAAUGAGUAGCCAUCUCGAAUUAAACAAGAUCCCGAUACAAUGUUCAUGCUCAAAGCUGGCACUAAAUAACAAUUAUUGAGGUUUAAAACUAAUCCCGUAGGUAAAUGAAGAGGCAGCGUGCCGACGGCGAUCACGUCGACUUUGGAACCAUUCCCGACGCGCAUCGUCACCUCGUCCUUCGCCAGUCUCCGCUUAUUCCGUAGUUCCUGCUGUGAGUUACAAAUGUGAGCAACUGCACCGGUAUCAAAUACCCAAGAGCUACUACGAUUACUGGUAAGGUACACAUCAAUUACAUGUAUAUCACAUAUACCUUUUGUUUUGCCGGCCUUCUUGUCUGCUAAGUAUUUGGGGCAGUUCCGCUUCCAGUGACCGUUUCCCUUGCAAUAAAAGCACUCAGUCUCGGGCUUGGGUCCAUUCUUUGGCUUCUUGCCAGCAGCUUGCUUGCCGGGCGCGGCAACUUUCUUGCCGUCCUUCUUGAAGUUCUUUUUACCCUUGCCUUUCUUGAACUUAGUGGUUUUAUUGACCAUCAACACUUGAUGUUCCUUCUUGACUUCUAUCUCCGCUGAUUUCAGCAUUGAAAACAACUCAGGAAUGGUCUUUUGCAUCCCCUGCAUGUUGAAGUUCAUCACAAAGCUCUUGUAGCUUGGUGGAAGCGACUGGAGGAUUCUGUCAAUGACCGCAUCAUCCGGGAGAUUAACUCCCAGCUGAGACAAGCGGUUAUGUAACCCAGACAUAGUGAGUAUGUGUUCACUGACAGAACUAUUUUCCUCCAUCUUACAGCUGAAGAACUUAUCGGAGACUUCAUAUCUCUCAAUCCGGGCGUGAGCUUGAAAAACCAUUUUCAGCUCUUCGAACAUCUCAUAUGCUCCAUGUCUCUCAAAACGCUUUUGGAGUCCCGGCUCUAGGCUGUAAAGCAUGCCGCACUGAACGAGGGAGUAGUUAUCAACACGUGUCUGCCAAGCGUUCAUAACGUCUUGGUUCUGUGGGAUGGGAGGGUCACCUAGCGGUGCUUGUAGGACAUAAUCUUUCUUGGCAGCUAUGAGUAUGAUCCUCAGGUUCUGGACCCAGUCCGUGUAGUUGCUGCCAUCGUCUUUCAGCUUGGUUUUCUUUAGGAACGCGUUGAAGUUGAGGACUACGUUGGCCAUUUGAUCUACAAGACAUAUUGUAAAGAUUUUGGACUAAGUUCAUGAUAAUUAAGUUCAUCUAAUCAAAUUAUCAAUGAACUCCCACUUAGAUUAGACAUCCCUCUAGUCAUCUAAGUAUUACAUGAUCCGAGUUAACUAGGUCGUGUCCGAUCAUCACGUGAGACGGACUAGUCAACGUCGGUGAACAUCUUCAUGUUGAUCGUAUCUUCUAUACGACUCAUGCUCGACCUUUCGGUCUUCUGUGUUCCGAGGCCAUGUCUAUACACAUGCUAGGCUCGUCAAGUUAACCCUAAGUGUUUUGCAUGUGUAAAACUGUCUUACACCCGUUGUAUGUGAACGUAAGGAUCUAUCACACCCGAAUAUCACGUGGUGCUUCGAAACGACGAACUUUAGCAACGGUGGACAGUUAGGGGAGAACACUUCUUGAAAUUGUUAUGAGGGAUCAUCUUAUUUACUACCGUCGUUCUAAGUAAACCAGAUGCAUAAACAUGAUAAACAUCACAUGCAAUCAAAUAAUGAACGUGACAUGAUAUGGCCAAUAUCACAUAGCUCCUUUGAUCUCCAUCUUGGGGCUCCAUGAUCAUCUUGUCACCGGCUUGACACCAUGAUCUCCAUCAUCAUGAUCUCCAUCAUCAUGUCUCCAUGAAGUCGCUCGCCAACUAUUACUUCUAAUACUAUGGCUAACGCGUUUAGCAAUAAAGUAAAGUAAUUUACAUGGCGUUUCUCAAUGACACGCACGUCAUAUAAAAUAAAGACAACUCCUAUGGCUCCUGCCGGUUGUCAUACUCAUCGACAUGCAAGUCGUGAUUCCUAUUACAAUAGCAUGAACAUCUCAUACAUUACAUAUAGAUCAUUCAUCAUUCAUCACAACUUUGGCCAUAUCAUAUCACAAAGCACUUGCUGCAAAAACAAGUUAGACGUCCUCUAAUUGUUGUUGCAAGUUUUACGUGGCUGAAUUAGGGUUCUAGCAAGAACGUCUUCUUACCUACGCGAAAGCCACAACGUGAUUUGUCAACUUCUAUUUACCCUUCAUAAGGACCCUGUUCAUCGAAUCCGCUCCAACAAAAGUGGGAGAGACAGACACCCGCCAGCCACCUUACGCAACUAGUGCAUGUUAGUCGGUGGAACCGGUCUCACGUAAGCGUACGUGUAAGGUUGGUCCGGGCCGCUUCAUCCCACAAUACCGCUGAAGCAAGAAAAGACUAGUAGCGGCAAGAAAGUUGACAAAUCAACGCCCACAACAAAUUGUGUUCUACUCGCGCAAGAAGAACUACGCAUAGACCUAGCUCAUGAUGCCACCGUUGGGGAACGUUGCAGAAAAAAAAAUUCCUAUGGUUUCACCAAGAUCCAUCUAUGAGUUCAUCUAGCAACGAGUGAUCGGAUGCAUCUACAUACCUUUGUAGAUCGCGAGCGGAAGCGUUCAAAGAACGGGGAUGAAGUAGUCGAACACGACAUGAUCCAAAUCACCGAUGACCAAGCACUGAACGGACGGCACCUCCGCGUUCAACACACGUACGGAGCGGAUGACGUCUCCUCCUUCUUGAUCCAGCAAGGGGGGGGAGGAGAGGUUGAUGAAGAUCCAGCAGCAUGACGGCGUGGUGGUGGAUGCAGGGCGUCACAGUAGCAGGGCUGCGCCUAUACUACGCGAGAGAGAGAUGUAACGGGGAGAGAGGGAGGCGCCAGGGGCUGUACCUCAAGUCCCUCCUCUCCCCCACUAUAUAUAGGGGUGCUAGGGGCGGCGCCGGCCCUAGGAGAUGGGAUCUCCUAGGGGGGCGGCGGCCAAGGGGUGGGGCUUGCCCCCCAAGCAAGGGGGCGCCCCCUUUAGGGUUUCCCCCCCCCCCAACCCUAGCUGCAUGGGCCCUAGGGGGGUGGUGCCCCAGCCCACUUUGGGCUGGGUUCCUUCCCACUUUGGCCCAUGGGGCCCCCCGGGAUAGGUGGCCCCACCCGGUGGACCCCCGGGACCCUUCCGGUGGUCCCAGUACAAUAUCGGUGACCCCGAAACUUGUCCCGAUGGCCGAAAUAGCACUUCCUAUAUAUAAUUCUUUACCUCCGGACCAUUCCGGAACUCCUCGUCACGUCCGGGAUCUCAUCUGGGACUCCGAACAAUAUUCGGGUUACUGCAUAUACAUAUGUUCACAACCCUAGCGUCACCAAACCUUAAGUGUGUAGACCCUACGGGUUCGGGAGACAUGUAGACAUGACCGAGACGACUCUCCGGUCAAUAACCAACAGCGGGAUCUGGAUACCCAUGUUGGCUCCCACAUGCUCCACGAUAAUCUCAUCGGAUGAACCAUGAUGUCGAGGAUUCAAUCAACCCCGUAUGCAAUUCCCUUUGUCAAUCGAUAUAUUACUUGCCCGAGAUUCGAUCGUCGGUAUCCCAAUACCUCGUUCAAUCUCGGUACUGGAAAGUCACUUUACUCGUACCGUAAUGCAUGAUCCCGUGACCAGAUACUUGGUCACUUUGAGCUCAUUAUGAUGAUGCAUUACCGAGUGGGCCCAGUGAUACCUCUCCGUCAUACCGAGUGACAAAUCCCAGUCUUGAUCCGUGUCAACCCAACAGACACUUUCGGAGAUACCCGUAGUAUACCUUUAUAGUCACCCAGUUACGUUGUGACGUUUGGUACACCCAAAGCACUCUUACAGUAUCCAGGAGUUACACGAUCUCAUGGUCUAAGGAAAGGAAACUUGACAUUGGAAAAACUCUAGCAAACGAACUAUAUGAUCUUUAUGCUAUGUUUACGAUUGGGUCUUGUCCAUCACAUCAUUCUCCUAAUGAUGUGAUCUCGUUAUCAAUGACAUCCAAUGUCCAUAGCCAGGAAACCAUGACUAUCUGUUGAUCAACGAGCUAGUCAACUAGAGGCUUACUAGGGACAUGUUGGUGUCUGUUAUUCACACAUGUAUUACGAUUUCCGGAUAACACAAUUAUAGCAUGAAUAAAGACAAUUAUCAUGAACAAGGAAAUAUAAUAAUAAUGCUUUUAUUAUUGCCUCUAGGGCAUAUUUCCAACAAUCCCCAUCGCCAAGACCCGGAGAUCAUGUCCUCGCCGGCCUCAUUGCUUUUCCCUUCAGAUCCAGCCUGCUCGAUCCCCUGCUUCAGGACAGAGACGUCGAACGCUGUCGCCACGCGUUGACUGUCCAGCAUGCCAAGGCCCAGCGGGGCCCAAGGCCCAGCUCCUCCCGAGCCGGCCCCUCUCCACGUCGCCCACGCCCUGGCCUCAAGCCUGAUCCGGCCUGCCCUGCCUCCUCCACAAACUGGACUAGGCCCACUAGGUUGAGGCCACACCCGAGCGCCCUUUUUUUGUUGUUGUUGUUUUCCUUCUGUUGGGCCCAAUCUCAGAUGCAGCCUGAUUCCUUUUUUUCUCCGUGGAUCAAAUUUAGAUAUUAUUCCAGAGGCUGCAGUUUUUCGGAAAACCCCUUGCACAACAUGCAUAUAAUAACUCACAAUUUGUGCAUCGGAUUAAAAUGAAUUAUAUAUGAAACUUGCUUAGAAUUUCAUCUAGUUUCAUAAUAUGCAAUUUUCAUCCAUGUUUAAAAUGUUGUUUGCAUAUAAUUUUCUCCUAUGCCAUGCUAAAAUGAUUUAAUUCAUAACUAAAUAACCAUAGCUCCAAGUUUAAUAAACUUUAUAUGUAAUUGGGGUGGAAAAAUGCCUAGUUUAACAUGGUGACCUUACUUUGCAUGUUUAAUAACUCUAAAAUUAUGUUUAGGGCAGAACAGUACCAUAACCAAAAUAUGCAAAUGAGGAGUUUCCGGAAUUGUUGUUCCUUGUUUCCGGCCUCAUUCAAACUUGCCUAAAUGUUUAGUUUACUUAUGCUUCACCCCUUGCCAUGUUAAUCAACAUUUAAUAUUGUUGGGUACAUAAACAAGAUCGAUCUAAAUAGGUCAUGUGGUGUUUUCUUCAAUAUGCAACUCCGUUGCAUGUUGAGCUCAACUUAAUUUGUAGGAUUGUUUGAGCAUUUUGCCAUGCCAUGCUUCAUUAAACCGGACAUGCAUCAUACUUGGUUGUGCAUCAUGCCAUAUUUAUGUGGUGGUUGUUUACCAUGAUUGUUUGCUUCUUUCCGGUGUUGUCUCUUCGGGUUGGUUCCGAUAACGUCGCGUUGUGAGGAACCGUUCGACUACGACCGUUUGACUUCUUCAUGGACUCAUUCUUCUUCCUUGCGGGAUCUCAGGCAAGAUGACCAUACCCUCAAAAUCACAUCUAUCUUUGCUUGCUAGUUGCUCGCUCUUUUGCUAUGCCUAUGCUGCGAUACCUACCACUUGCUUAUCAUGCCUCCCAUAUUGUGAACCAAAGCUCUAACCCACCUUGUCCUAGCAAACCGUUGUUUGGCUAUGUUACCGCUUUGCUCAGCCCUCGUAUAGCGUUGUUAGUUGCAGGUGAAGAUUGAAGUUUGUUCCUUGUUGGAACAUGGAGAUGUUGUUCCUUGUUCGGAACAUGUUUACUUGUUGGGAUAUCACAAUAUAUCUUAUUUAAUUUAUGCAUCUAUAUACUUGGUAAAGGGUGGAAGGCUCGGCCUUAUGCCUGGUGUUUUGUUCCACUCUUGCCACCCUAGUUUCCGUCAUAUCGGUGUUAUGUUCCCGGAUUUUGCGUUCCUUACGCGGUUGGGCUAUUAUGGGAACCCCUUGACAGUUCGCCUUGAAUAAAACUCCUCCAGCAAUGCCCAACAUUGGUUUUACCAUUCGCCACCUAGCCUCUUUUCCCUUGGGUUUCGCGGACUCAAGAGUCAUCUUUAUUUUAAACCGCCCCCCCGGGCCAGUGCUCCUCUGAGUGUUGGUCCGAAACGGGCAGCCUGCGAGGCCACCUCGGGGAAACUCGAGGGAUGGUUUUACUCGUAGCUUGACCUAUCUGAGUGUGCCCUGAGAACGAGAUAUGUGCAGCUCCUAUCAGGAUUUGUCGGCACAUUCGGGCGGUGUUGCUGGACUUGUUUUACCAUUGUCGAGGAUGUCUUGUAGAACCAGGAUACCAAGUCUGAUCGGAAUGUCUCGGGAGGAGGUCUAUUCCUUCGUUGACCGUGAGAGCUUGUGAUAGGCUAAGUUGGGACACCCCUGCAGGGAUUUGAACUUUCGAAAGCCGUGCCCGCGGUUAUGGGCAGAUGGGAAUUUGUUAAUAUCCGGUUGUAGAAAACCUGAAGUUGACCUUAAUUAAAAUACAUCAACCGCGUGUGUAACCAUGAUGGUCUCUUUCCGGUGGAGUCCGGGAAGUGAACACGGUGUUGGAGUUAUGCUUGGCGUAGGUUGUUCUAAGAUCACUUCUUGAUCAUAGUUUCUCGAUCAUGCUUUGCCUUCUCUUCUCGCUCUCAUUUGCGUAUGUUAGCCACCAUAUAUGCUAGUCGCUUGCUGCAGCUCCACCUCAUACCUUUACCUUACCCAUAAGCUUAAAUAGUCUUGAUCGCGAGGGUGCGAGAUUGCUGAGUCCCCGUGGCUCACAGAUACUUCCAAAACCAGUUUCCAGGUGCCGAUGUUACUGAGCAGGUGACGCAACCAAGCUCAGGAGGAGCUCGAUGAAGAUCUUGUCCUUUGUGUUGUUUCGUUCUAGUUGGUCAUUAGUGGAGCCCAGUUGGGGUCGAUCGGGGACCUUUGUCGCAUUUGGGGUUCUUCUUUUAUUUUGGUUCCAUAGUCGGACCUUUAUUGUAUCUGAAUGAUGUAAUGCUUUAUUCAUGUAAUUGUGUGAAGUGGAGAUUGUAACCCAACUAUGUAUCUCUUUCCCCUAUGUAUUACAUGGGUUGUGUGAAGAUUACCUCACUUGCGACAUUGCUUUCAAUGCGGUUAUGCCUCUAAGUCGUGCUUUGACACGUGGGAGAUAUAGCCGCAUCGAGGGUGUUACAGCAGGAACCAGUAACCAGCCAGUGGUAAACCGGGUAGAAGCACCUGGAAUAGGAGCGUCAGUUCAAUCGCGCACAAUGGAUUCGCCUCAUCCGAAUAUCCCGUCGCAGCACGUGUCAACGCCUCCGGGUCAUUACUCCAACCCCCUGGAUAACAUAGUCGCCGCCGCUUCACGAUUGGCAGCCCUCCCAAUCGAAGGCGAGUCCCCCAUAGCGGUUGAGACGCGACGGGCUAGGGAGCUCCUUCAGACAGGUUUGACUCAGCAGCAUGCGUAUUCAUACAGGCGCGAGAGGAUUCAUUCCACCCCCCGCCCAAGCCGGAGUUACAGCAGGCACCUUGAUUAACUGGCCGUGUCGAGCAGUGCGCGGACCGUAACCCGCCUCGAGGGCAUAAUCCGGUAGGUGGUGGUACUAAUGCUCAGGAUUUGGUGGGUCAAGGUAGAGCGCGUCGAGAAGUCGAGUUAGCGACGCAGUACGCGGCCCGUCAGCUCACUCCGAUUCGUCCAACAACUUCGGUGGAGCCAGGAGUUACCUCCAGCUCUUUGGGGGUGCCGUGUCUCACCCCAGCUCUACGUAAUGUACGGCUGCCAAGGAUUUCAAAGGUCCUCACAAAUUACCCAAUUAUACUGCCGAUGUACCCCCUGAGUCAUGGAUCGAAAGCUAUGAGAUGGCAAUGGAGAUGCUGGAUGUGGAUGAUGCGGCCCGUGCUAAAUACUUCACCAUGAUGUUGGAAGGAACAACUCGCACUUGGCUGAAAAGUUUGCCAGCUAACUCCAUUGGGUCAUGGGCUACGUUAAAGGCCCGGUUUAUCCAGAAUUUCAAGGACACGUGCAAGCAACCCAUGUCAAUUGUGGACUUAGCCGCAUGUGUCCAAGAAGAAGGUGAAUCGACAACCCAUUGUGUGCGCCGGGUUUCGGAAAUCUUGCAUUCAUCGGACCACAUUAAUGCCGAUACAACAGUCUUAAUGUUGGAGGGCAAUUGCCAGUUCAUGCCUUUGAAGCUGAAAUUGGGCCGCUCAAGCGUCACUGCAAGGACAUGGGAACGUUUAUGGCAGCUCUGGUUAAGUAUGCAGACUCUGAUAGUACCAAGGACCCUGAGUCUGAUAUGAAAAGCCGGGGAAGGGAAAGAAGAGUGGCGAUAACAAGGGGCAACAACAUAACCCGGCGGGUCAUGGAAACAACGGUAAGCGCAAAGCAGAUAACAGUUUGGAUUUUGUGGCUAACACCAACACGUAGAAUAACGGUCAGUGUCGUAAAGGUAAACCGCCCCCGCAAAGCGGAGGAUCAGGUACCAAUCUUGAAUACCUGUUAAAUCAGCCUUGCCCAAAACACGGGACACGAGAAAGGCCAGCUAUGCACCUCCAGAAGGAUUGCUUUAUUAUGAGGGAGUUCAAAAACUCAAAUCUUUUCCAAGAUGGUCAUGGACCGGGCGGCGGUUCGGGACUUAGUUCUCAUGGGCCGGGUUAUGGUGGAGGCAGUUCUGGUUCAGAACUUAAAGGCAAUCGAAGCAAUCAUGGCAACCAAGGGGGUUAUAGCCAACAACACUCUCAGGGGUGUCAACAGCAGCAACAAUCGGGUUAUCAGAGCAACCAGAAGCAGUUGAAUAGUGGGCAAUAUCAUGUCUUCACCACUAGCUUAUGCAGGCGCGAUCAGAAGCUUCAUAAGAGGGCAGUAAACUCUGUUGAACCAAUAGUGCCCUGUUACUUGCGCUGGUCAAAACAGCCCAUUGUGUGGAGCCGAGAGGAUCACCCGCCCCGGGUUGAUAAUCCGGGUCAUCUGGCGUUGGUGGUGGCGCCUUAGGUUGGAGGAUAUAAGUUCACCAAGGUGCUCAUGGAUCGAGGGAGUAGUAUCAAUAUCCUUUAUUAUGAAACCUUCCGUUGCAUGGGGUUGACAGAUAAAAUCCUUAAACCGUCGAACAUUGUUUUCCAUGGUGUGGUACCUGGUAAAUCGGCGUAUCUAGUUGGGAAGAUAGCUUUGGAGGUUGCUUUUGGAUAUGAUCAUGACUCAAGAUCAGAGACAUUGAAUUUUGAAGUGGUGAAAAUCAAGAGCCCAUAUCAUGCCCUGUUUGGACGGCCGACUUAUGCUAAGUUCAUGGCAAGGCCCUGUUAUGUUUCUCUGCAGCUCAAGAUGUCGGGUCAUAAGGGGACUAUCACGGUACAUGGGAGCCGUAAGAUUGCUUUGGAAUGUGAAGAAGGUGAUGUGGCCUAUGCUGAGUCGGUUUGUGCAACAGAGGAGUUGAUGUUCUACAAGGACAAUGUCGAUCCGGCAAAUAUGACUUCUUUGAAAAAGCCAACUACAGAGCAUGAUCCGGCCUUGAAGUUUAAAUCAGCUAAGGAGACUAAGCUGGUUGACUUUGUUCCUGGCGAUUCUUCCAAGCAGUUUAGCAUUAGCGCUAACCUGGAUCCGAAAUAGGAAAGCGCGCUCAUCGAGUUCAUCCAUGAGAACCAGGACAUCUUUGCAUGGAAGCCUUCUAAAAUGCCAGGUGUACCAAGGGAACUCGCUGAGCACACUCUUAAUAUCGAUCCCAAGUUUAAACCGGUCAAGCAGUUUCUGCCGUUUCAAUGAAAGGUGCAAGGCCAUUGGCGAGGAGGUAGCCAGGCUCUUGGUGGCUGGGUUUAUCAUUGAAGUAUUUCAUCCUGAGUGGUUGGCUAACCCGAUGCUAGUACUUAAAAAGAACGACACCUGGCGUACACUAGUAGAAAAAGGGCCUAUUGUCCCGGUUCGUAAGGGCCUUUUGUCCCGGUUCCUGAACCGGGACUAAAGGGUCGGUACUAAUGCCCUGUCCCUUUAGUCCCGGUUCAAUCUAGAACCGGGACAGAUGGGCCUCCACAUGGCCUGUAAGCGGAGCCAGGCAGGAGGGCCUUUGGUCCCGGUUGGUGGCACCAACCGGGACCAAUAGGCAUCCACGCGUCAGCAUUUUUGUGGCCGGGGNNNNNNNNNNNNNNNNNNNNNNNNNNNNNNNNNNNNNNNNNNNNNNNNNNNNNNNNNNNNNNNNNNNNNNNNNNNNNNNNNNNNNNNNNNNNNNNNNNNNNNNNNNNNNNNNNNNNNNNNNNNNNNNNNNNNNNNNNNNNNNNNNNNNNNNNNNNNNNNNNNNNNNNNNNNNNNNNNNNNNNNNNNNNNNNNNNNNNNNNNNNNNNNNNNNNNNNNNNNNNNNNNNNNNNNNNNNNNNNNNNNNNNNNNNNNNNNNGGGGGUUUUGGGGGGUCAAUUUAGGUGAUUCAUAUAUUGUGUUAGCUAGCUAUAAUUAAUAGAGAGAAGCGUCCUCUCUUAUGUCUGUGCUUGGUCGACGCUACGUACUAUACAUACGUAUAGAGAGAACUAGACACGCUAGCUAGCUAGUCAGCAAACGAAGGAAACAGAAGAUCGUCAUGAACAUAUAUGCAUACAGAGAGAAGUGAUAUCGACCACGUCUCCUUCUCCGAGAGAUUGGUCGAACAACAAGUUCUCGUAUAUCUAUCCGACACUACUGGCUACAUAUAUACAAUAAUUAUCACUUACAAAUAUAAUCUCCUAACAUACGGACUCAUGGUCCAUAUAGUAUUCUCCAUCUUCAGCGAUCACGUGGUCAAGAAAGAAUGCCGCCAAUUCCUCUUGAAUUGCUCGCAUGCGAGCUGGUGCUAGGAGUUCAUUCUGCUUCCGAAACAUCUAAUUUGAAGAAGGGGGUCAAUACAUAUAUAUAUGAAUGAAUUAAACUCAACACAAAUGAUGGUAAUAAAAUAAAAUUGUGAAUGUUGUUAUUUACACACUUCAUAUUGUUUGCCAGAGUAGCCCCGCUCACAGGUCGUGUGGCGGAUGGACUCGCAAAUGUAGUAUCCACAGAAAUUAUUCCCUUGUUCCUGCCACAACCACUUUACAAGAAAUAGAGGUCAAUCAAACUGAUAAGCAAGAAUGCCAAAUGGUAUUGAUGAAACUAGCGCUUGAAUCAAUAGGAGAUGCGCAGAACAUGCUACUAUAGUACUUACUUUCGGGUGUCUAAAUUGCAGCUUCUUCGGGAGUCUCGGAGGUUUUUUGGUGAAUUUUUUCCAAACCCUGCUAGACAAAGAAAACAAUUACUUGAUAUAUCAGGAAAUGAACAAAGUUGCUAAUGUGGUGGAUAAUGAUCGAUUUAACUUACUUCUCAAGCAUUUGAGUCAUGUCCGCAUAGUCCUGGGGAUCUUUUCGUCUUGAGUCUAAGACGGUUACUAGUCCCUGCACAAGCUUAAUCUCUAGGAGAAUAUAGUGGAAACUGCACACGCUUCCAUAACUCAUCAAUUACAUUACUAUAACCUUGACUAAUAUAUAAGAGAAACGGAAUACGCACAAGACAGUAACACUCACUUGAAGUUGUAAGGAAAGAGUAUUAUAUCUUUGUUUUCAUUUAUUACCAACGAUCGUAGCAAGUUGGCCUCGAUAUCUGCGGGAUGAAAUUUAUCCUCAGUUUCAUCUAUGAGAUAUGUGUUAAUGAACCCAAUAUCACCGACUUGUCUUUUCUUCAAUUCGGCAAUCUUCAAUCUGCAUAAUAUAGUGAGGAUAAUUAUAAAUACAUGCAAUGAAAGAGUUGAGCUAUAUAGAGAGACUUAAUGAUAGAAGUACUACUACUUACAGACAGUAGCAGGUGACCGUUGCUUUAUCGAUGGCCAAUUGAUUGAAAAACUGAAAGAACUCCUCAAAUGUAACAGGCAACAGAUCAAUUCCAAUGAGGUCAUGCUCCUUUUUAACUCUCACAUACAAAGUACUCCUCCCCCAGACUCUCUGCAGAUUUUCAAGUACCAAUCAUGCAAUCUUCGCAUCAUCGUUGAUAGAGAUCUUUCAUCUUUGACGAGAGGCUUCCCGUACUCGUAUCUUUGUAUCUACACCUCCAUGAAAUCAUAAGGUACAUUGUCGGGCAGGUAAUCUCCAAGAUUGCUAUAGCCGGGCACCAUCCUCGGAUCAUUAGCGACGAUGUCGCUAGGCACCUUGCGCGGGGGGCACGAUUGCUUCGCUUGUUCGCCGAGCUGUGCAAUUUGUUUCCCAGCUCAUCGUUCUUUCAGCCUUUGAUCACUGAUAGUACUUCCCGACCGCUCCGCUUCGACAAAUUCCUUUCCAAUAAUGCGCUCAUAGUUUCCUUUCGGCGGAGACUUGGGUGGUUUUGUCAGGGCAGCCAGAGUGCGCUUCGCUUUCAUCGGAUCUACCUUCUCCUCCGGAGGUGGAUGUUUCUUUGCUUUCACCCCUUCAAAGAAGUUCCUCACUUCUUCUCGCGCAAUCUCGGCAUUCUCCUCCGGGGUCCUCUCGUAUGGUAACUUCUCUGGAGUCUUCAGAGAAGGACCGAAUCUGUAUGUCCUCCCGCCUCUGGCUGUACUGCUAGACAUCGGUAGAGCAGAUGGAGCGGUUGUCUUCUUUACUUGCUUACGAGGCGAAGGAGAAGGACUACGACGCGCCGGAGCAGCCGGAGCGGCGGCAGGUCUCUUCCGCCCUUGCUGACGAGGCGGAGAAGGAGGAGGCUGGCUGCUCGGGCGCGCCGGUGCAGGCGGAGGAGGCGAAGUGCCGCCACGCGCCGGAGAAGGAGCCGGCCGAGUGCCCUGAUCGUCACUCGCCGGUGGAGGAGGCGGUGGAGGAGGCAGAGUACCCUGACUCGCCGGAGGAGGAGGCGGUGGAGGAGGCGGAGUGCCCUGAUUCGCCGGAGGAGGAGGAGGCAGGGGCGGAGGCGUCCAGUUCGGAAGGUUGAUGAGCUCCUUCCGCCAUAGGCAUGGAGUCUUCAGAGCACAACCCAGCCUAGUCUCCCCUUCACUGGUAGGGUGGUCAAGCUGGAGGUUCUCAAAUCCCUCCGUUAUUUCAUCCACCAUCACCCUAGCAUAUCCUUCUGGAAUCGGCCGGUAGUGAAAAGUUGCGCCGGGUUUAGUAGGAUAAACAGAGCCAACAGCCGCCUUGACCUUCAAAUUCAUCCAUUGCAUCAUAAGGUGGUAAUUUUGAGACUCCGUGAUAGCAUCCACGGGAUAGCUGGCAGGAGCCGUCAAGACAUGCUCUGGCUGAAGCAGCUUGGUGGAAGCCACACUGCUUCUCCGCUGAGAUGGCGGGGUAGCUUCGGGGGAAGCUUCGACAGUUCAUUUGCUACGAUUUGCUUGUCAUUCCUCUAUUGCUUGUACCCUUGCUUGCAGCGCCUGCAUUUGGGUCUGCUGCACUUUUUUCGUCCUCUCCUCGCAUUUGUAACUGCCUAUGUCCGGAAACCCAACCUUCCACGGAAUGGAGCCUGGCGUGCCUCAUGUCCGUCCAGGGUGCUCAGGAUUCCCAAGGGCCAUUGUGAGCUCGUCGUUCUCUCUGUCUGGAAAGAACGUCCCUUGCUGCGCUGCUUCGAUAUACUGCUGAAGCUUCUUGACUGGUAUGUCCAUUUGAUCGUUCGUCCAAAUGCACUUCCCAGAUACAGGGUCCAAGGUUCCACCAGCCCCGAAGAACCAAGUCCGGCAACGGUCUGGCUAGUUAAUUGUCUCUGGUUCGAUCCCUUUAUCAACCAGAUCAUUCUCAGUCUUGGCCCACUUAGGCCGGGCUACGAGGUAGCCACCUGACCCCGUGCGAUGGUGAUGCUUCUUCUUCGCAACAUUUUGCUCGUUUUUCGCUGACAUCUUCUUACUCUUUUCUGAUGUCUUGUGGGCCACAAAUGCGGGCCAGUGAUAUCUGAUCUUCUCAUAUCUGCCCUUGAAAUCUGGUGUCUCUUUAUUUUCGACAAACUUAUUCAGCUCUUUCUUCCACCUCCUGAAUAGUUCUACCAUCCUCUUAAGAGCAAAAGAUUUGAUUAAUUGCUCUUUAACUGGCUUCCGGAUCGUCCUCUGGCGGUAGGGUGAAAUUUGACUUCAGCUCAGUCCAAAGAUCAUUUUUCUGCAUAUCAUUGACAUAAGACACCUCAGGGUCUUCUGUAGCCGGCUUUAACCAUUGCUGGAUGCUGAUCGGGAUCUUGUCCCAAACCAAAACCCUGCACUGAGCAACAAAUGCGCUCUUUGUCCGGAGGGGUUCAAUCGGUUGGCCGUCGGGCGCGAUUGCUAUGAUCUCAAACUUUUCAUCCGAGCUCAACUUUUUCUUCGGGCCUCGUCUCUUUACCGAAGUUGUGCUCGAUCCGGAGGGCUAGAAAAAAGAACAAAGACUUAAUUAAUAUGUGUACAUACCAAAACAAUGAAUGCAUCAAUUAGUUAGUCAGUAGAAGUUUAACUAAUAUAUAUACCUGGCCGGACACGGUCCGGUCACCGGAGACGUCAUCACGGUCUCCUUCUUGCACCGGCAUAGAAAACUCGUGAGCUCUGUUAGCGAAAGAAAACAAAAGUCCACUUCAAGGUACUGUAAUGAACUAAUUCUUUAUUUAUAUUGGUGUUAUACCUACUGUAUUCCCACUUCUCUAUGGAUUAUAAACUAUUUUACUAACCAUAGAUUCAUCAAAAUAAGCAAACAACACACGAAAAACAGAAUCUGUCAAAAACAGAACAGUCUUUAGUAAUCUGUAGCUAGCGCAAGAUCUGGAACCCCAAAAAUUCUAAAAUAAAUUGCUGGACGUGAGGAAUUUAUCUAUUAAUCAUCUGAAAAAAUAAUUAACUAAAUAACACUCUUCAAGUAAAAAUGAAAGCAGUUCUCGUGAUUGCUAAAGUUUCUGUUUUUUACAGCAAGUUCAACAAGACUUUCCCCAAGUCUUCCCAACGGUUCUACUUGGCACAAACACUAAUUAAACACAAGAAACACAACCAAAACAGUGGCUAAAUAAUUUAUUUAUUACUAAGCAGGAGCAAAAAUCAAGGAAUAAAAAUAAAAUUGGGUUGCCUCCCAACAAGCGCUAUCGUUUAACGCCCCUAGCUAAGCAUAAAAGCGAGGAUAGAUCUAGGUAUUGCCAUCUUUGGUUUUGGACAAAAAGAGAGCAAACUUGUUAUCUAUGGAAUUAAUCUUUCUAUUUUGACAGAGCACAUGUCCAUUAAUGGUAGAAGAAAUAUUAAGAAUGUUGCGGAAAUUGGCAUCUAGGCUAGCUUCUAUCUCUUUAAUAGAUUCGUUUUGGUAAGAAAGCAAGAGAGAUGCAAUUUCAGUUUUCUCAUUAAUGGGGUGCCCAAAUAUAGUUUUCAUCCUCUCAUAGGUAUCUAUGGGGUCCCCUACAAGAAACCCCCCAUCGAAAAUAGAAUUUAAGACUUGUUUGAACGAAGCGGGUAGCCCAACAUAAAAGCUUUUUAAGUAAACCUCAAUUUGAUAUUGGGGUACAUAGCUAGCGCGGAUCCUUAACAGCCUAUCCCAAGCAUCUUUCAAAGAUUCAUCAAGUAAAUAACGAAAAAUUCCAGAAUCAUCUUCAUCAAAAUUACUAAGGUUCUCAUUGAUAACUCCGGCAAGUUGUUCUAUAGCAUUCCGAUUUAUGAGUUUAGAUAAGAUAGCAGGAUUGUCUAAAGCACAAGAACUUGGGAGAGAACCCCCAACUCUUUUUGGUUCUGACAUGGCGAGGGAAAAGAGGCAAACAGAAAAAGAGAGGGAGGAUAGAGAGAGAGAGGGCGAAUAAAACGGCAAGGGUGAAGUGGGGGAGAGGAAAACGAGAGGCAAAUGGAAAAUAAUGUAAUGCGAGAGACAGGGAUUGUGAUGGGUACUUGGUAUGUUGACUUUUUGCGUAGACUCCCCGGCAACGGCGCCAGAAAUCUUUCUUUGCUACGUCUUGAGCUUGCGUUGGUUUUCUCCGAAGAGGAAGGGAUGAUGCAGCAGAGUAGCAUAAGUAUUUCCCUCAGUUUUUGAGAACCAAGGUAUCAAUCCAGCAGGAGGCCACGCUCAAGUCCCUCGUAACUGCACAAAGAGAUAGCUACUCGCAACCAACGCCAUUAGGGGUUGUCAAUCCCUUCACGGUCACUUACGAGAGUGAUAUCUGAUAGAUAUAAUAUUUUUGGUAUUUUUGGUAUAAAGAUGCAAAGUAAAAAGUAAAGGCAAAGUAAAAAAGCAAAGCAAGAUUAAAGUGAUGGAGAUUGAUAUGAUGAGAAUAGACCCGGGGGCCAUAGGUUUCACUAGUGGCUUCUCUCAAGAGCAUAAGUAUUCUACGGUGGGUGAACAAAUUACUGUUGAGCAAUUGACAGAAUUGAGCAUAGUUAUGAGAAUAUCUAGGCAUGAUCAUGUAUAUAGGCAUCAUGUCCGUGACAAGUAGACUGAAACGAUUCUGCAUCUACUACUAUUACUCCACUCAUCGACCGCUAUCCAGCAUGCAUCUAGAGUAUUAAGUUAAAAACAGAGUAACGCCUUAAGCAAGAUGACAUGAUGUAGAGAGAUAAAUUCAUGCAAUAUGAAAUAAACCCCAUCUUGUUAUCCUCAAUGGCAACAAUGAAAUACGUGCCUUGCUGCCCCUUCUGUCACUGGGAAAGGACACCGCAAGAUCUAACCCAAAGCUAAGCACUUCUCCCAUUUCAAGAACUACCAAUCUAGUUGGCCAAACCAAAUGGAUAAUUCGAAGAGACUUGCAAAGAUAACCAAUCAUACAUAAAAGAAUUCAGAGAAGAUUCAAAUAUUAUUCAUAGAUAGACUUGAUCAAAAACCCACAAUUCAUCGGUCUCAACAAACACACCGCAAAAAGAAGAUUACAUCGAAUAGAUCUCCACAAGAGAGGGGGAGAACUUUGUAUUGAGAUUCAAAGAGAGAGAAGAAGCCAUCUAGCUACUAACUAUGGACCCGAAGGUCUAAGGUAAACUACUCACACUUCAUCGGAGAGGCCAUGAUGAUGUAGAAGCCCUCCGUGAUGACGGCCCUCUUCUGGCGGAGCUCUGGAACAGGCCCCAAGAUGGGAUCUCGUGGAUACAGAAAGUUGCGGCGGUGGAAUUAGGUUUUUGGCUCCUAUUCUGAUCAUUUGGGGGUACGUAGGUAUAUAUAGGAGGAAGAAGUACGCCGGAGGAGCACCGAGGGGCCCACGAGGCAGGGGGCGCGCCCCCCACCCUUGUGACCGCCUCAUUUGUUCCUUGGAGCAGGGUCCAAGUCUCCUGGAUCACGUUCGGUGAGAAAAUCACGUUCCCGAAGGUUUUAUUCUGUUUGGACUCCGUUUGAUAUUCCGUUUCUUUGAAACACUCAAAUAGGCAAAAAACAACAAUUCUGGGCUGGGCCUCUGGUUAAUAGGUUAGUCCCAAAAAUAAUAUAAAAGUGGAAAAUAAAUCCCAAUAUAGUCCAAAACAGUAGAUAAUAUAGCAUGGAGCAAUCAAAAAUUAUAGAUACAUUGGAGACGUAUCAGUCCUCUGCCCGAUGCGGUGCUGACAUGGCUCUGUCGCUGGUAAGAGUCCACUGCAAGGAAGCCCGCGAAGAUAGGCUGGCGGCGAUCAAGGUCGCCAACACCAAAAGGCAUGACUUUCAGUCCUUCAUGGAGACUUUCAUUGCUGCUGCCACUCGGAUCGCUGAUGGAAUUGACUUGGACGAAUUCAUCGAGCGUGCGAGCCCUCCUCGUGCCGAAUGAACAAACUUGAGAUUUAUACUUGCCUUAAAUUUGCCUCGGAAUGCCGAGUGGUUUCUGUAACCGUUAAACUCCUUCGGGCCUGAUGCCCAAGUACUUUUAUCGUCGUUUCGCAACUCUUGAGAUUUUAUCCGAUCUUGGUCUAUCUUCUGCAUAUGCUUGCGUUCGUCUUCGAGUAGAACUUGCACUUCAUUCGGAAUAUCCUUUGAGAUGCAACUCUGAAGGAGAUAUCUCAGUCGACCUGCACCUCGAUGUCCUUGUGGAUAAGGAUGGAGCGCACAUUGUAUUUGUGGCGCAGCUCUGAGAAGAGGGUUGCGGUCGACCUGCAUCUCGUCGUCCUUGCGGAUAGGGAUGGAGCGGACAUUGUAGUUGCAGCGCAGCUCCGUGGGAGGAUUGCAGUCGACCUGCACUUUGUCAUCCUUGCGAACAAGGGUGGUUUUGAAGCUUAGGAGAGUACUAGACUGCAGCUAAGCCCCCGAGUGUGAGGUUUGCUCAUCACUCGGUAGGAUUUUUUGAAAUUUAGGCGAGUACUAGACUGCAGCUAAGCCUCCGAGUGUGAGGUUUGCUCAUCACUCGGUAGUAUUUUUCAAACUUAGGCGAGUAUUGUACUACAGCUAAGCCUCCGAGUGUGAGGUUUCCUCAUCACUCGGUAGGAUUUUUGAAACUUAGGCGAUUACCGGACUGCAGUUAAGCCUCCGAGUGAGAGACUUGCUCGUCACUCGGUAGGAUUUUUGAAACUUAGGCGAGUACUGGACUGCAGCUAAGCCCCUGAGUGAGAGACUUGCUCGUCACUUGGUAGGAUUUUUAAAACUUAGGCGAGUACUGGACUGCAGCUAAACCUCUGAGUGUGAGUUUUGCUCAUCACUCGGUAGGAUUUUUGAAACUUAGGUGAGUACUGGACUGCAGCUAAGCCUCCGAGUGUGAGGUUUGGUCAUCACUCCNNNNNNNNNNNNNNNNNNNNNNNNNNNNNNNNNNNNNNNNNNNNNNNNNNNNNNNNNNNNNNNNNNNNNNNNNNNNNNNNNNNNNNNNNNNNNNNNNNNNNNNNNNNNNNNNNNNNNNNNNNNNNNNNNNNNNNNNNNNNNNNNNNNNNNNNNNNNNNNNNNNNNNNNNNNNNNNNNNNNNNNNNNNNNNNNNNNNNNNNNNNNNNNNNNNNNNNNNNNNNNNNNNNNNNNNNNNNNNNNNNNNNNNNNNNNNNNNNNNNNNNUAGGAUUUUUGAAACAUAGGCGAGUACUGGACUGUAGCUAAGCCUCCGAGUGAGAGACUUGCUUGUCACUCGGCGGGAUUUUUGAAACUUAGGCGAGUACUGAACUGCAGCUAAGCCCCCGAGUGAGAGGCUUCCUCGUCACUCGGUAGGAUUUUUAAAACUUAGGCGAGUACAGGACUGCAGCUAAGCCCCCGAGUGAGAGACUUGCUCAUCACUCAGUAGGAUUUUUGAAACUUAGGCGAAAUGGGUUCGUAGCUAAGCCCCUGAGUGAGAGGUUUGCUCAUCACUCGAUAGGAUUUUUUCAACUUAGGCGAAACGGAUUCACAGCUAAGCCACCCACUGGUUGAUUUUUGAAACUUAGGCGAAAUGGGUUCGCAGCUAACCCCCGAGUGAGAGGUUUGCUCAUCACUCGGUCGGAAUUUUUCAACUUAGGCGAAAUGGGUUCGCAGCUAAGACACCCACUAGGGAUUUCAGAGACAUACAUAAACAAUCGACAAUCUUUUUAGAAGAUUGUAAAACUCCUGUCUUUGAUAAACAAAAUACAAAGGUGUUUUUUAUUACAUCUCAGCAGACUGAGUGUUUAAGUAUAAAAGGGGCGGACCAGCUCCGCAUUCCAGGAGCGCGGCUCGUCUUUCCUGUGCUCGACGUCGUAAAGGUGGUAGGCUCCAUUGUGGAGCACUCUGGUGACCACGAACGGGCCUUCCCAAGAGGGAGCAAGCUUGUGUGGUUUCUGCUGAUCCACUCGGAGAACUAAGUCUCCCUCUUGAAAUGCUCGACCCCUCACGUUUCUGGCAUGGAAUCGACGCAGAUCUUGCUGAUAGAUGGUUGAUCGGAUAAAGGCCAUCUCUCUUUCUUCUUCAAGGAGGUCAACUGCAUCCUGUCGUGCUUGUUCUGCUUCUUCCUCUGUGAAAAGCUCGACUCGGGGUGCAUUGUGGAGCAAGUCACUCGGAAGUAUAGCUUCGGCUCCAUAAACCAAGAAAAACAGGGUCCUGCCAGUCGACCGAUUCGGAGUUGUCCUCAAUCCGCAUAAUACUGAUGGAAGUUCGUCGACCCAGGCUCCUGCUGCGUGUUUGAGGUCACGCAUCAGUCGAGGUUUCAAUCCUUUGAGAAUCAAUCCAUUUGCCCUUUCAGCCUGUCCAUUCGACUAGGGGUGAGUGACCGAGGCAUAGUCGACUCGAGUACCUUGUGAAGCACAAAAAGUCCUGAACUCAUCAGAAUCAAAGUUUGAUCCGUUGUCAGUGAUGAUGAUGUGGGGAACACCAUAUCUGAAUGUUAUUUCUCUGAUGAAGCUGACAGUAGUACUGGCAUCAAGGUUCUUGAUAGGCUUGGCUUCAAUCCAUUUGGUGAACUUGUCGACUGCUACAAGCACAUGAGUGAAUCCACUCCUGCCAGUCCACAAAGGUCCAACCAUAUCCAAUCCCCAAACAGCAAAAGGCCAGACGAGCGGAAUGGUCUUCAGGUCGGACGCAGGCUUGUGAGACCUGUUGGAGUAAAGCUGGCAACCUUCACAUUUCUCAACUAUUUCUUGUGCCAUCUCAUUUGCUCGAGGCCGGUAAAAUCCUGCUCGGUACGCUUUGGCCACAAUGGUCCAAGAGGACGCAUGGUGACCACAGGUCCACAAGUGGAUAUCAUUGAGGAUCACUCGACCUUCUUCAGGUGUUAUGCAUUUCUGCCAAACUCCAGUCACACUUUCUUUGAACAACUGUCCUCUUAUCACAGUGAAGGCCUUAUAUCGACGGACGAUCUGUCGAGCCUCUUCUUCAUCUUCUGGGAGUUCUCUUCUAAGAAUGUAUGCGAUAUAUGGUACUGUCCAAUCGGGGGUGAUGACCAAAACUUCUAUGAUCAAGUCGACCACGGCUAGAAUCUCGAUUUCAGUCGGAUCGGUGGCACUGUUGGGCUAUGGGGGCUCUUCAGUGAAGCGAUCUUCUUGAACUGAAGGUGCAUGAAUAUGCUCCAGGAACACAUUACUGGGAAUGGCCUCUCUCUUGGAGCCUAUCUUUGCCAGAUCAUCGGCUGCUUGAUUUUUCAGUCGGGGGAUGUGAUGGAGCUCUAACCCCUCGAACCUCUUUUCUAACUUUCUUACUGCAUUGCAAUAACCAGUCAUGGCUAGGCUUCUGACAUCCCACUCCUUCAUCACCUGAUCACUACUAGGAAAAGGCCUACUAAUGGCGCAUUAGUGGUGCGCCAUUAGUAUAUUUUACUAAUGGCGCACCACUGGUGCGCCAUUAGUAUCUGGUAUACUAAUGGCGCGCCAUGCGGUGCGCCAUUAGUAUGCCUCCCAGGGGGCCAUGUAUACCCAGGUCCUUUGGCAUACUAAUGGCGCACAACAACAGGAUGCGCCAUUAGUAACUUCGGCAUACUAAUGGCGCACUGUUUAAUGAUGCGGCAUUAGUAUCCUUUGGCACACUAAUGGCGCACUAUGAUGUGAUGCGCCAUUAGUAUGAAUAUUAGGUUUUUUUGUUUUUUAAUUUUCUGUUUUGUGCACAGGUUACAAAAUGUAUAAUUGGACAAAAUAUAGACAGCACACAUCAACAACAGAUUCAUCGAAUAAAAUAGAAGAUUAGUCUCUGAAUACAAUUCAUCAUUUUAGUCUCCGAAUACAAUUCAUCAUAUUAGUCUCCGAAUUGAAAAGACCGAACAAAGAUAGAACAUUAUAUUACAAGUCUCGAGACCGCGAGUUUGUCUUCACAUUACAAGUCGAUAUCGAUCAUCUAAACUACCAUCACAUAGAAGAGAGCUGCGGUCAUCACGAUGAGCAUCAUCACGAUGAAACUCGUCUUCAUCCGGUUCCUCCAACGCUCCCUCCCCUCUCCCGCUAGAUAGCGGGCGUAUCUAGAUUCGGCCUCGGCCCUAGUGGUGUACCCUUUGUAACUGUUACCGCUGAAUCGGUGAACCUGUCUCCGACACUCCUCCCAGUCGUUGUAGACUCCGGUAACCUUACCCUUGUACACGACAUACCACGGCAUCGCUAUGCAGUAGCCAAACGAAACGUUAGUACCAAUUCACAGACAAUACAUAAGCAACAUAUAAGUAUGCAACAGAACGAUCGGAAGAGAAAAGCAAAACAUUAAUAGCAUCGAUUACAUCUAAGUUGAACGACUCUCGAAACCAAAGAGACAUACUACAAGUUCAUUAUAGUUUAAUUACAACAUAUGAGCCAAUCGAUGUUUCAGAACUAGACACAGCAUCAUUGUUUUUGACUCGACUCAAGGGACCGGAGCGUGGAUGAAGCCGCCGUCUAUCGUGGGAGUCAUGAAACAACGGGCGUUGUCAGCCUGCGUUUGUAGGAUUGCGUCGAUGUCACUGUUGGACGGUUUAUUUCUGAGGUAGAACUGCCCCGAGGUACGAAGGACAUCUUGAUGGAUGAUUUCCGCAAACUCCGACAGGAUGCGAAAGAAUUCUUGUCUGAUGUCCGCAUCCUGGAUUGCUGACACGCUCGCAUUCCGAUCUUUGAGUCUACUCGGUAGCAGAAGUUGAUGAUGGUCCCGUACGAUCGCCCGCAUGUGAUGGAUGGCAUAGUAGGCACCCUUCUGACCGCUAGUUGGCUGCUUGACGCAGCAGAACGUCGUAUUGUGGGAGAACACGUGCUUGCCGUACUUACGAAUAGGCCUGGUGAAGGUGCCUCCAGAUUUGACGUAGCCGGGGAGAACAUCAUCAAGAACCUUCUUGACAUUUGUGUAGUCUACGUUCGACUGACGGUCUGGGUCUAAAUAUGUGGCCAUGGAAUAUUUGGGGCUUAGGAGGAUGAGCGUGCAACAUGUGUCACUGCAGAAAACACGGAAUGUUAAAAGAAAAACGAUCGAAAUCUAAGAAUUCAUAUGUUACGGGGCGGUUGAGGGGAGGACUUACUCGGGAAAGUAAGGCACGAGGAAGUUAUCCUUAUCUUGGUUUGCCAGAAUGACGCCUUCGAGGUAAGAACUCGCGACUUGCUGGUCCCCAGCGCUGCCCAAGAUCUUGGCACGCAUGUAGAAGGGGUCGACUAUCACGAUGUCCGGGGUCUUGUCGCGAAUGAUCCGCAUCUCCAUACUCAGCGAAAAUAGCCGAACGAAGGUGUAGUGCAGCGGAUGAAGGUUCAACAUAGCGUGGAUGUCAUCAAACCGCAGGACGAUCGUACCCCCGAUGGAGUUAUCCACAAAGCCCUUGCCCUGUGGCACCUUGGCCGCGAAAACCGGGUAUGCCACAUCCUUCUCUCCGAGACGCCGCUUCUCCAAAGAAAGAACACUGUCAUGCAGACUCCGCAUAGCACCGGUUGCAGCAUCGAGCAUAUUUCUCGGUAGCAUCGGCCUACCCGCCACAUGCACCCUCCUCGAGAUAUCCUCAGGUGCAGGUGGCCCGUCCUAAGCACGGAUCAUACUCGGUGCCGGCUGGCCCGCACCCUUGUUAGUCUUUCUUUUGCGUGCCUUCUUCUUCUCCUAUAAUGGGACCGAGUUCUGCUCACAGACCGCCUUCUUGAGUGUGUUGGGGCUGAUAAUAUUUCGCUCCUCGCCUAUCUGAGGCUCGGUGAAGUCGGCAGCUGGAGGUGUCUCCUGAGAGCUGAACGCUAGACGACGCCUGUUGCAACUUGGCUUCUCCGCGGUACCAGCUAGAUCGCGCACGUCUUUUGUUAGGUUGGGUUCUUGAUAAGGAGGCCCCAUGAAGUCGCCACCGUACCCAUGAUCGGCAAAGUACUGAUCGACGUUGGAAAAUGUAUCGUCGUCGUCGUCGUCGUUCAAAUCCUGUGCCAUAUGCAUGUUUGGAUCCAGUGGCAUAGGGAUGUCCGGCACCGUUGCGGCGGUCUUGCCAUGGGGCCGACUUGGCGCCAGCACGACUGGCGGUGUUGUCUUUGGGGUGGUGUCCCCCGCCCCCAAACGAAUCUGGCUCUUCGGCCAAAGCAGGGGCCAGCUCAGGCAGGCGCUGAGGGUCAUCAUGUCAUCAUUGUCGGCCCCUACGGGUCGAAUCGGAGGUAACAACUCGUCACAGCCUGGCAGCACCCGAACUAGUUGAACCCUAAACAAGUUGGGUGGUAUCUGGGUACCGUGGAACAAGGGGUUGCCCGGUUGAUCGAUUUUUCCCUUGGCGACAUCGACCAACUCGUUGUUCACGAAGUGCAAGAGAGUGCACGGAACGUCGGCGGCGCCCUGCGAAAACAUGUAGGGCGUCAGGGAUUCCCAGUCAAAGGCAAGGAGAUGAAGUACUCCGCCGAGAGAGACUUAAUUAGUUACCAUGAUGAUGGCGUCGAGCUCGGCUAAUGUCGAGGCACCGCCGACGGCGGGCGUGCAGUUGACGGAGGGGCCGCUUGCUGCAGAGGUGCCGGCCGGCAUACACCCGGGUGCAUUAAGCUCACGUGCCGGCGUCGGAGACACCAAUGCCGCCUCCGUUGGAGACACCAAUGGCCCCGCCAUCGCGUUCUGCGAGUUGCUGGACGUGAAGCUAGGAAUCGGGGGCGGCCCCUGUUGGCCGCCUGCAAUCCACGCACUAAUCCCCUGGAUCAAGGUAGGCACAAUGGCGGUGAUCGUCCUUCCGAGUUGUUGUUCCACUUGCUCUUGGACCAUCUCCGGAAUCCGCGCCACCUGUGCCCUGGGUUCUUGAACCUCGCGCGCCUGGCUUUCUGAGCUGGUCUUUUUCUCCUUUCGCCCACCAGUGUUAUAGUAUGACGACCAUUUUGUCGACAAGCCUUUGCCGGCCACACGACCAGCUGACGUCGGCUUACUGAGCUUAUCCUUGUUCUUCAUUACAUUCAACGCCCUAUUUAGAUUGGUGUCCCAAGGGGUGCUCUUAGUCGACCCCGCGCUACUGCUUUCAGUCGCCUGCGGAAGGAAUGUGAACCAUUUAGAAAUUUGGCUUCAUUAAUUAGAAUGCAACCAUAUGAAGCUAAUUACGCGGGGGUGUAUUCCUUACCAGAACAAGCUCAAGCUCCCUGGUCUUCGGAUCCGUGCUAAGCUCCUUUGUUUUCGGGUCCUUCUUGUACCGGGCCCUGACAAAGUUCCUGGUCUGCUUGUCACCGUAUUUAUUGAAGAGGGGCGGUAGGCCUUGCUCGGCACGGUCCGCAUCCUCCUUGUCCCAUAUAGGCUCCGCCACUCUGUAACCGCCGGGACCGAGUGUGUGUUCCCCUAAGUUCAGCUCCUGCAUUUCUUUCCCCCACUUACUUGAAUCGGAGCUUGCGGUGCUCGAGCAAUUGAUCUUGAAGUCGUUGUAGUCAUCUUCGGUGAUCGAAGGAUUUUUCUCCUUGAUCUUCUCAUAACUCUCACCUUUCUGGAUAAUUCUCUUCACAUUCCUUUUCCAAGUAGACAGGGCCGUGCUCAUCUUCAUGAGGGCAGCAUUGUUCACUUUAUUCCCUUUGAGGCUUGUGUUUUCAAAUUCAGCGGGGAACUUGUAUCGUUCGUGCAGCUUCGUGAAGAGGAGGUUGCGCAAAUUCCCUCGGUCAGGAUGCCUGAGGUUCUCGGUGUUUAUCAAGACGGUGCUCCAGGGAAUGCACCCGAGCUGAAGCGAGUACCCCUUGACUAUUCUUUCGGGCGCCGUUGGAUUCCCGUCGGAGUCCACUUCAGUAACUUCCUCCUUGAGGGUGCGCAGCAUGGUCGGGCGCCGGUCCUUCCGUUGCCUCUUCGGUUGGCUGCCAUCUGUGCGUGCGCCGCCAUCAUCAGUGGUGGCAUCCUCGGCGGCACCAUCAGUGGUGGCAUUAGUGGGGUCAUCCUCGGCGGUACCAUCAGUGGUCUCAGGAUCGGUGGGGAAGGCGACGGCCUCAUACAAGUGAGGUUGAUCCUCCAUCUCCUGGGACAGCUCCCGGAAUGCCUUGAUGCCCGAACCCCCGGCCUCAUCGUUGUUGGCCAUGUUUCUCUCUAAAUAGGAACAAAGUUUGGUCAAAAGUUGGUUAUUGUCAAGGAACAAGAUCAUGGUCUCAUCAUUUAGGGUUUGUCGACACCGAGGAGAAUUCUAAGUUGGGCCUAAUCACUUGGCUCUAUUGCCGCCUAUGGUUUAAUGCAGCUAGAAUAAAGGGGCACUUGAUCCUACUUAAUUAACUACUAAGAUACCCCGGCCCAUGCAUUAGUCACAAGUACCCCAUAUGUCCUAUUUUUAGCUAAGUCAUGCUAAAAUUCACGGAAAAUUUCAGCAUGACCUUUGCUGAAAAUAGGACAUAUGGAGUACCCGAAUUUGCCGGAACGGAAGUUAAUCGACAUUCCAGCAAACUCAAGGGCCUCUCGGGUGGACAAGGCAAAAAAGGCCUUCAUCACAACAUGGAAAAUACAUUGGCAUGUGAAGAGGUGAAACAAUAUAUGCAUCUCCAAGCAGUAUCAUAUGGUCAGCAGCAGUUGACUGACAGAUGCACCAAAUACAACAAUUCCAAUAGCAAUCUCCAAACAAAAACUACCCCAAAAAAAGGUGACCUCCAACUAAUGUCAUACUAGCAGUCAUGUGGCAGUUCAUCUACAGUACAACAACAUUUUUGCAAACAAAGAUACAAUCAGAAGGCAUGUGGCAGUUCACUUUCAGAUUUGUAGGCAGGAUGCAAUUUCAACUUAGAUUGACAAACACACGGUGCAGGAUGCAAUUUCACUUGAAGAAUUUUAAAGGAAUGUAUACGAAUGUCAGAUAGACAAUUCAUGGAACCCAUAUUCUAUUAUAUAAAAAAGGGCAGCAACCUUUAAAAAUAAAAGAGCCAAGUGAGUAUGAAAUCACGACACCACAUAGCACCAAGCAGGUCUGAGUUCACCACACCACAUAGCAGCAAGGGGAAAAGACAAAUUCAGGAGACAAUGUAAAAUGCCAAAUCAACACUAGCACUAUCAGAAUAAAGUGGUUGCAUCAAGAAGCUAGUUUAUCCGGACAUUUAGAUAUAGGGAUACAAGGAUGCACUGCUUCCUAUUUAUAAUUAGUUCUCCUUUUAUAUGCUGCAUACUUUAGUUCAGGUGUUUAUGUUCAUCUGAUUAUGACACCAUACAGCAAUCAAGAGCAUCUAGUUUUAUUCAUUACAGCAGGGUACAACCAUCAGAUGGUUAACAUAUAAUUUUCUUCUGAAUGCAAGAGUAGCCAUACAAGCGCAUGGAAGCAAAAGAAAUCUCCCAGCUAAUUAAGGCCACACAUCUCAUACCUAACUGAACUUUUCCAUAACGGCUAAUAGUGCUACGGUAGCAUAUAUUUAGGUUCAUCCCUUUUGACAAUAGCAGGCUAUAACAAUGGAAAACCAUGGUCACUAUUGCGGUUUUGCACACAGACCUAUUAAUAGGAUAUCAAGUAAAGUUAUCCAACAGGAGGUUCAGGCUUUUUACCAUCGCAGGCUGUAGCAAAUCCUAAUUGCAGAGAAGGGCGUGAUGAGUAGUACUAGUAUGCAUGAACCCUAAUCCUUGAACACACAUACCUAUUAAAAAUUUCUUCAGCAAGCAGCAAGCAGCAUUGUAACAAAAAUUAAAAAUUUCUUCAGCAAGCAGCAAGCAGCAUUAGUGAACUACAAGCAAGCAGCAAGCAGCAAGCAGCAAGCAACAGAGGGGGAGAGGGGGAGAGGANNNNNNNNNNNNNNNNNNNNNNNNNNNNNNNNNNNNNNNNNNNNNNNNNNNNNNNNNNNNNNNNNNNNNNNNNNNNNNNNNNNNNNNNNNNNNNNNNNNNNNNNNNNNNNNNNNNNNNNNNNNNNNNNNNNNNNNNNNNNNNNNNNNNNNNNNNNNNNNNNNNNNNNNNNNNNNNNNNNNNNNNNNNNNNNNNNNNNNNNNNNNNNNNNNNNNNNNNNNNNNNNNNNNNNNNNNNNNNNNNNNNNNNNNNNNNNNNNNNNNNNNNNNNNNNNNNNNNNNNNNNNNNNNNNNNNNNNNNNNNNNNNNNNNNNNNCCGGGAGGCGACGAGGUCCGGGUGGUGGUGGUGCUCUGGUGACGGUGGUGUGGACAGGGCGGCGUCCGGGCCACCGGCGACAAGGGCGGCGGGGCGAUGGCGUCCAACGCGACGGGGAAGCGGCGCCGAGGAGACGGGGACGACGGGGCGGCGGGGAGACAAGGACGACGGGGCGGCGGCGUCGGGAGAGGAGAGGGCGGCGUCGGGAGAGGAGAGGGGAAGGGGAUCGAGGGUGAGGGCGAGGGAGAGAGAGGGGAUAGGGAGGUGCCGAGAGGAAAUAUGGAUGGGGGCGGCACAAUACUAAUGGCGCACCACCCCUUGGUGCGCCAUAAGUACAUCCAUACUAAUGGCGCACCUCACCGUGGUGCGCCAUUAGUAGUUUUUUUCUUAUAGCAAUGGCACAAUACUAAUGGCGCACCACCCAUCGGUGCGCCAUAAGUACAUCCACACUAAUGGCGCACCUCACCGUGGUGCGCCAUUAGUACUUUUUUAACUUAUUUAAAUCAUAACAGUAAUAUUUUUUAAACUUGUUUAAAUUAUAAGACAGUAAUAAUUUUUUGAACUUGUUUAAAUCAUAACAGUAAUAUUUUUUAUAAGACAGUAACAGUAAUAUUUUCUUUAUAAGACAGUCGGCGGCGGCCGUUGAGUAGGGGAGGGGUGCGGGGGGUCNNNNNNNNNNNNNNNNNNNNNNNNNNNNNNNNNNNNNNNNNNNNNNNNNNNNNNNNNNNNNNNNNNNNNNNNNNNNNNNNNNNNNNNNNNNNNNNNNNNNNNNNNNNNNNNNNNNNNNNNNNNNNNNNNNNNNNNNNNNNNNNNNNNNNNNNNNNNNCGGUUGAGUAGGGGAAUCGAGGGUGCGGGGGGUCGGCGGCGGCGGCCAGUGGACCGGGCCGGGGUGCUCGGCGGCGGGGGAGACCGGAUCGGGCGAGGUGGGAUAGCGAUCGAGAUGGAGGGGGAUGGAGAUCGAGUGUCCAUGAAAUUUAAAAAUAUUCAUGAUAGUUCAAAAAGUGCCCAUGAAAUACAAUCGAGAAAUGAAGGCUACGAUUUAAAUACAAUCGAUCUUAGGUAGCUAUCUGUUCACAAUCUUUUGCCCUUCUUUUUCGCAAAUGGAGUUCUUCUGUGGAACGGACGUCCUUUAGGUAGGGUGGUCCUGCUUCUUCUUUUGGUUUAUGCUGCUACUUCAUCAUCGUCGUCAUGUUCGAUCCUCGGGUCGCCGUACUUGUCGAAGUCUUGCUCAUUGGCUACUCCAUCCAUUCCAAUGAUCUUCCUUUUGCCUCUCCUCACGACAACACGACUGGGCUUUGACGGGUCGGUAAUGAAGAAGCAUUGGUCCACUUGGGAAGCCAGUACCCAUGGCUCAUUUUUCGCGGUGACGUUUGCGCCCGCGGUCUUGGAUUUGGCUUCGGGUAUAACCAUGGUGGUGAAAUACCGGUCUUCUUUUAGGACGCUCUUGGCCCAUCUGACACGGAACAUCGGGACCUUCUCUCCAGCGUAGCUCAGCUCCCAGAUCUCCUCGGUCCUUCCGUAGUAUCUGUCCUUGUCGUUACCGGUGUAGGAUUCCAUCGUUACCCCGGAGUUCUGAUAACCAUCGCUCUUCAUGUCCUUGGCCUCGGUGUAGAAUGUGUAGCCGUUGAUAUCGUACGCCUCAUAGGUCAUCAGGUUGUGCUCGGCGCCCUGUGACAAGGCGAAUAUGAGUUGUUCUUCCGCGGAAGAAUCCUCAUGUAAAGGGUACGACAGAAGCUUCUGCUUGAACCAACGCGUGAAACAUGAGUUGUGCUCUUUGAGUAUAUCUCCAUCCGUCCUCUGUUGGCCUCGGUCAUUGUACGUCUUCUUAAUAAAGGUUUUGUGCUGUACCACCCAAGGAUCGACCACGUCUAUGUGUUGUAGCGCGACUAGGUUUGCUCUUUCAAAGUCGGCGAGUCGACCCUCGAAGUCGACAUGCAUUUCGCGACGACCCUCACGGUGACCCCAUCCAGCGAGCCUGCCGAGGUGCCUGUUGACGGGCAGACGAACGAGGUUCUCGAUGCCUAGAUAAUUCGUGCAGUAGGAGAUGCACUCUUCGGUCAGAAAGCCCGUGGCUAUGCUUCCCUCUGGACGUGACAUGUUGCGAACAUAUCCUUUGAUGACACCAUUCAUCCUUUCGAACGGCAUCAUGCUGUGCAGGAACGUCGGCCCGAGUUGGAUGAUAUCGUCCACGGUAUGGACCAGCAGAUGCACCAUAAUGUCGAAGAAUGCUGGCGGGAAGUACAUCUCAAGCUCGCAUAGUAUCACCACGAUCUCUUCCUAUAGCCUUCUGAGUUGCCUCACGCCAACAGACUUCCGAGAGAUGACGUCGAAAAAGUUGCAUAGGCCAAAUAGGGUUUCACGGACAUGCGCGUCCAUGAUCCCACGGAUUGCGACUGGAAGUAUCUGCGUCAUCAGCACGUGACAGUCGUGAGACUUCAUCCCGCUGAACUUCUGCUUCACUGGGUCUAGGUAUCUGCUUAUCUUCCCCGCGUAACCGUAAGGAAGUUUUACUCCUAUGAGGCAUGUGAAAAACUGCUCGAUCUCCUCCUGACUUAGAGUGAAGCACGCGGGAGGGUAGUCAUUUCCGGUCUUCUUGGCCUUCUUGCCUUUGCGACGACUUUCCGUGUCCUGCUUCUCCUCAUCAUCAUCAUGAUCAUCAUAUAUAGUGUGAAGCUCCUGCCUGAUGCCCAUUGAUUUCAAGUCUUCACUUGCUUUCGGCCCAUCUUUGGUCCUCUCUGGCAUGUUGAGCAGGGUACCAAGAAGACUCUCGCACACGUUCUUCGUGAUAUGCAUGACAUCAAGGCUGUGAGGCACACGGUGGAUCUUCCAGUACGACAAGUCCCAGAAAACAGACCUCGUUUUCCAUACUUGCAGCAGUGGCUCUCACACCUUUUGCUUCUUUCCCGGCUCUGACGCCUUUUGCUUCUUUCCCGGCAGUGGGCAGUCUUUCCAAUUUUUCAACAGCUCGUCUAUUUCCUCGCCGCUCCUCGUACGCGGGCGUCCUCGGGGUUCGGUUUCACCAUCGAACAGAUCCUUGCGUUUUCUCCACGGGUCAUCGUCGCGAAGCCACCUUCGAUGUCCCAUGAACACGGUUUUUGAAGACCCGGGAUCUCUAUCUAGAUGGCGAUACGUUGUGUCAUCCAUGCACCUGGCGCAUCCAGAAAAUCCGUGGACCUCCUGCCCCGCGACAUAUCCGUAACCGAGAUAGUCGUGCACCGUCGUGAGCAGCGCGGCUCUCGUAGGGAAAUAUUCUUUCUCUACAGCGUCCCACGUAUUGGCUGGAGUUUUCCACAGCGUGUCAAGCUCCUCUUUUAGCAGCCCCAGAUACAGAUUGAUGUCGUUCCCUGGUUGUUUCGGUCCUUCAAUUAGCAUACUCAUGUGAAUGUACUUCCUCUUCAUGCACAACCAGGGGGAAGGUUGUACAUCCACACAAACACAGGCCAGGUGCUAUGUGUGCUUCUCUGGCUGCCAAACGGAUUGACUCCAUCGGUGCUCGCGCCCAGCAUGAUGUUCCUUGGAUCGUUCCCAAAUUCUGGGUCUUCGAAGUUCAACGCUUGCCACUGGCUCGCAUCCUUAGGGUGACUCAGCAUCUUGUCUUUUUUAUCUAUCUCCGGAUCAUUUGCGUCAUCUUCUCGCUUCUUCUCCUCCCUAUCCGCGUGCCAACGCAGGAGCUUUGCUACCUUAGGGUCCGCAAAAUACCGCUGCAGACGAGGAGUGAUCAGAAAGUACCACACCACUUUUCGAGGAGCUUUCUUCCUCUUCUUGUAUCGAGUGACGCCGCACAUCGGACAUAUGGUAGACUCCGCAUGCUCGUCCCGAUAAAUGAUGCAAUUGUUCAUGCACACAUGGUAUUUCACGUGCGGUAAAUCCAGAGGACACACGAUUUUCUUCGCCUCCUCCAAACUGGUCGGGCACUUGUUCCCCUUGGGAAGAUGUUCGUGCCAGAAUGACAGGUUCUCGUCGAAGCAUGCGUCGGUCAUUUUGUGUUUUACCUUCAUCUCCAGAGCCAUGAGCGUUACUUUCGGGCGGGUAUCCUCGGGCCUGCAUCCUUCAUACAAUGGAGUGACCGCGUCUAACUCAAGUUGAUCCAUCUUGGCUUUCUCUCGGGCGGCAGCUCUUGUGUUAUCCGUCUCCUUGAGAAGCAGCUCUUGAAUAUGAGGGUCCUACACCCAGCCCAUCGAUGGUCCAGCAUCGUCUGCUCCGGCAUCUUCCUCAUCAUCAUGUCCUGCAUCAUCUACAUGAUGACUAUGUACAGCAUCACCGUCGUGAUCAUCUCCUGGGGAUUCUUCGUCUUCUCGCCCGCCCGAGCCGCGGUGGUUGUCUUGCUACCCUUCCUCAUUUCUUGCCCGGCCCCCAUGAACGACUUCGUAGUCAUCUUCAUCACCUUGCCACCGAUAGCCAUCCAUGAAACCACGCAAGAGCAGGUGGUCCCGCACCCGCCCGGAUUCCGGGUCCGCAAUAAGGCUCUUCAGCUUGCAUCUUCGACACGGACAUCUUAUCUCCGUCUCGUUCUUUUGAAGCAUCUCGGCCUUCACGGACCUCAAAAACCUAUUCACGAUGCCUUCGGUCAUCAUGCGGACCAUGGUUGCCUGCGGGGCAGAGCAAAACGAUAUUUUAGAACCAAGAAAAAAUUUGGCAUGACUUCCCCUAAAAAUAGGACCAAAAAGAAUGCUUAAUGCCAAAAUUCUCACCGAAACGGAAAUGAAUCAACAUUCCGGCAAAAUAUUGGCAACUAUCGCAUUUCAAAUACCGAUACACCUCCAAACACAAACACAUAUGCAACACCACAAACAUAUGCAACACCACGAACAUACAUAGAUCUAGCUAGGCCAUAAAAAGUGCAUGUGCACAUUGUUGUAGGGAGAAAUACAUAAAUAUAGCUUCCCCCAUUACUUACCUAUCAAAACAAGGUAAUUUAACCACUUAAAUUGAAUGAAUCUAUGGUGGAAAUGAGGUGAAAAAGAGGAGGCACCCGAGACAAGGAGGAGGUGGAGAGAAUGAAGUGGGGAGAAAGUGAGUGUGGGUAGGAGAGGCUCCCCAAAAUAUCUUGUUGCUGCCCACUUACUAAUGGCGCACCAAUACCAAAUGCGCCAUUAGUAAUCCAGGUUACUAAUGGCGCACCAUCUGCUGGUGCGCCAUUAGUAGUUUUGCAAAAAAAAAUACUAAUGGCGCACUGUCCCGCAGUGCGCCAUUACUAGUUUUAACUAUUAAUGUCGCACGGUGCAACAGUGCGCCAUUAGUAGUUUUGCAAAAAAAGGGAUUAAAAACUAUAAUAAAAAAACAACAUUAGUGGCGCACUUUCCGACAGGUGCGCCAUUACUAGUUACAACUAGUAAUGGCGCACUUUGUCUGGAUGCGCCAUUAGUAUGUUUGGACAGGCGCACUAGUUCCAAAAAAAAUUGAUACUAAUGGCGCACCCCGUGCCAGGUGCGCCAUUAGUAGUUUCAACUCUAAUGGGGUACCAGAUGGUGGUGCGCCAUUAGUAUAUACUAAUGGCGCACCGCUUGUCAGGUGCGCCAUUAGUGUCAAUCCCAUCUAUAGCCCUUUUUCUAGUAGGAUUGACCACUAAAUCCGAGUCGCCAUAGACCAUGAGGCGACGGACGCCGAGUGAAAUGGCCAUACGUAGCCCAUACAGAAGUGCCUCAUAUUCGGCCUCAUUGUUGGAGGAGUCAAAGUGAAUCUGUAGAACAAAACAGAGUUUGUCACCACGGAGGGAGACCAACACCACUCCAGCACCGGAACCAUUCAGCAUCUUGGACCAUCGAAGAACAUGGUCCAAUGCUCCGAGUGAAUUUGGGCUGGAAGUUGCUGUUUGAUCCUCUCGGCGAGGAAAUCAGCUAUUGCUUGGGACUUAAUAGCCUUCUUUGCUUCAAACUUGAUAUCCAGGGGAAGGAGUUCAAUCGCCCACUUUCCCAUUCGACCAGUUGCAUCUCUGUUGUUCAGAAUAUCCGACAAUGGAGCGUCACUGACGACUGUAAUGGAAUGAUCAGAGAAAUAGUGUGCAACCUUCUUUGUGGUCAUGUAAAUUCCAUAAACAAGCUUCUGAUAAUGGGGUUAUCUUUUCUUUGAUGGAGUCAGGACUUCAGAAAUGUAAUAUACUGGGCGCUGAACUUUAUAUGUUUUCCCUUCUUCUUCCUGCUCGACCGUGAGUACUGUACUGACAACUUGUCCAGUGGCUGCAAUGUAAAGAAGUGAAUGCUGUUUGCUGAUUGGUGCAGCAAGCACCGGCUGGGUGAAAAGCAGGGCUUUGAGCUCUACAAAUGCUGCAUCAGCUUCGGGAGUCCACUCAAACUUAUCAGACUUCUUCAUCAGUCGGUAAAGAGGCAGUGCCUUUUCAGUGAGACGAGAAAUGAAUCGACUCAGAGUGGCCAAACAACCAGUAAGCUUCGGACAUCGUGCACACGCACAGGGCGUUUCAUUCGAAGAAUGGCACCAAAUUUCUCUGGGUUAGCGCCGAUCCCUCGUUCGGAAAUGAGGAAACCGAGUAAUUUUCCGCCAGGAACUCUGAAUUUGCACUUUGAUGGAUUAAGCUUGAUAUCAUACCUUCUGAGGUUGGCAAAGGUUUCGGCAAGGUCAGCUAGCAGGUCGGAACCUUUAUGUGACUUGACUACAAUGUCAUCCAUGUAUGCUUCCACAUUCCGACUGAUUUGAGUGAGCAGACACUUCUGGAUCAUCCUCAUGAGUGUGGCUCCGGCGUUCUUCAGGCCGAAUGGCAUAGUGACAUAACAGAAACAUCUGAAUGGAGUGAUGAAAGCCAUUUUUAUCUCAUCGGGUCCAUACAGUCGGAUCUGAUGGUACCCUGAAUAGGCGUCCAAGAAGAACAAACGCUCACACCCCACAGUUGAGUCGACAAUUUGGUCGAUGCAGGGAAGAGGAAAUGAUCCUUCGGGCGGGCCCGAUUGAUAUGCUUGAAGUCAAUGCACAUGCAAAGUGAAUCAUCCUUCUUAGGGACCAUGACAACAUUCGCGAGCCACUAGGAGUGGUAAAUCUCUUGGAUGAACUCAACUGCCAGGAGCCGAGCCACUUCUUCGCCAAUUGCUUUUCUCUUCUAGACGGCGGACCGUCGAAGAUGUUCCUUGACUGGUUUUACUUUCAGGUCGACUCGCAAACGAUGCUCAGCCAGUCCCCUGGGUACACCCGGCAUGUCAGAAGUUUUCCAUGCAAAGAUGUCCCAGUUCUCAUGGAGGAACUGGAUGAGCGCUUCUUCCUAUUUGCUGCCGAGUGUUGACGAGAUAUGGGUCGGAGCAGCAUUGGGGUCGGUCCGGUGGAUAUGAAUCGGCUUCGUUUCCCCUGACGAUUGAAAUGCGGACUCUAUGGCAGGCUUCUUGGCUCGCAGCAAAUCACUCGGAUCUGCAUUUUUCUGGUACUCUUACAGUUCCACUACUUCCAUCUGUGCAUCAGCAAUUUUUGAGCCCUUCUGGAAGCACUCUUCUGCCUUCUGUCGAUUGCCGGUGACAGUGAUUACUCCUUUGGGGCCAGGCAUUUUCAAUUUGAGAUACACAUAACAUGGUCGAGCCAUAAAACGUGCAUAAGCGGGUCUCCCCACAAUGGCAUGGUAAGCACUCUUGAAAUCCGCUACCUCAAACAUCAACUUUUCCUUGCGGUAAUUCUUGGAAUCACCGAAAACCACAUCAAGUGGAUCUGGCCGAGUGACUGAGCUUUCUUGCCAGGUAUAACACCGUCGAAACUCAUGUUGCUUUCACUAAGCUUGGACAUCGGAAUGCCCAUUCCCUUCAAGGUUUCAGCAUAAAGGAUAUUCAAGCCACUGCCACCAUCCAUCAGCACUUUAGUCAGUCGAGUGCCUUCGACUACUAGGUAGACCACCAGUGCUUGGCUCCCAGCGGUGGCUAUAUGCGCUGGGUGGUCCGACUAGUCGAAUGUGAUGGCGGUCUAGGACCACUUCAGAUAACUGGGUGUUGCCGGAGCAACCAUGUUCACCUCCCAGUUAAUAACCUUCAAUCGACUUUUGCUUUUGACAUCAGCAAAAAUCAUCAGCAUGGAAUUGACAUUGGGAAAACCGUCAUCAUCUUCUUCCCUAUCCUCACCUCCGUCCGACUCCUUUUCUUUUUCCUUGGGUUGUUUCUCUCAGAACUGCUGAAUCAGGAAAUGACACUGUCGAGUGGUGUGUUUAGGGUAAAUGAUGUUCCCCUCUUCAUCUUUCUUGGUAUGAAUAUGGCACGGUAAAUCAAACACAUCAUUAUCAUCUUUAUCCUUAACUUUUUUAGGAGUCCAGGGCCCUUUGGGCUUUCCUUUGAACUUUCCUUGGGCAACAGCUAAAGCUUCACCAGGAGCAGCUGGUUUAGCUUUUCGCUUCUGUUUCCGACUGGAAUUCCCUCCUCCGGUUUCUUGGGCGACUGUUUUGUGUUUGGCACUCCGGAGUCGGUCUUCCUCUUCACCAUUGGCAUAUUGGUGGAAAUCUCCAUCAUCCAAGUCAGAGUCGUAUCUUCUGUCCGACCGAAUUUCAGAUUCAACUGCCGAUACUUAACGCCUUCCUUGAAGGAACAAAUUGCUUGAUGAUCCGACACAUUCUCCACUGUAUGGUGCAACGUGAUCCAUUUCUGGAUAUAAUCCCUCAAAGUUUCAUUCGGUUUCUGGACACAACACUGCAAUUCUGUCAACCCUGCCAGCCUUUUGCAAGUGCCUUCAAAGGUCCUAACAAACACUCGAGCAAGUUCCUCCCAACUAUAUAUACUGCCAAGAGCCAACUGAUUCAACCACGCUCUGGGGAGGUCCUUCAUGGCCACAUCAUCAUUGCCACCACCAAUCUGCAUAGCCACUUAGUAAUCCUCUAGCCAAGUGUCUGGCAUGGACUCGUCGGUGAAUUUGCUGACUCCAGUCGCCAACCUGAAGUUGGGAGGAAUCAUUGCUGCUCUGAUGGCUCUGCUGCAACACUUGGGUCCUGAAAUGUGUACCCUGCUUCCAGUCGGAUGAUCUCUAUCGUGGCCUUCUCUGUGAGCUCUAUUUCUAUCAACUAGACCUUGAACGAGGAUUGACCUUGCAUCAAAGCCUGGUACUCUGGGGUCGACUGGAAUUCUCCGUUCACCGCUGUGGGGGCGCCUGUCAUCUUGCCGCCGAGGCACGUACGACCCACUCCUUGGAGGAGGCGUGGGCACUCGACGGCGAUCGUCGUGGUCGAGUCGAUGAUCAUAGUGCUCACGGUUCCUGUACUGAUCUUGCUGGUACCCACAUCCCUCACGCCGCGGAGGCAAUCUCGGGCUAUGGGCAGAUGGGACAGUUUCCGCCACCACAAACCUACUAUGAAUCCUAUUCCGCGACUGAGAUACUGUUGUAUUCUGCUCCCCCGCUGCCCGGAGUAAAGCCCGGAUCUGCAUCAAACCUCAGCCAGCUUUUGACUCGGAAGGUUGAAUUGACUUUGCUAUUCUUGCUGCAGCUGUGAGAUUCUGGAUCGGAGUUCGGUAUACCUGGGUUGGAGGCGGAAAAAGUUGUCGUCGACUGGACUCGGGGAUCCGCUGCCGAGCACGCUCGUCGAGUGUGCGCUGGAGGUUCUAUAGUCGAGUGCGCUCAGCCAAGUUGGCCAGACGCGCCUCCUCCAAGGCCUAGGCCUCAGGGGUUUCUCCAACGAUAGGAGUGUGAAGUGCAUCCAUAUUACGAUGACGAAGAUCUUCCCUCCGCUGCGAAGAGGGGUUCGGGGGGUACUCCUCGUCAACACGCGACGGAUCAUCACCGCCAUGCCACCGCCUUCCCGAGUGAAGCCAGGAGGACUGCGUGGUCCAUUGACCAUCAAGACAUCCACCGCGGGGUCGCUGCUGUCGCAUUCGGACGCAGUCUCGACGGAGCCAGAAGACAGAUCGAACAGGCCGUAGAGAGUUUCAUCGGGCUCGAUUGCCGCGAUUUGUGCGUUGGCCGAUUGGCGGGCCACUGCAUGCCUCACCCGUCGUUGAAGCCGCGACCGAACGGAUCACUGGCGCCAGCGAACAACGGAAAGGGAGGUUGCCGUAGGAGCCGACUGAGACGGAGUCGACGGUUGCCGAAGAAGGACGCCGCGAACGCAUGCGCGGAAGUGCAUCGUCCCGCGGACGGGGAGCGCCUCGACGUCGAGUGGAGCCUCGUGGAGCCAAGCGGAGUCGUCGGCGCUGAAGACGAGCGUGCCGAGAUGGAUCUUGCGGCCUUCGGCCAAUCCUCCGCCGGAAACCAUGAUGAUGGGGAUCGGAAGAAUCGCAACUUCUCCAAUAAGCUGCUAAGACACCUGCCCCACGGUGGGCGCCAACUGUCGUGGAUCGAAGACUGACAAUAGAAUGGGGGUAGGUAUGAGGAGGCAAGAUCCUAGCUAUGGAGUAGUUGUACACACGAGUUUUAUGAGUUCAGGCCCUUCUCGGAGGAAGUAACAGCCCUACGUCUCGGUGCCUUGAGGCGGUCGACUGGAUUUUGUGUGUGUGUGUGUGUGUGUGUAUGUGUGUGUGUGUGUGUGUGUGUUUACAAAAGAUGUGAACCCUUGUCCCAGAGGAGGGGGUGGCUUAUAUAGAGUGCGCCAGGACCCCUGCCCCCCUCCAUUACACAGGGUUCAAUGUAUGUUAAGAGUUGAACGUUACUGGUAACGCUAGCCAUUAAGUGCCAUAAAUGACAAUUAAGACUAUAAGUAAAUGCUCGACUGUUGUUCGUGCAGAGUAGCUUUAGAUCUUCUGCUCGUCGAGUCGCUUCUGCGAUGGUCGAGUGACAUUGAUUCUUCCGAGUGGAACGUCUCUGGUCGAGUGGAUGAUGGUACCUUUUGAAUGAUUCUGGCUUUAGGGUGAUGUCCUAGGGGAAGGUGUCUAGGUCAGGCCUAUGACCCUACCCUAGGUACAUAGCUUCAUCAUCCCGUACGUCGGGGGAAAUUCUGGCAAGAGAAAGAUAUGAUAACUCAUGUGCUUUUAAUGUAUCCCACUGUGGGGGAAUAGAAUGGAGUAGCUGAAAGGCGCAACCGUACACUUAUGGAUAUGGUGCGCAGCAUGAUGAGUUAUUCCAACAUGACAUUGGGAUUAUGGAUCGAGGCGCUUGAAACCGCCAUUCACAUUCUCAAUAGAGUACCAAGCAAGUCGGUGCCCAAAACAACGUACGAGCUAUGUGGGUGAUGCCCUGCCGAGGCCAAAAUGUUUAAUCCAAACAUUGCAAAGUUAGAUCCCAACACAGUAAGCUGUCACUUCAUUGGUUAUCUAGACAGAUCAAAGGGUUUUCGUUUCUAAUUUCCAGACAGAUAUACAAAGUUUGUAGAAACAAGACAUUCAGUCUUUUAGAGGAUGAAAUGAUGAGGGGAGCUUGGUAGCUCGGAAAAUUGAUCUUGAGGAGAAGAGGGUGCGGCACCACCCAUGACAACUAUGGGGGUAGACCCAGAACCUGUCCGUCCGGAGCCGACUGAACCCGUUGUUGAGCAUGAAAGGGAGGUGCAACCACAAAUUUUAGAAGAAGUGCCAGAAGUUGAGGCAUGGAAUGUGCCAGAAACAGAGGCCCUUAGAAGGUCUACAAGACAUAAAAAAUCAGCUAUUUCUACUGACUAUAAAGUGUAUAACACAGAAAUAGAUCAUACAGAAAAAGAUCCACCUCAUAUGAAGAAGCCAUGAGAAUCCCUUAUUCAUCGAAGUGGAUGAAGGCAAUGGAAGACGAGAUGAAAUCAAUGAGUUCCAAAGAUGUUUGGGACUUAGAGGAAAUUCCUAAAGGAGCCAACACAGUAAGCUGCAAGUGGGUCUACAAAAUUAAGUAUGACUCUAAAAGGAAUGUAGAAAAGUAUAAAGUAUGAUUCGUGGCAAAAGGAUUAACACAAAGAGAAGGGAUAGACUACAAUGAGACAUUUUCUCAUGUCCCAUGUAAGGAUUCCAUCAGAAUCAAAAUGGCAUGAGUUGCUCAUUUUGAUUUAGAGUUACAUCAAAUGGACGUAAAGACGGCAUUUAUCAACGGGGAUAUAAACAAAAUGUCUACAUGAAACAACCUAAGGGUUACAUCAUGGAAGGCAAGGAAAAUAUGGGAUGUCGUCUGAAGAAAUCCAUUUAUGGAUUAAAGUAAGCCUCUAGACAGUGGUAUCUAAAGUUUAAUCAAACAAUUAAAAGUUUUGGAUUUAAAGAAAAUAUUGAAGAUAACUGCAUUUAUACAAAGUUUAAAAAUGGGAUAUAUAUUUUCCUAAUCUUGUAUGUGGAUGAUAUCCUGCUUGCUAGCAGUGAUGUUAGUCUACUACAAGAAACAAAGAAGUUCUUAUCCUCAAAUUUUGACAUAACAGAUCUUGGUGAAGCAUCAUAUGUUUUGGGCAUAUAAAUUCACCGAGAUAGGAACUUUGGAAUCUUAGGACCAUCGCAGAAAG